AUUUACUGCCUAGGAGCUAAAAUUCUGGAGGGCACAAAUCACGACUGUUGUCUCAGUUUACAAAAUGGUGCUCAGGCAGCAAUCGUUUCUCCUGAUUGGAGAUGAUGAGUAGAUACAAGAAUCGACAAAUUCUCCAAGAGAAGAAAACAUAAUUUUGUCAUUAAGUAUUGUCUCACAGCAUUCUCUUGAUUCAAUCUGGCUAUGGGUUCUUCCAUGUCUGUUUUUGCUGUAAAUAACCUUUGUCGCACAAAGGUAAGAACACUGCUCACCUUAAGCCGCUUUGCUGAUGGAAGGGAACAGCUAAGUCCCUUGGAAAACUGUAACCUUGCGAGGGCAGGAUUUUGCAUGUCAGGAAAUUUGGGACUAUACAUAGUGUUGUUUGCAAUGGGAUUAAACGCAGCUCCAGAAGCUUAAGCUGCUGCCAACAAUUUCGGAUGAUUGUCUCCAAGCAUGAACCGUGUUACUUUCUGUUUUAGAAGGAAAGUCUUUGUCACGCUGAUCUUUACCAUGGCAGCAUUAUCAUAAGGGGGCUCCUCUGCCACUGACAAUGCUGUUUUCACCUCUGUUGCGGAUUUUAAGCGAGGAAAAUAUUUCUAUGUUGUCCAAAAUGAAGUUUUUAUUAAAGAGUGCCUACUUCAAACUUGCUUCCGGAGUGGUCAACUCAUGUUCAGAGUUGUCAAUGCCAUGAUCAGCAAAAUCAGUAUGCCCAAGCCUUGGUGAUCCAAGUUGAGAUAUCUUAUAGGAUGAAUCAUUGCCCUGAUCUGACAAUAUAGAUGGGCUUGCGACAUUAUUGAAAACAUCAGUUACAGGUUGCUGGGUCAGCAAAGGAAUGGCACCAGUCACAAUCAAAUUUGCAUCUAAGCUCUACAAAUGUACCUCAUCAAAAUCUGUAAAAUCUAGGAAAACGUUUAUCAAUACCAUUACCCUUAUGUCUGUCAUGCAACAAUCUCGGUUCAAGUGAAGGGAAAUAAUAUACUGAUGAGGAUUCAUCCAAUGAGCAAAUGCAUGACCUCGCAGCAGCUUCAAGCUCAAGGGAUAUAACAGAUCGUGAUACAUCAAUAUCAGGCAAGAGAUUUAGCAUCCAAUCCUCGAGAGAACACCUUCUCUGCAGUGAACUAAAUGUUUGAGAAACAUUACUAAUUACCAUUCAUAUGAUGAAUUUAUUAUGUAAGAAUAGCACUCAGAAUUAUUUAUCACUAGGUCUUAGGGUAAUAAAUAAGGGUCGGGGUUGAGGCCAAUUUUUCAAAAAGGAACCCAGAGUGUGAACAGAUUCGUGCCUAUACUUCCUUUUUUUUUUGGUCGAUAAAGCAUUUACCAUUACUAAUUUGUUGCUGAACUGGAACUAAGUUCGAGAUCAUUACAUAAUAGAACCGAAAGUGGAUAGGGGGGAUAUAAAACCCAAUUUUGAGGAAGGUGGUUGUCUCGACUUCCUUGAACGGUCAUGCUUGGUACCCAAAGCUGGGUGUAGUUUUACGGGGAAUUGGCAGAAUUGGAAUCAUAAAGGAUACUGCCAAGAGCAAUAUGGUCAUAGACAGGGGAGUUACAUACUCACUAAUUGCAGCUGACUAUCCAAGCGCAUCUAUAAGUUCGCCUCAUGGGUCAAUUAUCUAAGGGAAUGGCAUCCUGAGAUUGCUUUGUUAGUGCAGAGGAGGUAAAGAAGGUGCAGCAAGUAUUGCUAGGAAAGCUUAAAUCGGCAUUUGAUAGUUUGGUGAAGAGUCUGUCAAGUGAGUUGUUGGGGCAGGAAGGGCCUACAAGUCCUCAAGAGCACCUGGAGUGGUGAAAAAGUUUGAGGAUUAACCCAACUAUAGCUCACAUAGUAGGGAUAAAGGCAGCCACAGAAAUACAUUUAUAUCUGUGGUGUACUCAAGUGAUUCAUCAAUUUUGUUCAUAGACUGUAAGCAAUUUUACCACUUGGGAAUCAAUAAUAUCCAAAGUUUCCAACACUAUAGAAAUACAUUAUACAUACAUUUAAAUCAUAGCAAUUCCCCAGAUAACUUGAAUUCACGAUAAAAUUAACAACAGUCAAUAAUUUCUAAUGAGCAAAUUACUCUGAUCAACCAACAAAAAAGAUAUGUUCGGAAAACAAAAACAAAGGAAAACUCCCUUUAACUAAUUCAACACUAGUUAGUGACAUUUUAAUGAAAAGCUCAAAUCUAAUUAUCACAAGAAAAAUGGUCAGCCUCUUUCAGCAUCAUAGAGCCAAUUUAACCACAUUUCUAGUGAGAGAGCACCAGGAAGAAGCCUGACAAAGGGCCAGCAAUAAUAGAUGUGAAAGGGAUGAUUCAAUGAGUGCUAAAGACCGCCCAAAAGAGAAAAACUAAUGCUUAAGUUCUUGCUUCAUAAUCUCAGGCAAUGUGUGAGCCACUCUAAUUAUCCCAAUCAAGAUCAUUCUCGUUUGUACCAUGUUAGAAGGUCCAUUUGUUGUGUGAGCUGAUUUAUAUGCUAGCGUUGUCCCAUCCAUUCUCCACUGGCUACUCACCGUUACCUGUUGAGUUACCCUCUGUUAAAGUCAAUUCAAUCUUAGUGGAAGAAUUCUCUAGGGGAAGAAUUCUCCACCAAAGCAUUAAUGUCAAGAUAUUGAUGCAUUGAUCCAUGAAACCACCGAUUCCCGAGUCAGUUCCCGCUUUAUCCUCACCAGCAGUAUCUAGAACUCUAUCUUGCAUCAUAUCUAGCAAUGAAGAGAGCUCAGGCAAAGUCACAUUUUCCUCACCAAUUAAGGCAGUGGGGCAAUCUCCUCUUCCACUAGGCGGACCCACGGCUAAAAGCUUACUUAGAAUCACUCUUGACACCCGAAUUUUCGUCAAUCAUGUAGGCGUCCGUUUUUUUGCAAAAAUAAAAAAGGAAAAAGGAAAAAAUAUAAAAAUAAAUAAAGAAUUAGACAAAAAAAAUAAUAAUGAUAAUGAAAUACAUCAGAUGAGCCUAUGUCCCCUAGCCCAUUCUCCUUAGCGAAAUGUUGGGCUUGCAAGAGCAGCCCAUGCGACCAGCCUUCCUCUUCUCAUUACCCGGAUUAUUAUUUCCUCUGGGGCCCAAGUUUUUUGUGUUGUUUUCUUUGAGCCCAGGACUUGAGCCCGUAAGUAAAGGCAAAAAAAAGAAGAAAAAAGACGCCUGGUCCCUUUGAUAUUCCCUCUCUAUAGCAACCCUCAUGACUGAACGCGAAGCAUUGACGGCAACAAAAGGACACGGGCGAGUCAAUGGCGAGCGAAGCACCGUCUGCGACACACAAGCAAAGCACGGGUGAGUGACAUGAGCAGAGCCCAGGUCUGCCCUCAUUCAAUGGCACAGCAGUUGAUAAAGCUCGAUCGACAAGCUCCCCUCCCGGAGCUCCUACUCCUCGCGCCCUCUCCAGCUAUGACGGAGGCUUGCCUCCGGAGAUUGGUGACCUGACUGAACUCGUUAGGCUCGAUGCUGUUAACUGCGGAUUGUCCGGUGAGAUACCACCUGAGAUUGUCAAGUUGCAGAAUCUCGACACUCUGUUUCUGCAAGUGAAUGCGUUUGACUCCGGAGUUGGGCUACUUGAAGAGCCUCAAGUUUCUGGAUUUGUCUAGCGAAAUGUUAUCAGGAGAGAUUCCCGAGUCCUUCUCCCAGCUGAAGAACCCAACCCUUUUGCAUCUCCUCGGGAACAAGCUUAAUGGUGAGAUUCCUGAAUUCAUUGCUGAUUUGCCUUGAGUUAUAGCACGGGUCAUUUGCUUCUCUUAAAUCCACUGCACGCCCUGUGUCUGACAAAAUGUUUAAACCAAGUUGUGCCCAUUUUCGUCCCAUUUUCAGUUGCUUCGAAGAAUAUGUAGUAAUAGGGGUCGUUUAAUGGUGAUCUUUCGGUAACCUCAACGUACGCUUUUUUCACCAUUGCUCAAUAUGCUUUUUGUUCUUUUCGAGUCUUGUUCGGUGCUUCUAUGGUGCUUGCUUGGUGACUGCGGGCAAAGUGCUAGCGAGAAUAGAUGAUGGUCGAUGAUGCCCUGGUGGUCCGGCAAAGUGCUGAUGGUAGAUGAUAGUGAAAUUUCAUUGAAUGUUUGAGUGGCAGUCCAUGAGUGACGCCUUCUUUUGUUGAUUUUAAGUCCUAAUGUUGAGGGUGGAUGACUUCACGUUCUGGGUUGGGCAGAGGAGCUUCGGGCAGGGAGGGUGCUGUUCCGGCGGGAGACGGGCGGAGGAGAAGGGAGAAUAAAUAAAGAAAUAAAUAAUAAGCCGAAAAGAAAAAAAAAAAGAAAAAAGAAAUACAAAUAGAAAAUGGGCUGGGUUUUUAGGGACCGGCCCCUUUUUUUAGUCCAACCCUGACCCAUAGGGUCUGUGUCGGUUUGGUCUGGCCGGGUCUCUAGACCCGGUCUGAAUUCUAUUUUUAUAAUAUGAAUUAAAAAUAUUAAUUUAAAAAUUUAAAAAUUUAAAAAUUUUAAAAAGAGAUUAAAAUAUUUAAAAAUUCCAAAAAUCUUAAAAUUUUAUAAAUUCAGAAAAUUUAAAAAAAAAUUCGAAAAAAAAUUGAGAAAAUUCUAAAAAGUCGGAAAAAAUUCAGAAAAUUGGAAAAUUCUUGAAGGUUAAACCCAAAAUUAGAAAAGCCUUUAGGCUUUACAAUAAGGUACUUUGUUUUGAUAUAUAUAUAUUUUUUAGGACAAUAUGAAGAUGCUUGCGCGUUUUUCAUUAUGAUUAUAUUUGGUUGUGCACCUCAAUAUCUUGAAUGUUAUUUUCUUUGUUUUAAAAUGGUUAGGAUGAAACCCAUAAUUUUUCAAUAGGUUGCUUCGGCGUAAGCUAGCAUUUGAUUGAAUUGGGUACCGAAAGGUCAUUACUCUUAGGACUAAUGUAAUCAAAUCCCCAAGUCUAUAAUUUAUGGUUGCAUAAAUAAUAAGAUAUGCCUGUAUCAUUCUUGAUUUCUAGCCAACCAAAUAAGGCUGAUGGCAACUCCUUAUGUAAUAAUUUAGGUAGGAUUAAUUGUUUAAAAUUUGAACGCUCGAUGUAGCGCGAGGGAGGGAAUGGGAGAACUCAAGUUAAUGAAAGACCAUUGGCUUGAAGUUGGCAAUACCCCUAAACCUAAUUCCCAUUCCCUAGUCGAAGGCCUCAGGUUGCGACAAUCACCCUUCGAACAGGGUAGCAUCCAAUCCCACAAUCUACCUUUAGCAUAGCAUUGGAUACGUUUGGAAAAGUUUUUAGGGAAAGUCUUUGGGGAAAUGCAAAUGCCGUUGAGUUAAAGGUAUUUUUCAAAAUAUAAAUUGUGUUUGGUAAAUUGUAUUAUAAAAGUCAAUUGUGAAGUAUCUUUGAAUAAAAUGAUGUUUGGAAAAAUUAUAUUUACAAAAGUCUUUUGUUAUUAGAAAAAGAAAAAAAAAGGAGAGUUGGCUAGCCAAGAACAAGUAGUCGUCGGCGAGGAGCAAGCGAUCCGGCGAAGGGUGGGUGGUCCGAUGCAAGCCAUCCGGCAAAGGUAGGUGGUCCAGCAAGGGUUGCGCGACCCUCCGGUGAGCAUCACAACCCUCCAGCGAGCAUCGUGAUGAUCAAAUCCGGUUGCCGCAACCCUUGCCAGAAGGUCGGCCAGAUUUGGUCACCGCGUGACCCUUUGGCAAAGGUCCCGGCAACCACAUCUAGUCACAAAUAGAUCUGCAACUAGAUGGGUCACACGACCUCGGUGACCUCCAUGUAGAGGUUGUUGCCAACGAUUGCCUACCCUUCAUUAGCGAGCACUCACGGAGAAGAAGAAGGUAAAUAGUCAAUACAAAAUCGGAAAAACGAAAAAUUAAAGAGAAUAAUUUGGGAUUUCUUUUUAUUUACCCAUUUAGGUCAGCAUGCCGAUAAGGCUAAAAGCACAAAGCAACCCCAACCUGCCUUGGGCUUUUAGCCUUGUGAAGGCUGGCAUUUCCUAAAUGGGGUUUGAAAUUUUUUUACCAAACAUCCCUAAAUUGGCCCAAGGAGCUUUGGGUGCCACUCCCAAAUGCACCCCUUAGAUGCCUCAUUUAUCGGAGGGUAAUAUCUAAAGGGUAAUAUCUAACAAUCUAUCCAUCUAAAUCAUUAGUAUCAACAUUCCUAGACACAUCUUCCUACUUAAGUCUUCACCAUUUGUUGCCUAUGGUUAUUUGUAUGUUGUUCUCAUUCUAAUGUUGGACAAAGUGUGCCAACAAUCCAGGGCUCUGAAUAGCCCGUGUCAGGAAUGACAUCAUUUGCUGCUACCACAGCUCCAUCCCUUGAAGGCAUUAGACUGUCGAUUGUAAUUGUUUCUCAGUAGCCUAUCGUUGUUGCCUGAACUUUACAAGCUCCUGCAUAAGCAAAUUCUUGUCUCUUUUGAACCUAUCAGCCUCUUCCUCACAUUUUCCAAUCUCCACACAAGCACCGACUGAUUUACUAUUUGAUUGCUGUGUCAACUAAUGACUAUGUCCAUGAGUAGGUUUUUCACCGAUUUAUACUCCUAUCUAGCUCUUGUACCUAUCAAGACUCCGCUAGGAAAUUACGUCAGAAUCAAGCCCUAAGACGCAAUCUGAGUUGCGCCACGCUGAGAACAGCCACCUGCCAUUGUAAUCGUGGAAGCCACUCGGGCCUUGACUACCAUUUGUUGAUCAUCAUUAUUGCCAUUGGAGGGCAUAUCGAUGCUGCUGGGGUUUCAAUCACUGUUGAAAUCCAAGCCCUAGGACUCGGUUUUUGGGGCCCCCAAUGUUGUCACGUCCUUCAACUGCAUGCCACUAGUCCUCAGCCAAGCUCAAGCCAUUGUCAUCGGUCAUUGUCAAGCUCAUGUGAUUAAUGAAGAAAUGGAUGCAUUUGGGAAAGAGAAGCAUUAUUUAGAAGUGUGUAAAUCUAAAACUACCACUUCUUGAAAUGUUGGAGUCAUGGAGCGUUGUUGUUUGAUAUGAACAAACCAUUCUAAUUAUGGAGGAAAUGCCAAUUAAAGAAUAAAUUUCAUUAGAGAAAUGAUAAAGUGCAAAUUACCGACUUUUUCAUCAUCGUCAUCCUUUUCUUUGGUUCGGAUGUACAUUUUUAAAGUACAACAAAUUGCCAAAUUGGCUUGUUUCCUCAAUGUUGCAUUGUCGAUGAAAAAGACUAUCAAUAUCUUCCUCAAUUUUUCUCAUAGUUUCAAGUUUCACCUUAAGAUAAUCAACUGUUGACACCCGAAUUUUUAUCGACGUUUUAAAUAUCCAUUUAUUUUGUAAAAAAAAAAGAAGCUAAAAAACUUAUAAAAAGGUCAAAAGCAAGAAAUAUAUAUGUAUAAAUAAAAAAUAGUAGUAGUAGUAGUAAUAAUAAUAAUAAUACAUGAGAGUGGUUAAAAAAAUGAUGAAGAAAAAUGAGAAAAGUCGAGUGGGCUGGCGUAGCCCGGCCCAUUCUUUUAUUUCCUUUUCAGCCCACUCUUUUAUUUCUCUUCCAGCCCAUUCUUUCGUCUUUCUUUUUGGCCCAUCGGAAAUUAUAUAAAGAGAGGCCCAGCCCAUCAUUCCUUUUCUCUCCUCUACGCACGCCACCGCACGAGGGAGGGGGCGACACGACGCCCAGCAGGGAUCGUGAGCCAACCACCCCACGUUCGAAGAUCUUUCUGCAACCGGAGGGCCUUUCUGGCCAAGCGUCCCUUGCGAAAAUAUAUGUGGAUGUCAAACCACAAGAAGGAACAGUGUAAAGCAACCUCAAUUAUUGCCAGCCGCUUUGGAGGAAUUCCGUUGGCUUGUUAAAGUCGUCGCCGUUCCUAAUCCUUCCAGUGCCGGGCCAAAAAAAAGAAAAGAAAAGGCAAACAAAUCCAAGAAAGAAAGCCAAACAGCAUUGCGAUUCUCCUGCCUCUGGCACUUUGCUGAUUCCUGUUGAGAAAUCCAGCUCAGAUCCAGAAAGGCCUGCACGUCUCGUUGCGAUCAAACCCGGUGAAGAUUUUGAGCUCUUGAAGGAAAAUGAAGAGAAAGAGGGACUCACCAGAUGCAGCGACAAUGUCUGCUUGUGUCGAUGAUGGCAAUUCAUCAUUAGGGGCUGAAUACGAAGUAUUUUUGAGUUUUAGAGGUCCCGAUACCCGCUUCAAUAUCACCGAUUGGCUCUAUCAGUCCUUAGCCAAUGCUGGGAUUCGCGUUUUCAGAGAUAAUGAAGGGAUCCGAAGGGGCAAAAAGAUUAAAGGUGAGCUUCUACAUGUCAUUGAAUCCUCCAAAAUAUACUUGCUCGUCUUCUCUAGGACCUACGCAUCUAGUAAGUGGUGUCUUUGCGAGCUCACACACAUGCUGGAGUGUUCAAUCAAAGCGAAUGAAAAAGUGAUCCUACCCAUUUUUUAUGACGUAAAUUCUGAGGAUGUAAAGCUCAAAACUGAAUUGUACCGUGGAGAUCUGAAGAAGCAUGAGAAGAAGGGCCGCUGCGAGGAGGUUCAGCAAUGGAAGAAAGCUUUGAAAGCAGUCGCAAGAAUCGCGGGAUGGGAAAUGAAGGACAAAUGGUAAGAGUAUGAUUUUGGAAACUGCUUUUGGUUCAUUUAUUUUCCUGAGCGGUAAAAAGUGAGAUUAUAAUAAGGAAUAGAAAUUUCUCCCAUUUUUUUCUGUUGUAAUUAAUCCCACCAAUCACAGUUAAUUGGCUUAUCCAUUUUCUUUCUUUUUUUCCUGGUAAUUAUCUUAUGCUCCCAAGUCACUCAUCCAAAUAGAGUAUAGAUCUAAUUUUUCAUUAGGCAAGAUUUCCUUUCACUAAAGAAAGUGAGCUUCCAUUUAGUAAAACCUCACCCAUUCAAAAAUCCAAUUAGUUUCGUGUCUACAAUAUUCCUCAACUUCAGAGUUCGUUUGUCAUAUGUUUCACGCUAAGACUCUUAUGUCUAUAUGGCAGCCAGGGUGAAAUCAUCAACAAUAUUGUUUAUGAGGUUUUGACCAAGCUUAUGAGUAGAAAGAGAAAAUUGCCCGAUCAUUUAGUCGGGAUUCAUGAUCAUGUUGAAGCUAUCAUUGACAAGUUAAACAAAGGUUCUCGUGAUGUUUGCUACUUGGUCAUCCAUGGAAUGGGCGGCAUUGGUAAAACAACUCUAGCAAAAGCUGUCUUUAAUCAAAUCUCCAAUCGAUUUGCAGUCUGUAGCUUCCUUUCAGACAUUCGUGAAUCUGCAAAACACCAAAGAAUUGUUGACUUACAAAAAACAUUAUUAUUAGAAAUUCUUCAAUCCCAAUUUCUAGAAACUCUCACUUCUGUUGACAUGGGAAUUGAAAUGAUUAGAAAAACACUUUGUGAUAAGAAAGUUCUCCUUAUUCUUGAUGAUGUGGAUAAUAGGGAUCAACUCUCUAAGCUAGCUGGGAAGAGUGAUUGGUUUGGUUCAGGAAGUAGAAUAAUCAUUACAAUAAGGGACAUCAACUUUUUGCCAAUCAAAGAGAAGGACAAAGAGAGUAGUUUCCAAGCACAUUCUCAAGAGUUUCAAUACUAUAAAAUGAAAGAAAUGGAUUUUUUCUAUGCUCUUCGGCUUUUUAGUAAACAUGCCUUCGAGAUGGAUUUACCACCACAUGACUUCGAUGAUAUCUCAAGGAAAAUUACUACCACAACGGGUGGACUUCCUUUAGCUAUUGCGGUUAUUGGUUCCUCACUUCAAGGCAAGAGCAAAAUGUCUUGGAAAGUCACUUUGCAGAAGUUAAAGUCGGUGCCCAACCGGGAAGUCUUCAAUAAAUUAAAAGUCAGUUAUGACAUGUUAGAGCCUGAGCAACAAGAGAUCUUUCUUGAUAUUGCAUGUUUCUUCAUUGGAAAAGAUAUACUCCACCCGAGCUAUAUGUGGAAAGCUUCCAACUAUUUUCCAGAGAUGGAACUACUUGUCCUUACUCGUAAGUCUUUGAUAAAGAUUACAAAAGAUCUUAAAUUUUGGAUGCAUGAUCAACUUAGAGAUCGUGGAAGAGAAAUUGUUAGGUGUGAAGACAUCAAUUUUCCAGAGAAUUGUAGCAGGUUGUGGGAGCCUGAGUUUGCCCUCGAAGUGGUUCAGAGGAAAAAGGUAAGCUAUUGUCCACUUACUAUUUUCUUUAGGAAAAACUCAACCAUGCAUUUUCCAAAGGUUGUGGAGUUAGUUCUUGCUGGUACAUUUUUUUAUUUAACUUUUACUUUGGCAAAGAAAAAAAAAAGGUUUAUAAGAAUUGAUGAUGGUAAUUCCGUUAUCUAUCAUAUCUAAAAGGUUACAACAUGAAAGUUAAUAGUAGCAAACACUUCAAGAUUACAUUUAAAUACUAGUUUGUUCAACCAAUUAUGUGAAAGCAUAUCCAUAUUGCAACUCCCCAGGCUAUCAAGGCUAUUUAAGGCUGAUUUUAUUCCUUUUUGCUAAGUUGGAAAUCGUUAGCAACAUUACUCUGUAAUGAGACCCCUUACCUGAAAUUUGGUAAUAGAUUUUGUAAUUGAUUGUAGUAUGUAAUCUUUUGUGUAUAGCCUGGUAGAGCUUUCAAACAAUAUACAAGAGACUUUUAUGAGGUUGGUUGAAUAUCUUUACUAUUAUGAAAGCGGAUCCCUUUUUUGCAUGCUCUUUUAUUAUGUAGAAUCAGCAACGAGUCCUAAAACAAGACUUUCUAGCUCUUGUCUUCAUCCUGUAAUAAACCUCACAGGAAACCUAAUAAGGGAAACUCUUGAGUAUAUCAAGCUUCCACACACCUUAGGCCAAGCAGAUUUCGGUGCAUAGAGUCGGAAUGGGGUUAUAAACUCAAGAGACUUUUUUUUUUUAAUUUGGUCUGGCAACUUUUUUCUAAAUUGCAAAACCAUUGCAGAACUUUUUUUUUGCAAAAAAGGUUAAUUAUGGGGGCGGUAUUUUUCUAUCAAACGGUUUUGCUCAGCGAUAUUAAAGUUUUUUGCAAUCAUUUUGCAACAGAGCUUAAAUUGAUAGAUUGAAAAUAUUAUUUUGCUUUAUACAACAUAAGCCAUUCAUUUCAAUUGUAUGAACUUCUUACUUAUUCUUUUCUCAAUUUAGAUUUGUAUGAACCAAUAAUGUGUGUUUAUUACACUGAACAUAAUCAAGCUCCUCAAACUUGUACAACACCUUGUUUGUCAUCUAGUUCAAAUGUUCACUUAUGCUUUUCCUAUUACUAGGGGACACAGAAAGUAGUAGCACUCAAGCUAACAAGACUCUCCAAAAAGCAAACUUUCACAAGUGAACAAUUUUCAAAGCUGCCCAAUCUAAGAUUCUUGGAAUUAGAGGGCGGAGACUUUGCUGGGGACUUCCAGAAUCUUCUCUCAAAGUUAACAUGGUUAACUUGGGUUGGUUGCCCUUUGGAUUUAAGUGCAACGAAUUUGUGCUUGGAGAAAUUAGUCGUGCUCUUGCUUAGCCGUAGUGAUAUUACUGAAGAUUGGGCCGGAUGGAAGUCAUGUCUGGUACAAACAUCAUAUCAUGCAGUUUACUUGUUUUAUCACAUUUGUCUUGCUAUUCAAACUUAUCAUUUCUUGAAUUGGCUAAUUCUUGAUUUGGUUUUUUUAGGUGAGUGAGAACUUGAAAGUUAUAGAGAUCUAUUUUGGUACAAGCAUGAAAAGGAUUCCCGACUUCUCGAAAUGCUCAAAUUUGAGGAGAUUGACUAUUCAAUCAUGUGCAAGCUUGCUAGUAAAUGAUGGCUCUCUCUCUCAACUAGAGCACCUAAAGUACUUAAAAAUCUGCUCUUGGAAUAUCGUGACCCUUUAUAGCCCGAUAGAGGCAAAUCGUUGUGAUGACCUUUUUCCAAAACCUUCUAUAUUUGGUAGUCUAAAAUCCCUAUCAACGCUAAUAAUAAAAGGGAUGUCCAUUCAUGAACUUCCACAUUCCAUUGGAGAGAUGACAAGUUUGAAUGAAUUGUCUUUGACUAAUUCUAAUUUGCCUAAACUUCCAAAUUCCGUAGGAGGUCUUAGAAUGUUGAGGACGAUGACACUUACAGACAGUUGGAUAGCGAAGCUACCGAAGACAAUAUGAGGAUUAGAGUCUUUGCUUGAGCUAGAUUUGACCAGAACAAGAAUUAGAAAAUUACCUGCGUCUAUUGGGAAUCUUAAAAAGUUGAGGAAGAUGAGCAUGCUUCAGGCUCCUAUAAAGAAGCUACCGAAGGAAAUAGGAGGGCUAGAAUCUUUGCUAGUGCUAGAUUUGAACUACACAAAGAUUACAAAGUUACCUACUUCUAUUGGAAAGCUCAAACAAUUGGAGAUUUUAGGUGUAAUUGGUACUGCGAUUAGAGAGCUACCAAUUGCCAUAUGGAUGCUAAAGAAUCUUAAAGUUUUGAAUGUUGGAUACUGUGAAAAUAUGGAGGGAGAAAUUCCAAGUGAAAUUCAGGGUCUAUCUUUUCUUAGGGGGCUACAGCUAUCAAAGAGCAAGAUUAGGAGAUUGCCCACAACUAUGAAUAAGCUUUCUCAUCGCCAACAACUUUGUUUGGAUCAAUGUUAUGAACUUGAACAGUUGCCAAAGCUUCCUGUGAGUUUGAAGGAGUUAAAAUUCUCACCUAUUUUAUUGUGGACAGCCCUUGACCUCUCAUACCUAUCUAACUUAGUCGAUCUUCAUAUAAAGUACAACACUCCUUGGUUCCCAGAAUUCAGACAAGGAGCCCCAAAUAUAAAGUGGAUUGAGGGGUUAUAUUGUCUAGAGAAAUUGACACUUGUCAUUGGAGACGUCAAAUUACCUCGAAUUAAUUUGGCUACUCUUUCUUGUCUUCGUAUUCUUGAGAUAACUUGUGUUCGCCUACAAUCUCUCAAGGGGCUUCCAUCUAGUCUUGAAGAAUUGACUCUACGUCAUGUGAAGUCACCCAUGAAAAGGUCACUGUUUUCCAACUUGAAAAAUCUGUCUCGUUUAUGGUUUUAUCAUAGUCAGCUAAGGAAGGUCGAAUUUGAUGAUGUACUUGGACAACAACUGGAGAAACUGCGUAUGUUGGGAUUUCAUGAAGAUAAAUUGCUUAGGAGGCUUACUAUAUCAGGUUUAGAGGGGCUCCAACAAUUCAGUACGAGAUCUUGCCCCGCGCUAAUGGAGAUUCGAGGUGUGGAGAAAUUGGAAUCGCUGGAGGUGUUGAGUAUUGACGAAUGCAGUUUUUUAGAAAGGUUGCCUGCUUUAUCAAAAUUAAAGAAGCUGCGGGUUUUGAGUCUCGGGGGUCUUCCACCGGAAGGGUUGCCUGAUUUAUCAAUGUUUAAGGAGCUGCGGCAUUUGAGUCUCACCGGUUUCCCACGGGAAAAGUCGCUUGAUCUACAUAUUCCAGACACAUGUCUAGUGCAUUUUGAACUCUUUUUGGGCACUUACAAAGCAUGGAAGGAUGCUUGCAGAAAUGGAGCGGGGGAUAUCUUCAACCGACUCUAGAAAGAAUAAAACAUCUCAUCCUCUUGCGGUUGGUAAAAGUUCCUUUGGUUUCUUCUUCCUCUAUAUUUUCUGUUUGUAACUGUUAGAAAUAUUCGGUUUAAAGCAUGCAUGCAUGUGCAUUGUCAGUCUCACAAAUACAUAAAGCACCAAUCGCUUUUGUAAUAUUCUUGAAUUUCAAAAUAAAGGGAAAAAGAAAGCUCUCAACAUGAUCCAUGGAUUAAACAGUUACGUUGUUGUUGGAAUUACAAGGUGGUUCAUAAAUGGGAUGAUGGCUAUAGAAGUAUUGUGAGAUUUUGUGUGGACCAUUGUCAACUAUUUUAAAAAACUUAAACUGUUAAAUGAAGACGUAGUUUAAUACUUAAUUAUUUUAACACGCUCUCUCAUGCUUAGGUUAUAUAUAUAUAUAUAUAUAUAGAAAUAUUUAAUUAGGGAGGCAAAUGAAGUCUGAAAAGAUUCGAGCUGAGCACUUCCAGCUAUGAUAUUAUGUGAGAUUUUGUGUCGCAUCACUCCUAACUAUUUUAAAAGCUUAAAUUGUUAGAUAAAGACGUGAUUUAAUAUUUAAUUAUUGUAACAAGUAUUAGUUGAUGUAAUAAUAGUUGUUCACAUUCUUUAUAAAUUUCUUAGGGGAACUUUGUGUUUGCCAAGAUAAAAUCGAUUCCAUUCUCUGUGUUGUUGAAAAAUCUGAGAAUAUCUUUUGUGUAUUAUCUUGUUCCUGCCGUUUGAAACCGAAAGCACUACAGAGUGCAAAGAAACUAUUAUUGUACUUUUUAGUUCUGCUCACGGAUAUCACAUAUGCCUUUAUCGAUUUUGUUCAUGGCCAUAUUUCAGGACGUACAUGCUCAUCAGGGAUUAUUUGAGAACUAGAUCGGCUUCAUUGGAUUGAAGUAAGCAAGUCAUUUCUUCUUGCAUCUGCAACACAUAUAUUGAUACUCAUGGAAAUAGUCGUCGAUGAUAUCAAUCAAGGAUUUGCACUUACUUUAGUCGGAAUCCAAAGACCUAAAAGAAAACAGGCUACUAUGCUGGAUUCUUAGCGAUGUAAAAGAAAUUGUCUAAGGUUCUACAAAUAUACCAAAAGGAAGUCAUAAAGCUAAAAUCCAUUAACAAAACCUAUUUCCUAUGUAAUAAACUCUUAGAAGUGUGUACAUCCAAAACUAUCACUUCUUGAAAGAGUCGUGGAGUGUCGCCGUUUGAUAUGAACAAACCAUUCUAAUUUUGGAGGAAAUGUCAAUCAAAGAAUAAAUUUCGCAAGAUACAAUGUGAAUUACCAACUUCUUCAACAUCUUCAUCAUUUCUUAUGGCUUUAAAGCACAACAAAUUACUGAAAUGGCUUGUUUCCUCAAUGUUGCAUUGUCGAUGAACUAGACCGUUCGCAUCUUCCUCAAUUUUUCUUAUGGUAAUCAAGUUUCACUUCAAGAUCUUUGACCUUCAAGACACAAUCUAUAUGAAUUUAGUUGCAUCAUCUAAAACAAUGACACGUGAAUGAACACGAGUAUGUGGCAGAAGUCAGAAAAGUCGAUGCGUAACUAGGUAAUGACAGUCUCUUAACCAUGUAAUGGUCUCAAGAUGGGGAUAUGACAACCAGAACGACCCAUGACAGAUUAAGCAUCCAUAUAAAAGCCCAACAACACGGAAAAUGUAGCAAAUUUGAAUACCGCCACUUCCAAGGGCUACACAUGUGAAGUAUUCAUCAAAUAGAUCCAUACUGCCUUUCAUCCUUCGAGUACGUUUGAUUAGUCCUGCAUAUACUAUCAAAAUGACUACUGGUAUAUGUUCAAACUACAGGGAGAAGUUCGCAGGGACCAGCUGGGGAAAGAAAUACCAGUCAUUUACUGCAUAGAAGCUGAAAUUCUAAAUGGCACAAAUCUCAAAAUACAAAUUGGUGGAGAGGCAGCAAACAUUUCUCUUGAUCGGAGAUGAUGGGUUGAUACAAGACUUGACAUUUUCCCCGAGAGGAAAGAACAUACUUUUGUUGUUAAGAAUUGUCUUAAAGCAAUCUCUUGAUCCAACCUGGCUAUGAGAUCUUCCAUGUCUGUUUUUGCUGUAGAUAAACUCUCUUGCGCAGUUGUAAGAACUCUGUUCAACUUAUGCCCCUCUUCCGACGGAAGAGGGACAGCUAAGACCCUUCGAAAACUGUAACCUUGUGGCGGCAGAAUGUUGCGCGCCAGGAAAUUUGGGAUUGUACGUAGUGUUGUUUGCAAUGGGGCUCCUCUGCCACUCACCAUGCUGUUUACACCUCUGUUGCAUACUUCAAGUGAGGAAAAUCUUUCGAUGUUGUCCAAAAUGGACUUUCCAUUUGAGAGUCCGUACUCCAAACCUGCUUCUGGAUAGGCCAGCUCACAUUCAGAUUUGUCGAUGCCAAGAUCAGCAGGAUCACUAUGCCCAAGUCUUGCAUAUCCAAGUUCGGAUAUGUCGUAGGAUGGAUCAUUGCCCUGCUCUGACAAUACUGAUGGACUUGCAACACUAUUAAAAACAUCAGCUACAGGUUGUGGUGUUAGCAGUGGAACUGCACCAGUGGCAAUCAAAUUUGCAUCUGAGCUCUGCUGAUGUACCCCAUGAAAAUCUGCAAAAUAAAAGGAAAAAAUAUACUAGUACCAUUACCCUCAUGUCUGUCAUGCAACAAUCUCGGUUCAAGUGAAGAUAAUAAUGAAGUAAUGAGGAUUUAUCAGACAAGCCCCUACAUUACCUCCCAGCAGCUUCAAGCUUGAGAAAGUUUGCUACCUAGCAGAUCGUGAUAUAUCGGUAUCAGGUAGGAGCUUAUCCAUCCAAACCUCCAGAGAGCACCUUCUCCGCAGUGAACCAAAUAUUCAAGCACAUUACUAUUACCAUUCCCGGGAAUGAAUUUACUAUGUAAAAAGGUAGCAUCAAACAGAGAAAUUUAUUUUACAGUAGAUCUUGGGAUGAUAAAUAAGUAAGCCCUUAAUGCAGAAAUUGUCAAGUUUGAGCAUAUUGCUAUAUCAGAAGCAAAAAAGCCAAAAGAAAAUUAUGAAAGAUCAAUGGAAAACACACUUCUAAUGAAACAAGAAAGAAAUAAUGCAGAAAAGAAAUCCACCUAAAACACAAGUAUCUACUUGAUUGUUAAAUCUGCAUAGCAAAAGGCACAAAGCUUAUAGAAAAAAAUGACUGCUAGGGCACUAUAAAAAUGCGAGAGAGAGAGAGAGAGAGAGAGAGAGAGAAGAAACAUGGCAUUUUCUUUGGAGGAGUUGAAGGCAGCAUUUUCACGGGAAAUCCCUUUUUAAGCAGCAAAAACAUGGAGAAAGGUAUCCAGUUUCCAGAAUAAUUUACUUGAAUGAUUAACCAUCUCCCUGUUGAAGAGGAUUUAAGUGCUUAUGAGCACAAUUCCAGAAAUUACAUACAUUGGUUGAGUACACAAUUGUCCAAGCAUUGAUACACUUCCCAAUCAUGAAACAGAACAGUCACCUCCUAUGAAACUUCAAAAAAUCACCACAUCUUCAUAAUAUUCCUCGUGUUCUGGCGAUCCCUUCCGGCGAUUGUAUGCCAACUUGAACCCUGUAAAACUGCUCUACAUGGAUGUUAAAAGAGCAAGUGACUUUUUUGAUGCCUAUACUUCAAUAAAGCUGGCGAGUCGCUGUAACAAGAUAUUGGCAUGAGGAUAUUCAUCUUUCCAGGAUACAUAGAUAUAUCUAGUCAUUAAGAUACAAAUCCUGUCUAUAUGUACAACAGAGAAAGCCUAAAGAAAAGGAAAUGAUUGAAAUUUGUAUUUACUUAUCCCGAUACAUUUACCUUCUUCGAAACUUAUCCUGAAGUCUUCGUGGGUUAAGUCCCUUUAUGAGAGAGACAUCUUUGAUGAUCAGAUUGCCCAGCUUUAUGUUGCCUCUACCAAUAAUUAUGUCUUUACCUUUUCCUCCAAAGGUGAGAAUACGCUAUCGUUUUGAAUGAGGCUUAUGAAUUUGGUAGCAUCACCGGUAAUGUGUCGCAAGCAACUGCUAUCGAAAUAUCACUUAUUUGGAGAUCCUAUUGCUAGUUCGCAAAAUAAUUCAAAACUUUUAAGUAUUCCGAAAAUUCAAUUUUAGGUCAAUUUCAUGAGAAAAUUAUUUUCUGACAUUCCGGCAAAAUAUGUGGUAAUUUACUAACUUGUAAGUAUUUUUGAGCUAUUUGAUAUGUGUCGAGCUCACAAAACCUAAGACCGAACCUCGGAGGGCAUUUUCAUAAUUUUACCGAAACAGGCUUUUUCCCCAAUACACUCUAGUUGUUAUAUUAAGUUAAUAUCUUCUGAUAAUGAGCUUUAAAUUGUGUUUAGGAUUAGGCAGAUCCAAUGGUUGACUCCGUAUAGUUUGACUUUGUGAGUUAUUGAGGUAGGCGACUUCUACCACUUCCAUAUUUGGUAAAAGCAGCAUGACAUUUUCUUUAUAGUGAACGAAACUUUUAUGUAUUAAUUCAUGGCAUGAUUAUUGAAAUCUAGAAAAAUAAUAAUUCGUGGCGUUCUAUUUAUGGAAAAAUGGAACAGGCAUUGAAUAAUUUUGGCAUCAAGUAAAUGUGGUUCGGAGAAGUUAUCAAGCUGAAAUUAUCAUCUAUGUUAAUGAUAUCUAUAUGCACGCAUAUUGGAUUAUGAUCUAGCUUUUGUGCUCAUCAUCAACCUAUGCAGUGAGAUCCAGUGUCUAUGUUCACAGACCGGUUCUAUUUUGAGAUUUAAUCAUGGUGACUUGAUUUUCGGGGCUUAAUCAUAAUCUAUGAGCUUUUUUGGUUUUAACCAACCGGAUAUGGUUUUCGGGCUAUGUUAUCCGACAAAGCAUGACCAUAGGAUUUUUGACAAAAGGAACUGAGAAUGAUUAUAUUUAUAUGUUACGCUAUGAGUUAUGCAAUUAUGGAAAGAAAAUGUAUGGAAUAUACACAUUAUUUGAGAAUGCAUGUUGGAGCUACUGUCAUGACCCACGUACGUACGUAAUGUUGCAUUGUCCAUUGCUUGCUCUUAAAGAAUGUAGUGACCAUCACUCUUAUUGAGCCAUGAUUUUGCUCAAUCCCCUUUAUGUAAUUUCUAGUUUUGAGAAUGGAGGAAAGCGACAAGUUUACAAAGAUCUUGUUAUACAUUUGAAAUUAUGCACGUAAAAUUGAUCAAUUCCUACUAUUUAAAUAUGAGGAAAAAAAAUUCAAUUGCUAAACAACAUUUUUUUGUAUUUGCUCCAACCAAAACAUAUAGCGAGAGUGACCUCGACUCGUGCCAAAACUUGAUCGAACUACGUGAUGACCAUAAUAAUAAAAAAUAAGUUAUCCACCUUCUCCUUUUCCUUUUUAAUGGUUUUUCAAGUCAGUGAUUAUAAAUUUCUAGCAUUGGCAAGAUUCUAGUAUUAUGCGCUAAAAGAUGCGGAUUUCUUUCCUAUGCUGGUAAAUUUGUGGUAAAGUUUGUCGCGACCUACCCCUUGGUAUGGAGGCAAACAUAGGUUUAGGGAUAUUGAAAGGAUAGGUUUACAGCCCGUGAUUUCGAUGCAGGCUCUUCCAAACCCAUACCUCGUGCGAUAUCAGAUGUUCAAAUUGACAGUAUUAAAAUUUUAUAUAAAGGAGUUGCCACUAGUCUAUUAGGAUCAACUAGAAAUCAAGUGAAAUGUGAUAGCGUACUUCACUUCCUACACAAUUAGAGAAUUUAAGGCCGAGCACUAAAUUACACUAAUUAAUCAACUAAUGCCUUUUUGGUACCUAUUCUUGUUCAAUUUAAGAAAAUUUUUGUUAGGCAAUUUGGAUUAAUUUUAAGUUUAUUCAUUAACUUAUGAGAUGAUCAUACGGAUGUGAAAUCAUUAAAAUAACAAUCAACAACCAAUGAAGUAUUAAAUAAAUUACAAGGCAAAGUGAGUAUCUACUGCUAAGAAAGGUACUAUUUUUAACUAGACUAACAAUCAACAUGUUGAGGGUCUGCAAUUCAAUUAUAGUCGAAAUAAAGAUGUGCGAACAACCACUUGGCAUUCAUUACUAAUAAUAUAUUGUAAAACCUUAAGAGCUCGUUCCAUUUUGAGCAAAAUAUUUUCAUCGAGGAUUUUCACACAUUUUAAGAGAAAAUUACUAAAAAGAUAAUUUUUAAAUAAAAUUAUUUUGGGAAUUUAAAAUUUUUUAAUUUCUUUUAUUUAAUCCGAAAAUAGGGACCCGCGCCGGGCCCUAAGGCUCGGUCCGAACACGGGUUGAACUUGGACUCUUGAGCCUGGGCUCAACCCAUCUUGCUAGAGUACAAACCCAGCCCAAACAAAACUAAGUCCACACUUGUGUAACCUAAGUAAAGCCCAGCUUACCAAACUAGAACUUAAGCCCAACACUUGCUGGCCCCAUAACUAGAACUCAGCCUAUUUUCAACGCCGAGGACCACUUUUUGUUAAAAAUCAAGAACAAUCUUUUAGACGAGUCGGAAUCUGAGACUAACUUGAACAGAUUUGGUUCGGGCAUUUCUUCAAACAUAUGGUGAGCGGCGAGUUGGGGAGCAAAUAUUGACUUGUUCGGAGGCUCGAGCGCACACCCAAACUCAAAAGUAAUCGACGAGCAACGUUCGGAUUCCACAAAAACCAACUCAUUCAGAUCUGGCACGAGCCAGAACUAAAGAAAUGGAGUCAACUCUCACCUCGCUCGAGACAGGACAGAACAAGGCGGGCAAAGAGGUUCGUGGAAUUAGCGUCCAACCGUGGGGGUUCCUACCCGGCUCGGCGACGACGACCAGGAGGUGAGCCCGAAGCGAAUCGAGCUAUGUUCAGCCGCCUCGAUGUCGCCGAGCCGGAUCCUUGGGUACAAGUGGAUCGAACCCCAAGGAAAACUCACCUGGAAUUCAAUCGCCGCGGAAGAGGAGGCAGCGGGCUCUGGUUUUUUCAGCCGAAGAAGAAGAAGCAGAAGCAGAAUCCUCAGUCUGUCUUGUUCCCCUCCCUCCGUGCUCUUUUUGCAGCGCGCGCCAAUAGGGAGGGGGGAAGGAGGAAAAGAUAAGGGUUGGGCCGAAGGAGGGGAAAAUCGACUGGGCCGGCCGAGGCGAAGAGAAUGAAGGGAAAGACAAAAGAGGCCCGGCCCGGUUCGUUUUCCAUUCUUUUUUAAUACUAAUAAUUAAAAUUGAUAAUGAUUUUUUUUUGAAAAUUUUAAUAAUUAAUACUAUUAAUCCAAAUGCUCCUAAGGUCUAUAUGUGAUGCAUUUUAAUGAAAAUCAUUUACUUUACCUUUUACUUUUUACUUUAGAAAAAAAAAAGAUCAAUCCCUAAUUUUCUAUGCAAUUAAGUCUGAAAUAAAAAUGGUAAAAUUUAUGUGUCAAUAAAUUUUAGCUGGUCUUUUUUGCCGAUCGUGCUUCCCUACCAUUUAAUUAUCAAAAAGAAGAAGAAGAAACCAAUAGAAUGCAUUAUGAUUGCUUGAACUUUGCUAGCAAAGGUGAUUAUGCUUGCGUUGGAAAGAAGUAAUAAAAAUUUUGUUUAGGUUUCUUACUAUUGUCUCCGAUGCUUUUUACAGACUCUCUGAUGAGCUUUAACAAUUUUAGCCCCAGCGAAUGUGCGCGAAACAUACACAAAGCAACUUGCAUAAAGCUGCGUAGAAAAUAAAAUUGAAAAGCCUCCAAAACAUAUUAUAUAUAUAUAUACAAGAAAAUCCCAUAAGGCUCUCAAGAAAAAAAAAUUAAAUUUACCCUUAUGAGAUUGUAUUCAAUUAGGAUACCAAUUACGUCUAUCGGCCACGAUAUCGAUGGGCCGAAAUAGCAAGCGGGAGCCCACUGCCGCUAUUAAACUAGCGGUGCGCAUCAAAGUACCUACAAUUCUAUUUUUCCAAAUUUCGUACAUACAAUUCUAUUUUUCCAAAUUUCCUCAUAGUGACUGGAUAUAUAAACGUGUCGAUGAGUAUGGUUUUGGAACCAUAUGGCCGUUGAGGGUCAACGGCGUGCGGGAUAAUUCGAGAUUGAAAUCGAAUUGGAGCUGCCGCGAGGGCAUGACACAAGGAAUUCGAUGCGGAUGGAUUGAUUCCAAUUUUUGGAUUUCCACACGAGCCCGACGUGGAAUUCGUUACUUGAAUAUUCAGCAACGAAGAAAUGCAUUCUAUUCGGGAUGAUCGUACAAGAAUUUCCCGUCGCGCUUGUCGUGGCAGUCCGGAGCUCUAGGGUGGUGUCUAAGGUAUCCUCCCCCACGGUAAUGAGAAGGUCCCCGAGUUCGUGGGACUGCAACUUGGGGGAUUCAUCCUGAUUUAAAGAAUCUGCCAACUCAGUAGCAAUUAUGGCAUUAGUUUCUGAUUUUGGACAACUACAUGUUCAUGUGUAAUACCAAAAACGUCUUCCGAGUAGCCUUGCGAAUCAUUUAGAUGAACUUCUCAAUUCAAACUUGCCCGCGAAAGUGUAUAGCCCUGCUCGUCCGCCCAAGGAAAGGCGGCAAGAACCAUCAUAGAAGCAGCUGCAUUGGCAUGUUCGAGGUCGAGGGUCACUUAGGUGAAGUGGGAAGUCGGUUGCGAUGGAGAUCGACUUCAAUUGAAUCUAGAAGAAGGAUUUAUUUUGAAGUAACUGUAAAACUCUAGACCGGACAAAAUUCCUUAAAAAGUUCUAAACUUAUUAUAAUUGUGUCAAUUUAGUCCUAAAUCUUUGUCUUUUUAACUAAUUGAGUUUUAAACCUUUUACAUUUUUGUCAAUUUAGUCUAUCUGAUUAAUUUUAGCAAGAAAAUUGUUGACAUAAAUAUCGGUUAUUCUAAGUGGUGCGGUCGAUACUAAUGUGGACAAAUUUUUAAUAUUUUUUUUUCUCCCUUCUUUUGCUUCAAGCUGUGCCCAAAGACGGUUGCUGGAGCUUGCCGGCCACUAGGCGAGGCCAUGGCCGCCUUCCGCAGCCACGCACCUUCAUUAACUACUUGAAGCUCUCUACCGGUCCAACAGCGAAGCUUCACCAUUGAUUGCAAACGUGAUGUACUUGACUUUGAACCAAACGAGAGAGAGAGAGAGAGAGCUUUAUGGGUAGGCCUUGAGGGUUUUGUUUCUAGGUUGCGUUGUGAAGCUCAAAGAAAAAGAUUGAGUGGGAGGCAUGGCUGUCGUUGAAGGCGACAAUGGCCUUACUAGCCGUGGGUGAGGCAUGGCAAGGCUACCCUCCCCCAAUGGCUAGUGAGCUCCGACAACCCUCACCAGCCAUAAGGAAAACAAAAGAGGGAAACAAAAGAAGGGAGGAAAAAAAGAAGAAAAAAAGUUAAUAAAAUAUUCGAAAAAAAAUUUGUCCACAUCAACGCCACGUAGGAUGACUAACAUUCAUGUUAGCGAUUUCCAGCCAAAAUCAAUCGGAUAAAUUGAAUUGACAUAAAUGUAAAAGGCUUAGAAUUUUAUUGGUGAAAAAAAAAAGAUUUAGGACUAAAUUAACAUAAUUACAAUAAGUUUAGGAUCCAAAAAAUUGGUACGCACCUAAGCGGCUGGGAAAAAAAUUCAAUAUUGAAAAGGAAUUCUUAUGUUGAUUCACAUUUUCAUUUUCAUUUUUUUUUCAAAUUUUGACUUUUUGUCAUAUAAAAUGCAUCAUCCAACUCGAAAACUUUACAAAAUGCACUUAUACAUGUAGAUUCGCGUAAAAUUUUACAAUAUUCCCUUGAAGUUUCAAUUAUUUUCAAAUUUGGAUGAGGAAAAUGAAAAAAAAAUAAAAAUUGCUCUUGACCUUUUUAUUCCAAAGCAUAUGCAAAUUUCAAUUGCUCAAAUUUCACGCGGCAGUAUUAUUUGAAGACAAUUUUAUCAAGAACUUUGAUAGAGGUAUAGUUAGGAUUGCUAUAUUUUGUCUUCGAAUCAAUAUAAUAAUAAUGUAACAGAUCUUAUAAUCAAACGACGCUAUUAACACUUUAACACCCUUCUCAUUCUUAUGUGUAAGAUAUGAAAUUUGGCUUCGAUACAAUCAACCAUUAUGUAAAGUGACACCACAUACAAUCAUAAUCCAUUGGAAUGUCACAUUCGUAAAAUACGAGAUAACGCUUUAAUAAAUAAAGCAUACGGAUCCGUAUCUGUGUGAAAUUUAGAACUUUAACUGAUGAAGCGACUCAAUUACUUGUUCCACUUUCCUCUAAUUUCUCUAAUCAGGCCUUCUUUUCUCCCCCGAAACCAAAUUGGGCACAAUUUUCAGAAACUAAAAUACAAAUAGCAAAUACUGAGCAUCUCCAUGCAUUUCCAUGAUCAAGAGAAUUCUUGCCUGAUGAAGAAGUCUAAUUGUACCUGGAGUUAGCAUCAAUAGUGGCGCGAGAGUUUUCAUAAAUUACAGGGUGGCAACCAUUAAGGAGUUAUGGAGAAACAUGAGGAUUAUCAGGACCAUGAUUACAAAGAAAUAUGAGGAUUAUCAGGACCAUGAUUACAAAUUUCUUAAUUAUUUUUCAAAUUAAUAUCUGAACUUUAGUUUGGUUCACGAAUUAUUAACCGUAUAAUGAGAAUGUCACUACUUUGGCAAAACCUGCAUUUGGCAAAUACCGUACAGUGUUCUACCUUCAUUUGCCAGAAUAGCACAAACCCAUACAAGUUGGAGGUGACAUAGCAGCUUACAAUUCUCAUGUAAAUAUGACACCUAGUAAUACAUGGGAGCUUCAGCAGGGUCAUAUCCAAUCUCAUAGUAUUCGCCAGAAAGACUCCCCAUAGGCGCAGUGCCCAUGGGACCGGAUGCUGCUCCGGAACUCCGGACCUCUCUCACGACCCGCUUCAGAUUGCUCCGUUGCACCUCAGAGAUCCGACUAAUGGUCGCCUGUUAAAAACUGAUGGCGGAGUCAGUAAUAGUGGAGAUUUGAGAGGACGAUGUUGCUUCAAAGCAGAUGGGGGCGGAUUGAUUCGCGGUCAGGAAUUACCUUCUCCGAGGGCCAAGUUGAAGUAAAGGUCAUCAUUGUUGGGGCAGUUGUGGUAACACGCCGGUGAGCAGAGCUUGGUAGUGAAGCGAGGCUGAAGGAGAGCCUCUGAAGAUAUGCCAACAGACUUCCUAUCCACUCCACAGGCAUCGGUCUCGAUCCACUCGUGCAUGUAUCCACAGCCACUUGAGAGUUCUCGCAUUUGUAUUCCAUCUUCCCAUCCGUUGGGCUCACGUAGUUCUCCAGGACGCACCGCCUUCCGUUAUACCAAGCAACUGCUCGCAUACAAUGUCACCUGACAACGAAAAAGGUAAGGAAAGAAAGACAGGUCAAUCGAAAAAUCAAAUAGCUUGUCACGGUUGCAUUGUGGUGAAGAAGAACCACGGGUUAUAUACCCAUUACCCAGAGCUCUUUGGCGGAAGAGUGAGAAGGCAAGGAAGAGAUUCCAGGCCAUUUUGGGAGAAGAAGAGGAAGCCUGUUUCUCAGGCCAAACACGGGCGAGUGAGAGAUCUCGGUGUCUUGCUUGCUGUGCUUGUUUCUGUAGCAACUUUUCUUUUGCUGGUGAUGAAUAUGAAAGUGUAAGCUAGUGAAGGGAGGAGCUUGUUUCUGCACCGUAAUUCCCCAUGGAAUUCGAUGACACUCCCUCCAACCACCGUAAAUCAAUUAUAAAUCAAUAACCAGGCAUCUUCAAGAAGAAAUAAAACAAGUACACUCCCCAAAUUUUACAUGCAAGGAAAAAAAAAUAAAAGCGAAAAACUAAAAAAUAAAAUAUAGGCAAGCAGUGAAAACACCUUUCUUUCUUCUUUUUUUGAUAAUUUCGUCAGGAAUAUUAGCAUAUUUACAUAAAUCAUAAACCCUAUCUCUUCGAUUUACAUAACAUGCAAUAAAAAGCAAGAAAAAUUGAAAAAAAAAUAAAAAACCGAAAGAUAAAAAAAGAAAAGAAAGAAGAGAAAGCAAGCAAUGGUAAAAACAGUUACUUGCUUUGGAAUAUUAUUUUUCUUGUUGACUUGUUGACUGAGGUUCUGCUCUCUCUUUUCAAUCCAAUCAUUUGAGGGGCUUCCAUGUGGCACAUUGGAGAGACCGCCACCAAACUGGACCCUACCCGUGUUGGGUAUGCUAGGCGGCUUCAUCGCGCGAAUCCGGCCUGGGGGAAUUUCUCAAUUUGAUUAAUUUACCCCCAGCGGUUUAUCAUUAUCUCAUUUUAACCUGUUCUAUCCAGUNNNNNNNNNNNNNNNNNNNNNNNNNNNNNNNNNNNNNNNNNNNNNNNNNNNNNNNNNNNNNNNNNNNNNNNNNNNNNNNNNNNNNNNNNNNNNNNNNNNNNNNNNNNNNNNNNNNNNNNNNNNNNNNNNNNNNNNNNNNNNNNNNNNNNNNNNNNNNNNNNNNNNNNNNNNNNNNNNNNNNNNNNNNNNNNNNNNNNNNNNNNNNNNNNNNNNNNNNNNNNNNNNNNNNNNNNNNNNNNNNNNNNNNNNNNNNNNNNNNNNNNNNNNNNNNNNNNNNNNNNNNNNNNNNNNNNNNNNNNNNNNNNNNNNNNNNNNNNNNNNNNNNNNNNNNNNNNNNNNNNNNNNNNNNNNNNNNNNNNNNNNNNNNNNNNNNNNNNNNNNNNNNNNNNNNNNNNNNNNNNNNNNNNNNNNNUUCCCUAUCGUAGUUGAUCUUGCCUCCAACUGAUUUGGGUUCCCAUUGUCGACUCAAGAACUCAAAAUAACUUGUGUUGAACCCCGAUUUUUUACGCGACUUACCAUCUAGUAUUGAAGGUUUGACUUUGGUAGAGUGGUGUCACCAUUAGAGUGGUCACUCCUUUCCAACUUGAAAAAAUUGUCCACUUGAGAGCAUCGACGGUGUUGGCUAACAGGGAUCGAGUUUGAUGUGCUUGGACAGGUAGAGAACCAGCAUUCCUUGUCUGUCAACAUUUUGUGAAUUGAUUGUGAGGCUUUCCAAGCUAUCGUGGUUAAAGCAGCUCCGAUGGUUGGUUUCGAUUAAAUUGCCUGGAGCUAAUUGAGAUUCAAGGCUUACAGGACUGGAAUCCUUUGGAAGAGUUAUCAAUUGAGGAUUGUCGUUGCGUUCAAAGUAUACAUAAUCUAUCAAAUUCGCAUAAGCUAAAGGAAUUGAGUCUUUAUUCUUGUACAUCGUUGGAAUUGAGUUUUCAUUCUUGUUACAUGACUUCGAUAUCCCUUUUUCCAAAUUCACAACGAGGGAGAAAUCUCUAGGUAGAACCUUCUCUCACAUUGUCAAGGCAGAACAUUUUUCAUUUGCUUGUGAGGCUUUCCAAUUAAUCAUUUCACGUUCAGAGCACCUCCAACGGGUGGUAUUGACUGAAUGCCCAGAGCUAAUUCAGAUUGUGGGCUUGGAGGAAAUUGGAAUAAUCUGUUUUCUUCUCUCUUUCUCCCGCCAAAAUAGGAAAUGAAAUCAUUGAAUCCAUUGCUAAUUGAAUUCAACUUCUCUGAAGAAAGGUUACCCGGUCUAUCAAAUAAACUAAGCCGCGGAAUUCUCUGGUUGGUAUGAUUUCAGAGGUAAAAGCAAGAGCAAUGCGAUUCUGUUCAUUGUGGUCGUCAUUAAAAUGUCAACACAAGUCUGUCUUUCAAAUGAUCUACGUAUCCAUUUCCCACUUCGCAGUGAAAUGAAUCGGCUACUUUUAGUUCGUUUUUAGCCUUUUAAUUAGUCAAUUAAAAACAAACGGUUUUGGGUACUUCAAUGAAGAGAUACCGGAAGAUCAAGAGAGUCAAGUCAAAAGUACAAACUAAGUAAAAGAAAGUUAUAAGAGAUGAGAUGUCGAGCAUAUAGUACUCAUAGAGGACUGUAGAAUUGACCACGGAAAGUAAAAGGAUUCAUGUCAGUGACCACAUAGUGAUAAGUUCAUUGUCUGUGUUAAAAUAUGUCUCGAGUUUGAAUUAUUUAUAAAACCCGAUCUAAUUAAGGAAAAGAGGACAUGACUAGAAAGAGAGAUAUAUACAUACAUACAUAUAACUUACUAAAUAACUUCUUAUUUGCGUAUACAUACAUAUGUAACUUACUAAAUAACUUCUUAUUUGCGUAGUUGCAAUUGAAAAGCUCUCUUGAACCAAAGCAUGGUAAUCAUCCUCCCAAUUGAUAAUUUUUCGAUAGUUCUAUCCACCAUCCAAAAAUAGUAGAUCCUCCAAGAUCGAUUGACAUGUAAUAUUCCACAGAAUCCCAUUAAUGCCACUGCGAAACCCGAUCCUAAUCCUGAGUAAAACCAAUUAACAACAGAGUCACCUUCAGAGUCACCUUCAGAGUCACCUUCAUUAUGCUCAUCUCUCAAACAAACUUUCAAAAGAGGAGCUCCACAAAGUGCAUGGUUGCCUCGAUAAGCAGAUUGAUCAUCCAGAGUGCUUAGUUGAUUCCCUGAUGGAAUAGGACCAGAUAAAUUGUUGAAGGAAAGAUCCAAACGACUUAGAAAGUAUAGAUUGGAUAUGCUAGGAGGGAUUUCACCUAAUAGCUUGUUAUUGGAUAGAUCAAGAGAUUCCAAAUAUCUCAAGUUGCUAAUAUCUAAAGGGAUUUUCCCGAUCAGCUUAUUUCGAGAGAGGUUCAAAUUCUGAAGUUGAACAAGCUUAGUUAGUCCUUCCGAUAUUUGUCCUUCUAGUGCGUUGCUUGAAAGGUCAAUAGAGAAUAAAUAUUGGAGCGUCGUGGUGACUUCCAGGCUUAUUCCUUUUAUAUUAACCACCACAACGAAGAAAAGCCUCCCGUUAUCAACCAUAGGAUAUGAACCAAAGCUAGAAUUGGCCCACAUCUGCGAGAAUUCGCUAAAACAAGGAGGAAUGCCUCCAGAAAGGUUGUUAUGCGCUAGGCUUAGAUAUUGGAGAUCAGUAUUGUGACAUAAUUGCCAAGGAAUGUCCUUGGUGAAGUAAUUUCUCUCAAGAUUGAUUACCUUAAACCAGCCGCUAAAUGGAGGUAUUCUACCAGUGAACAAAUUGUCACUGAGAUCAAGGAUUUCCAAUAUAUAUAGGUCUUUUAAACAUUCUGGAAGCACUCCAUUCAAGCCAUUUUUAUGGAGGCCUAGAACUUGCAAAGACUUCAAUUCACAUAGAAAGCUUGGAAAAUGACCAUUUAACUUAUUGUCACCCAAUGAAAUCCAAUUCAAAGAAGAUUGCAACCCCCAACAUGAUGAAAGUCUUCCAGAGAGUUGGUUCUUAGAGAGAUCAAGAUACUUAAAUCCAUCAAACAUGCUUGUAAAAUUUGAAAUGUCACCACUAAGGUUAUUUCCAGAAAGUGACAGUUGAUAUAAUCUUGGUGUCUUUUUUCCAACAAUUUCGAAUAUGUUGCCUUUGAGCAUAUUGCUCGAGAGAUCUAACUCUUCAAUGUUAUUUAAAACAUCAGGUAGCCAAUGGGGAACUUCAACUGCGAUGCCAGCAUUUGACAUGUGCAAGGAGACAAUGUUCCUUUGAGUUUGAAGCCAAUUUGGAAAUUCUGGUCCUACCUUGCAACUUGACAAGUAAAUCGUUAUUAAUUGGAAUGGAGGAACCCAAGAUGCACUAACAUUUAUAACAAGCUUGUUUAACGAUAACAUAAAAUAGGUCAAGCUGGUGAGAUUUGCCAAGUGAAGUUCGCUGACGACUCCAUCCAAUCGAUUGUUAUGAAAGUCCAAAUAUUUUAGAUUGGAUAGUUGCCCUAUACUUUUUGGAAUGUUCCCACUCAAAUUAUUUUUAUCGAGGAACAAAUAUCUUAGAGAUGAUAAUUGACCCAUAGUGACAGGAAUAGGACCUGAAAUCAAGUUAGAUCCAAGAUCAAGGAUUUCAAGAUCUUUGAAAUCCCCAAAUUGACUGGGUAGAUGACCAAUGAAAUUGUUCCGAUAAAGUCCUAGAUACUUCAGAUGCUUCAAUUCGCUAAGAGCAGGAAGAACCUUACCUCCUAGAUCGCACUUUGUUUGAUCGAGCUCCAAGAUGUGACCAGUCUUGUUGUUGCAUUUGACUCCAUCCCACUCGCAACAAUGCUCGCCAAUCCACGAUGACAGACAUCUCAAAGGAUCGGUGAGAUUUUGCUUGAACUUCAGAAGAACUUCCCUCUCGGCACCAAUGCAGCUUACAUUUGUUAAGGCAUUGGAGUGACUGACUUUCAAGGAUUGAAUGACAAAGAGUGCGUGCAAGAGCGCAAAGAUGAAGUUAGCGUAGAAGUAGGACGCCAUUGUUGUUUAAAAUGAACCUGAUAACUUCCAUUUAUAAUGGCAAAGCGACCCUUCCUUUAAGAAAUAUUAUGUUUUUUAUUCACAAAAAUGUAGAAAAAAAUAAGGAGGAAGUUAACAUAUUUUCUAAGUCCAACCUCUGAUCGCUUGCCACCUAGAGCGACUUAAAAAUUCCAAGUCGUGCGUUGCAAGACCCGUUGAAUCGUUUAAGACAUCAAUCGAGCAAACCGUUUGAAAUGGUGUUAGCAUAGAGUAAACAUUGGGUUUGGGCCCCGCCAGGAAAACUUCGGCCGAAAGCUGUUGAAGACCAUGGGAAGCCCCUUGAAAAGAGAUCUUUUUGGACAUUUCUUCAUGUUGUAAGGGAAAAAGAAAAAAAAAGGGUGGUUCUGUCCAUCAUAAGUUGAUUUUCUGUUUUCCUUUUCCUGUGUCCACAGCAAUUUUAAGAAAAAGAAAAGGUUUCGUUUGCUGUUUGUUCAGCUGAGAAUGAAUGUUUUGUGAAAUAUUUUCCUAAAAAUGAUUACUUGUAAUAAUUAGUUAAUGAAACAUGUUUUCAUUAUCGACAACAAUUUAUGUCCAAAUAUUUUCGUGGACAAUGAAAUAUUAUUCGUUCAGUCAUUUUUUGAGCGAUAUAAGCAAUUAUUUUUAGUAAAAUAUUUUUCAAAUUAUUUAUAUUUCGUACGACAAAAUGGCUCUAAACAAUAACGAAUUGUCACCAAUUUUUUUGUUUCCACCCCAAAUCAGAAGCCACUAACUGUCAUUGUUCUUCGCGUGAAAAGAAGCACUUCACUUGGGCAACAUGGGAACCUGAAAUGCGCGAGUCAUGAUGCGGAGGCAACAGUUUCAGAUUCUGCUCUCGUGAUCAAAGCUCUGUAGAUUGAAGUAGGUAUUUAUUAGCUCCUGAAGAAAACUUCCACCUACGCCGAAGCUAUCCUCAGUUCCUUUUCCUGAAUUUUAGAAGAGCUUCCCUCUCUGUAUUAAUAGAGCUUACAUUAGUUGGAGCACGGAAUUCCAAUGCUUGAAUUACAAAAAGUGUACACGAGAGCUUAGACUUAAAAACUAAAAGUUAGGGGAUAAUUACCAAAAAGGUUUUAAACUUAUUAUAUGGAUAAUUCAAUCCUAAGCAUUUUAAUUUGACCAAUUUUUUUCUAAACAGUUAGACAAUUUGUCAAUAUAGUUUUUAUGAUCAAUUUUGGUGGGAAAUUACUAACGUGGUCACUAGUUGUGGACGUGACACACCCAAUUCUAACAUGGACAAUUUUUACAAUUAUUUUAAAAUAACAUUUUUGAAUUUCAUAUUUUAUUUUCUUCAUUUUUUUUAACUAUGGCUUCUUUGGGUCACAAGCAAGGCCUGACGAUCCUCACUAGUCAAUUGGGCAAGGGCUGCAACACCCUUGCCUAGAUCUAGUGACCUGCGCCACAAUUGAGGCAACGAACCAGUGGAGGGCAAUAAGAAAAAAAAUAAAGAAAAUAUUUUAAAGAAAUUGUUCAUGUUAACGUGGAUUGUGUUAUGUAGGACGGCUAAUGUCUACGUUAGCAAUUUCUAACAAAAAUUGGUUGAAGGACUAUAUUGGCAAAUCUCUAAAAGGUUUAAAACUGAAUUGAUAUAUGUACAAUAAAUUUAAAGUUAAAAAAAAAAUUCCCUUUAGGGUAGGACGCCAUAGUUCUUCGCACUUUUCCAACUUAGGAUUCGCAAAUACAUUAGUGCUAGGUUGGGUCAAAUGGAUCUCUUUAUUUGAUUCACAAGGAAAAAACACUUAAUCUUUUCCAUAUCCUAUAUUAUGAUUUGAUAUUUCCAAUUCAAUGCCCUCCAAGACCCAUCCAGUCCUUUAUUUGCAAAUACAUUAGUGCUAGGUUGGGUCAAAUGGAUCUCUUUAUUUGAUUCACAUGGAAAAAACAAGGAAAAAACGCUUAAUCUUUUCCAUAUCCUAAAUUAUGAUUUGAUAUUUCCAAGUCAAUGCCCUCCAAGACCCGUCCAGUCCUUUAUUCGCAAAUACAUUAGUGCUAGGUUGGGUCAAACAGAUUUCUUUAUUUGAUUCACAAGGAAAAAAACACUUAAUCUUUUCCAUAUCCUAAAUUAUGAUUUGAUAUUUCCAAGUCAAUGCCCUCCAAGACCCGUCCAGUCCUUUAUGCCGUUUAUUAUUUUGUACUCUAAACCUUUCAACAAUCUCACGACAUCUUAUUUUAUUUGCCAAUGUAGAAAGUUUCUAUUUGCAACCGAAUUGUAAGUUGUGAUAGAAAGUCCAAUCAAGAGAAUAUAGGGCUUGUUGUCCGGUGAUAUGAAAUUACAUUUCAACACCUCCGCUCACAUUCAAGCUAGAUUAAGAGUGACAUGAGGAAUUUGACUGAUGAGGCGUGGACAUGCAUAUGCAAAGGUUUAGGAUUAUAUUGGCAAAUCUUUAACAGGUUUAAAAUCGCAUUGACGUCUAUAUAAUAAAUUUAAAGUUUUCAAAAUAAUUUUCCUUUUAGGGAAGGACGCCAUAGUUCUUUGCACUUUUCCAACUUAGGAUUCAAUGAAUAUAUUAGUGCCAGGUAACGGAUCUCUUUAUUUGAUUCACAAGAAAAAGGCACUUAAUCUUUUCCAUAUCCUAAAUGAUGAUUUGAUAUUUUCAAGUCAAUGCCCUCCAAGACCUGUCUAGUCCUUUUUGUCGUAUUAUUUUGUACUCUAAACCUUUCAACAAUCUCAUGACAUCUUAUUUUAUUUGCCAAUGUAGAAAGUUUCUAUUUGCAACCGAAAUGUAAGUUGUGAUAGAAAGUCCAAUCAAGAGAAUAUAGGACUUGUUGUCAGGUGAUAUGAAAUUACAUUUCAACACCUCCUCUCACAUUCAAGCCAGAUUAAGAGUGACAUGAGGAAUUUGACUGAUGAGGCAUGGACAUGCAUAUGCAAAGGUUUAGGAUUAUAUUGGCAAAUCUUUAGAAGGUUUAAAACCGCAUUGACGUCUAUAUAAUAAAUUUAAAAUUUUCAAAAUAAUUUUCCUUUUUAGGGAAGGACACCAUAGUUUUUUGCACUUUUCCAACUUAGGAUUCGAUGAAUACAUUAGUGCCAGGUAAUGGAUCUCUUUAUUUGAUUCACAAGAAAAAGGCACUUAAUCUUUUCCAUAUCCUAAAUGAUGAUUUGAUAUUUCCAAGUCAAUGCCCUCCAAGACCCGUCUAGUCCUUUAUGUCGUAUUAUUUUGUACUCUAAACUUUUCAACAAUCUCACGACAUCUUAUUUUAUUUGCCAAUGUAGAAAGUUUCUAUUUGCAACCGAAUUGUAAGUUGUGAUAGAAAGUCCAAUCAAGAGAAUAUAGGACCUUUCGUCAGACAACGUGGAAUUACAUUUCAACACCUCCUCUCACGUUCAAGCCAGAUUAAGAGUAACAUGAGGAAUUGACUGAUGAGGGGUGGACAUGCAUAUACAAACGGGAUAACACUAACUCCGAUAUUAUGAUAAUUAUUAAGUUGAAUGAGACCACGUGAAUGAAUAUAAAGAGCAUAAAAGAUCUAUUGUCAAGCGAUGUGAGAUAAUAUUUUAACAAAUUAUUCUUACUAUUAUGCAUAUCAUGUUUUUGUAGAUGCUGGUUGGUAAAGCAAUCCCACAGUCAUGCCAAGAUUGAUGCCAUUUGCGAUGGCAAAAGAACACCCCAAGUACCAAAAUUUUGCAUAAAUGAAUACUUAAGUGACAAAAGUUACAAAAGUGCCACUUAAGUGCCACAUUUUUUUGAAAUGUGAGACUUGAGUGCCACAUUCGAUGAACCUGGCUGGAAAUUCUACAUGGCAAUUAAAUAUUAAUAUUUCUUGCCUACGUGGCUUGCCGAAAGUUGACUCAACUCUGAUUCACCCAAACCUACAUCGUUUCUAUAGUUGCCAAAAAUAAAGCCCUUAAAUUGGCCAAAACGAUGUUAUCUCCCCAAAUGCCUUAAAUCUAUAACCCUAAAUCGGGCAAAAUCCCCAUUGAAGCGCUUGAGCCCUAGUCCCGAACUCUUAUUCGAUUUGCCCCAAAUUGUACAGCCGAAUAUUGGAAAUGCAGAGCAAGAAUUUCAGCAGCGGCUCAAAUUCCUUUCGCCAAAGCGAAGGAGAAGGCGGGUGUUUUUAUUUUUAUUGGUUACCAAGUUCAAGAAGAACAUUAUGGACUCGAAUGAAUCCCAGGAGAAGAUUCUAUGGAUGCGCCUGAUAUAGAGAAGGGUCAAAGUGCAAAUACUUCAAAUAGGUCGAUGCGAAGUUCUCUCACUGAGCCACAGAGGUGAUAUUAGACCUACUUAAUGGACGACAUCAACCUCCAUCUAUGCUUGUGGACGACUUGGACGAUGUUAACUCAAUGCAAGCUCAAGCAUCUUCAGCUAACUAUUUGAAGAAUGAAAUUUCAGGGAUAAAAAUUGAACAGAAGUGUUACCAAACGUUUAUUGUGGUAUUGUUUUUUUUUUUUUUUUUGUCUAUCCUACUUUAUGAUGAAAUGUAAAGUAUUAGAAUAUGAGAAGGAAGUUUCUCUGAUUGUCAUAGUUGUAAAUGAGUGGACAAAUGUAAUUGUUUUUUUUUUAUCAAAUGUAACUUAUUUUUUUAGAAGAUGAGAAGAAGUUUUGUGUUGUCUAUAAAAUUGUUGUGGCUUUUGUUAUUUUUGUACUAUCAUAUGUAUUAUAUGGUACUUCUUAUGCUUGUGGGGAGGUCAAGAAAAGGGAAUGAAUGAGAUACUAUUUGCACUAUAUUUUUGCUUAUUCUUGAAUAUAAACCGGUAAGGAUGGAUGUGUAUUGGGUCAAUGUGUUGUGGUGAUUUCUUUAUUUGAACUGAAUGUAAACCAGUAGUAAACAUUGAAUUGAAUGGAGUUGCCAUGAGUUAAACUGAAUAUAUAAAUCAGCAACAUUUCUAGUUUGCUGCAAACCAACAUAUACAGAGGACAAACACAAGUGAUUACUCGAGUGCUAUAAGUCGUAUUUAAUGAUCACUUAAGUGUCAGUCAUGAUAAAAAAAAAAGAAUUAUUUAAGUGUCAAGUUAUUAUUAAAAGUGAUUACUUAAGUGCCACUUGUGAUUAAAAGUGAACACUUAAGUGCUAAGUUUUUUAGAAUGUGAUUAGUUUUUUUUUUUUUUCGUUAGAGAAUGUGAUCAGUUAAGUGUUAGCUUUUUUGGAAGUUUCCUCUAUAAAUUGCACCAACCACCAGCUAUCACCACUGCCUACUAUUGGCUACAAUCGGCCUCAGCCAUCACCAGCAACCACACCAGGCAUCCCGAGCACUACCUUGAGCCACCACCAGCCACUACCUUGAGCCACCACCAGCCACCACUAUGCUGGUGGUGUGCUGCUGCAAAAGUUGCUGGUGCAAGAUGCCUUGCACUAGUUUGCACCAGCACUACCUGGUGCAAGAUGUUCAUAUUGCACACUUGUAUCUUGCACUAGGUGCAACAUAAGCCCCCCAACCCAACCCCCAUGUGAAUUUUCGAGAAUUUUUGUAAUUAUUGCAAUUUUCAGUAAUUUCUGGAAGAAUACAGCAUACUUGGAAUCUUGUUCCUCUCAAUAGAUGGAAAAUUAAUUCCAUCUACAUGUUUAUGUUAUUUUUCGUAGAAAAAUAUUAGGUUUUAAAUUUGGUAUACAAAGCAUUUUAAAUGAAAGUACAUGUGUAAAGAGAAAUUUCUAAUAUCAAAAGCCGUUUGGUAGAAAACACAUUUGAAAAGCCCAUUUGGAUAAUUCAUUUUUAUUUUUUUUAAAUUUUUAUUCAUUUAAAAGAAAAAAAAAUGUCUACAACUUCUUUAUAACAAUGUUAAAGAUAUCAUGCAAACAAUUUUAUUAAAAAAUAAAAUUUCUUUUUUUUUUCUAACAAAGUUUCAAAUAGAAAAAAAUUCACAUCAAAGUGGUCUAUCUCUCAAAUAAAAAAAGAAUACUUUCAUUACAAUAAUCAUAAUAACAUAUGCCCUGAGAAAAGAAAUUCAUUAUCCUUAAAUAUUACAAAUAUCAUUAAAUAUUUCCUAAACUCAAAGCUAUUUGAUAAGAUAAACGUGCCAUGUCAGAAGUUGUAGCAUUAUUUGAAACACUUCGACCAAAAAAAAAAAACAUUAUUUGAAGCACUAUUCUCCUCAUUUACAUCAUCAACAAUUGUGUACCUUACUUUGAUAAGCCAAUUCGUAUGAAGUUUUAAGGGAAUAAAAGAAAUUACGGGGAUUUGUGAUAGAUUUGUUAAUUUUCAUUGAGUAGGCACAUAACCAAACUUCCCUAGUUUUCUGUUUGUAUCCAAGUUCAUGGAACUGCUUUGCCACAAGAAACGAUCUCUGUAGCUAAACUAAAAUUAAAAUGAAUUUGUAGAUGUCUCUCAAGUCAUCAUCUCAAACGAUAACCCAAUCGAAAUUAUGUACAUGAACCAAAAUAAGCUUUCAAUCUGUAAUAUCACAAGAAAAGCAAAAUGUACACGCGUUUUCAGUGACUUCUCAACAUAUUACAAUCGUUAAAUAUGUACAAGAAAAAAUGGUAAAUUUAUGUUUGUAGCUGCCCUAAAAGAAAGGCAAGAAUUCUUUGCUUGCUACUUUUUAUUAGCCUCUUAUCAUGGACAAACAAAAAGCCACUCAUGAUGAUGGAAGCGGAGUAGCUCGGGCACCAAAUUCAAGAGUGUCUUCGUAUCUCCUUGUAAGGAAAAAUAAAGCAGCUACACCGUGCGCUGCAACUUUUGAAGAGAUCAACUUGAAUCUCAAGUCCAUGAACACAUUGUGUGGAACAUGUUCAGAUGAUGAUAGUUUAUCAUUGUUGGCAAUCAACUAGACACUUCACUGGAGUUCCUCUUGCUCGGGCCUUCUAAAUCAUCACAGUUAGGCUACUCACAAAGGCACGCUAGAGGAUUUGCAUGAAAGUAAGUAAUCCUCCUCCUUGGGCUUAUGACAAUAACUCUACAAUGACUUGGCUUUGCCAUGUUCUUCUCAUGUGCCGAAUGUACAACAACGUCAAAAUUAUUCUAUGACAGUGUCCCAUUCUGAUGCAAAUCCAGUAAAACCACUAGCCUUUUAUGAUCUAAGAGAACGGUUCUCUUAAAUCCAAGAUACCUGCAGAAAAAUGUCACAGUUUGCACACAACUUUUUGAAGGAAAAUGGGAUAGGCCUAAUUAAAUCGACUUGUUCUUCCAAGGGAAAUAAUGGAAGAACGUCAAUCAAGUUAACACACAAACAAGCAAUCUCGAAGGUUCUAAGGCAAUCAACAAUAACCUAUCAGUUAACUCCCCCUUCUCACAUUCAAUUGGGACAGAUCCGCCGCAAUCGACAAUGACCAUUUGUGAUAUCUCAUAGUGUCUACUCAAAAUAGGACAAACAAAAAUCAAUUCUUUGUCGGAACCCGCAAAAAGACAUAUAUGAAUCAUGUUGGUGACAUGAACUAAAAUCAUCAUUAGCAGCGUGCUCUAAUGAACUCGUAGGCUGUCAACACGAAGCCAUAAUUGAAAUUCACCCACAAUUUCAAAUUUGAUCACCACACUAGCAUAAUAAUCAAACAUGCAAACAACACAAGCCGUAGACUGCGCAAAUAGCCAAGCAUAUGGAAUUAACGAAACAAAUGACAACUACGAAUUACCUAUGGCGGCAAUAGGCGUUGGGAGGAGCAGCAAUGGCGAGUCCGCCUUGGCCAGUGCAUCGUUAGCUUGAAGUAAUCGAAUUCUCUCUAGCGGCUUCCAUCAUCAGCCUCUCCAGCAAUAAUCACUGCCGCGAUCCCCGCGACAAGAACCGCCAGGUGAAGGGGAGAUGAAGAAGAAGCCAUCAAUGGAGAGAGAGACUGAGACAGAGAAUCGAGCGCAGGUAGAUCUAGGGCGAAGGAAGUGCAGAGUCGAGCGGAGAGCAAGCUGAGUGAAGAAGUGGUGUAGAUCAAGGGUUUUAAUUUUCAAAAGGGGCAAAAUUGGAUUUUUAAUAAGGUCAUGGGGGCAAAAUGGGCAAUUGAUUAAUUUUCAUUAAUUCGGCUUUCUCAAUAUUAGUUUUCACUUGAAACUACUUGAAUUCAUCUAGAACUAGCCUUCAUCUCGAUUGUUAAUGAAGAUAGAGUUGUUAUAACAUUCAAAAAAAUUAUGCAUGUAAGAUGGAUCAAAUCAUAUUAUUUAAAUAUAAGGAAAAAUGAAUUCAAUUGCUCAACAACAUUUUGUACUUGCUCCUCCCAAAAAAUAUAGUGAGGUCGACCUCAACUCAUGCCAAAACUUGACUGAACUCCAUGACAACCACAAUAUAUAUAUUAUCCACCUUCUCCUUUUCUUUUUAAUGGUUAUUUAAGUCAGAAAUUAUAUAUUUCUAGCAUUGGCAAGAUUCUAGUAGGAUUUCUUUCUCGUGCUAGCAAAUUUGUGGUAACUUUUGGAGGGGUUGUUAGUGUUGAUCACUCAUCCCUAUCAAUUUAAUUAUAAAAAAGAAAAAAGAAUGCAUUAAUUGCUUGAGCUUUACUAGCAAAAGUGAUUAUAUGCUCGCGAUUUGAAGUGAUAAGACCUCUGUUUAAAUUUUAGGUUCCGUACAAUCGCCUCCCAUGCCUUUUUAACUUUUCUACAUUUCUAGAUCGAUCCUUAGCCUAUAGUUAAUGUACAAAAAUAUACAAAGCAACUCGCUUCAAGUCGCAUAAAAAAUAAAAUUUAGAAGUCUCUAAACAUAUUACAUACACAAGAAAAUCCCAUAAGCCUCUCGACAAAAAGAAACACAAAUUUACCCUUAUAAGAUUGUAAUCAACUGGGAUAUCAAUUACAUCGAUUGGCCAUGAUAUUGAUGGGCCAAAAUAGCAAACGGUAGCCCGCCACUACUAUUGGACUAUCAGUGCACAUCAAAGUACAUAAAAUUCUGUUUUUCCAAGUUUCCUUGUAGCAACCGGAUACAUAAAUGCUUGAGGCUACCCGGCACCGUUGAUGAUCUAAACGUUUGAGUAAUACAACCAUCAUCCUUAUUUAGAGAAUAAUGUGGUGGAUGCAUUGAUUUUCGAGAUGUGAAUAUCUUAAUUCAGUAGAAUAAGAAUUCAUGUAGGAUGUCUGAAAUCAUACAGUAACGGUGCCAUGUAUUACUUUCGUCAAAACGUGCCCCGACAUGUGUAUUUGCCAACACCAUAUAAAGUUCCAACGUCAUGAAAUCUUGAAACUUCCAUAACUCUGAAAAUGAUACAUAGUUGUACAAUAUUAAUCAAGCAUGUUGAGAUCCCUGAUUUCAUAUUUAUAAGUGAGACUUGUCAUGUUCAAAAUAGUGAAUGUGGGUAUAAGGAACAAUCAGUGCAGGGCAGACUAUACUUUUUUUCUUACUUGGUUGCUUAACAAGUGUCUAAAAAGCAUCUUUUUAAUAAAAUCAAUCUUGGGAACGCUAUUCAUUCUUUUGUCUCAAAGCAAAAGGGAAAGAAGCAAAAGACCAAGUAUUAUAUCUCCCACUUCGGAAAGAGCUCGAGCCACUUUGCGUAGAACACCAAACUAGGUCGUACCACCCACAAGAAAGGCCUCUCUCUCAUGGCCGACCCGGCAAUUUCCAGUCGUUCCUCGCUCAUCCUAGCCACGUUGCCAAAGCUCACAUACAAAACACGAUCUGCUAGCUUGUUCGUUGAGCCAUGAAAUGCACCCGGUAUCUUUCUUCUGUAAUGAGCUGGAGGAAAAAGGGGCUAAUUUGUGAAAAGGGCCAAUGACAAGUAUUGGUCCAAUGGAAACAUUCUCGAAUAUUGUUGAUACUUAAAUUUUGCCGACCCGUUUAAUUAUUCAUUAAUUACAUAUGCAUCAAUUUUUAAUCCCUAACAAAAUUAAUUUUCAUUAAAUCGCAUCAUGAGCAUUAGGAACAUUUGCAUUACUGGUAUUAAUUAUUAAAAAUUUCAAAAAAAUUUAAAAACAAUUUAAAAAAUGGAAGAGGGCCUGUCCUGCUGGCUGGUCUUCCAGUUUCCUUUGCCCUAUCCUUUAUUUCCCCACGCGGCCCGUCCCUUCUCUUCCUUCAUCAGCCCAGCCCGCUCUCCCUUUUUCUUCCUUCUCUUCUCGCCUGUUUUGGGUGCCGGCAUUACAACAAGUAGAUGGCGGACGAAGGACGGUACGAAGGAAGGAGGACGAGGAAUGUCGUGCGACGCGGCCGGUACGCCUUAGCCUGUAACAGCUGGCGUCAUCCUGGAGGAGAGAGUAAGGACGAAGAGAGGGAUAAAGGAGAGAGAGGGAGAGCUCGGAGGGUUCUUCAGGACGAGAGGGGGAGAGAGAAGGCGAACGGAGAGUGAGAGGUCCAAGCAACUGAGAGAGCAAUAGAGGGCGCCUCGGCCCUGCGCAGACCCGUCCGAGGACCUUCCUGGCGACGUCCUGAAGCCGAACAGGUACGUUCAACUCUGCUCGCGUUCUGUUUCGAGCACGUCGGGCUGGAGAUCGCGGCCGUCUGGCUAGCGCGAGCUCCGGCCCUUGUCGUCCUUAUAUUAUGUUUCCACAGUCCCCGUACGUCAUGCGUCGAUGUCGCCGGCACAGGUUCGAGUCCCGGAGGAACCGGGAACCUUAGGAUUUGGUAGUGCACGUCAACUGCUCGUGAAAAUGUCUCAGUUAGAUUUGCGAACACUUACACCGAUUUUUGCUUUGCUUUCGGAAUGCUAGUUGUGAUUCCAUGUUUCCUUCGUUCAUGGUUGCUUAGUCGACAUUUCCUUAUUGCCUGUUUCAACCGAUGGUGGGGUCAGCUCUGUCAAGUCUCCGAAUCUGGACUGGGUCAGUGGGGUCGCAGGAGUUUGGGACUGCGGGAGGCGACUGCACCGCUUGUUCAUGACCACGUUGGUCGGCGAGGGUGGUUGGUGUUGAGGCGAAAGAACUUUCCGGUGAGAGCUCGUCUGGUGGAUGGCUGCUUCGGGGAAGGUGGGGGAACGAACCUGUAGAUAAAGAAUAAAAAGAAAAAAAAAGAAAAAGAAAAACAAAAUGGAGAAGGAGAAGACAAUUGGGGGCUUAGUUGCGUUUUGUUGAAUCUGGGCUUAUGAGUAAUUUUGGGCUUGAGUGGUUUUAAUAGAUUUGGGUUGGCUUCAUUUUUAGAAGUGCUUGGGCUGAGUUCUUUUUAGUAAGAUGGGCUUUGGUGCAUUCAGUUGGAAAGACAUGGGCUUGGUGUAGCUUUAGUGGAAGAGUGGGCUUAUUUGGGAGUUUUCCCGAAUUGGGCUUAGAAAGGGUAGAAAUGGAGUGGGCUUCAGGAUAAGAUGAAUUGCGCCCUCUAGUCUAAACCUUGAACAAACCCGUAUGGCUUUACCAAAGAGUUCCGAUUGUCCUUAAAAACCAAUGCCCUUGACUGCACGCUUCCAUGAUGAUGAUUGACAUUUGCUGUUAGCUUGGUUAAAAUUGGUGCUUAUUUCAUGUUAGAUCCUUGCAAUUUAUUUAAAGUUUUCAUUGAUUGUUGAUUGUUAUUUUAAUGAUUGUUUACCCGUAUGAUCACCUCGUACAUUAGUAGAUAGGUUUAAAAUCAAUCCAAACUGCAUGAGACAAAUGUUUUUGACAUGAACGAGAUUAGAUACUGAAGGGCACUAAUUGAUUAAUUAGUGUAAUUAAAUCCCUAACCCUAAAUUAUUUGAUUGCGUAGGAAGUGAAGUACACUCUUAUGCUUCACGUGAUUUCAAGUUGACCCCAAUAACUAGUGGCGAUUCCUUAUUAGAAAAUUCUCAUAGCAUUAAAUUAAAUUAAGUUAAUGUUGAACAUCUCAAUGUCGCAUGAGGUAUGAGCUUAGGAGAGCCAAUGUCUAAAACUAGGGCCAUAGGCUAAUCUUUUAGGCAAUAUCUUUAAACCAAUUUCCUCCUUAUCGAGAGAUAGGUCAUGACAAAUCUUUAGUAGCAUUUCUUUUUCAAGGAAAUGCAUUGUGAUAGCGAUGAUUGGGCAAGAAUUUGUCAUCACGCUUGUCGUGGCAGCCCAAAGUUCUAGGGUGGUGUUUGAGGGAUUCUCUCCCAUGGUAAUGAGAAGGUGAUAUUAAAAACGUCUUCCUAGUUGCCUUGCGAAUCAUUUAGAUGAACUUCUCAAUUCAAGGACUUCGAGGGCUCUUUACCGCUGCCACCCACGAGAGGUUAGCGGAGCAAACCCCACCAUGAAGAAGUGAAGACGAGGGGCAUGUUUCGUUAGGUCAGAGGUUAGUUGCCCCCGAAACCUCCAGCAGAAUUGUAACUCCAGAUAUUGUAGCUGAUAACAAGGGAUUCAAAUCUCCAACUACAACAACCAAACAUACAUAAUGUUUGCUCAGUUCACAAAUAAGCCUAAAUGCAGGACAAAAAUACACCUGCCCCAAGUAUUUCUUUACCAAAUACUGCCAGUAUAUCUGCCCCCAAUGACCGCGAUGGUCAGUGCCGGGAAGAUGUGUAUGACUGGAGCAUCCGGUUACAUCACCUCGUGGUUCGUCAAGCUCCUCUUGCAUCGUGGCUACACCGUCAAUGCCUCCGUUCACGAUCCAAGUACCUUCUCAAUCUUCUCCUUUCUGUUUUCCUUUGAGGUUGGUUCUCUUUAGUUCAGUUGCUUUGGUGAUAAUUUGCCCUUGAUCAAAGGAAGAUUACUUAACAAGGAAGUCCUCAUCAUUUUUUAUGAGCUGGAUAAGAGGGACCAGCUUGCGAAGCUAGCAGGCGAAUCAAAUUAAUUUAGUCCGGAAGGUAUAACUAUUAUUACGACCAGGAAUAUUGAUUGCUCAGCAAUCGAUGGUAUCCUAAAGAUUACUAUUUCUAUGAAAUCAACCCAUUGAGUCCUACCCCUACUCUUCAACUUUCAGCAAGCGUGCCUUUAAAAGUGAAUCGCCUCCACAUCAUUACCAUUAGAGUGGUCACUCCUCUCAAACUUGUUGGAUCAUGUAGUGCUCAUGGUCGACUAAUGUAUUAAGAUAUACGUUCACAGAUUGGUUUUGUGCUGGUGCUUUAUCACAGGCGAUGUGCUUUUUGGGUCUUAAUUACAGGCAAUGUGAUUUCUGGGUUAACUAUAGGUGAUUAAGUUUCUGGGCCUUGUCACCUGGUGAAGCGUGACCAUAGUAUUUUGAUAUGAGCAAUGAGUUUGAUAUCUAUAUCCAUUUAUGAUAUUGAAAUGGCUUGUGAGAAGCCGUAUUGCAUGCAAGCUUAAGUGUGAUUUUCAUGUACGGCAUAAUUAUUGUAAAGUUGCAUAAUUCAUUACUCGAUCCCAUAGAAGUGGUGAUUGUCACUUACUGAGCCAGGAUUUUACUCAUCCCCUUAUAUUUCCAUUUAGGCUUCGAGAAUGGAGGAGGGUGACGAAUUUAUGAAGAACGCAUGAUGGGGCUGGUUUCUUCAUUUUGCUCUUUGAAUCAAUCUUAUUAGACUGAAUUACAAAAUAAUAUGGUAAAUUCAUGGUAUUUUGGACCUUAUGUUUUUCCAUCUAAUGCAAGGUUUUGUCUGGUUAGGACCUUUCUUGUGAAAUGAUUCAUUUUGAUUAAGCCCUUCGUCCUCUUAUUCAUGAAAAAUGGCCGGUCAUUCCUUAAAUUUUAAAUACAGAUUUGGCGUGUGACACAGAUGCUUCCAUCUUAUGUUGUGAAUUGCUGCAAAAUUGGUCUAUUCUAUCACAUGCAACUUGUAAGGUCUAUAUAUACUCAAGCCGUUGUAAGCUUCACAAAGAAGAGAGAAGAAUUAUUUUACUCGCUGUCCAGAAUUUAAUGACAGCUAACUCUAGAGAGAAUUAGUCCCUCUACUGAAAUCCUAGUUGUUUGUUUCUCGAAUCUUGUUGAUCCUUCUAAAUGUCGAAACUUCCGUCCGAAAUCAUCGUCAAUAAUACCCUCCGAUUAAUCAAACUAAUGCCCAAAAGUUGAUCUCUAUAUUUAGUGAACAAAUGAAUAAAAUAUUCAUGUGCAUGCUACAUAUGUCGCUUCCUUGUCGCAAAAUCUGGGAGGAAAUGAACUAAAAGAAUAACUUAACAAGAAAAGGAUCACAAUAAGUAAUCAUUUGCUCCUUAAAAGUUGAUCUCUAUCGUUGAUUGUCAACCGUCCGAUUGGGCCAAUAACUUUGCCAUGGUUUAAGUCACGGCAAGGUAGGAAUGCCAAGUUAUGUUAGACGAAUUUUCAAUUAUGAUAGGGCGGUGGGUGGACCCUAAAGACAUAGAUAACAGGGAAUUCCAGGAAAAUGAAUAGAACUUGUGUGGAAGUGCCCUUCCUCUUUCCAUAAAGCUGGAGACUUUACUCCUCCACUUUGGAAGACUUGGUUGGCUUUACUUGAAGUCGUUGCUCUUCUUUUCUUUCGAUGCUAAGGGGGAAAAAGCUAAGCAAAUGUCAUGUCUUGAGCUUUAGAGGGCUGGGCACUCGCGUCAAUAUGAAGCGACUUUAUUACCACCAAAUGUCCUUGGUAGUCUAAAAUCUUUGUCAACUCUAGAGAUGCAUUCUAAAGAACUAGGGAGUCUGAAGCAAUUGCACCUGUUGUGUUCUUAGGUAAGAAAGCUUCCAACCUCAAUUGGACGAUUGAAGUCACUAGUUAAUUCAUUCUUGUCCAACACAAGAACUGCAGGAUUACCAUGUUCCAUUCAAAAUCUUAAAAUGUUGCAGGUGAUAACAUUUGUACUUGACUAAGUAAGAGAGCCACCAAAACUCAGUGGAGAAUCUUGAAAAAUUGCCCAAUGUAUUAACAUGGAAACUUCAUUGUCUUGUCAUCUUAAGUUUUAGAGUGCCUUAGGUUACAAGACUUCGAUGGCCCUUUCUGGCUUUAUGCCCUCCAAUGGAUCCUCGUUAAGGGAUUUAGAUUGUACUCAUUCCAAUUACCAGACUCAAAGAGCCCGGCUUUUACCCUUUUGUUCUACACGAGAUUUAUGUUCUCGUUGAGCUCAUCUUAGGACACCUGCGUUAUCUUUUAACAGAUGUGCCGCCCCAGCCAAACUCCCCACCUGACAAUGUCUUCCGCCCAGAUCGGCCCGCAUGCGUGCUAAGCGAGAAAGUCACGGUAGAAUCUGAUUGUCAUUUGUUUGUGACACUUUCCAAUCAAUCAUUUCAUGUUUAAAACAUAUUCAAUGGGUGUUAUUGACCGAAUGCCCUAAGCUAAUUCAGAUUCCAGGCUUGUUGAGGUCAUUGAACAUAUACUGCCAAUUGAAUUCAACAACUCCAUGUAAACUUUUAAUUGGCAAUAUAUCCAAUGGGUGUUAUUGACUGAUUGGAUAAUUUUUUCAUUGUCUAGAAGUUACCAACAGGCAACUCUAAGGAGAAUAGUCCCUCUAUCGAAUCCUAGCUCUUUGUUUCUCAAAUCUUGCCGAUGCUUCUAAAUUGUCCAAACUUCUAUCUGAAAUCAUAGUCUAUAACACCCUCUGAUUAGGCAUCUCUCUCUCUACACUUUGAAUUUAUUAAACUAAUCCCUAAAUGUUGAUCUCGAUAUUUAGUGAACUGAUGAAUGAAACAUUCAUGUUCAGGAUAUAUUUGUCGUCUCAUUGUUGUAAAAUCCAGGUGAAAAUGACAUAAAAAAAUAACGUAAUAAGAAAAGGAUCAAGAAAAAUAAUCAUUUGCUUAAACAUUCUCCCUAAAACUCGAUCGCUAAUGUUGAUUAUCAGUCGUCUAAUUGGCCUGAUAACUUUGCCUUAGUUAAAGUCACGGUAGGAUAGGAAUGCCCAAUAAUGUUAGACGUGUUUCCAAUUAUGAUAGGGCGGUGGGUGGACCCUGUAGACAUAUAUAACCGGGAAUUCCAAGAAAAUGAAUAGAAUCUUAUGUGGAAGUGUUGUCCCUCUUUCCAUAAAGCUGAAGACUUCACUCCUCCACUAUGGAAGACUUGGUUGGCUUUAGUUAAAGUCGUUGCUAUUUCUUUUCUUUAGGUGUGAAGGGGGAAAAGCAAUCAAAUGCCGUGUCUAGCUUUCGGAGGGUCAGGCACUCGCGUCAAUGUAAAGCAACUUGAUUACCACUAAAUUUCCUUGGCAGUCUAAAGUCUUCGUCAACUCAGGAAUAAAUUGUUUAGUUUCUGGAGACCUAUCCCACAGGAAACCACCAGUCCCCCACAAGAUGUCGAAACUAUUGACGUGCUUCUACGGCACAUGAGGAUUGGAACUACAACCGCAACUUAUGAUGGAUCGAGUAGAGGGGAGUUUGGUAUAGUCAGGAAGGUUAGGAGAUCAGCACAGUCAGCCUUGGCGAGGGUGAGCCUCGCCCACCCCUAGCAAGGUUCGACCCUUUUUCUCGACCAAAGAAGCUUAAGAAUUUGUUAUAGUCACCAUGGGGUCAACAUGAUCAAAGGAAGAUUACUUAACAAGGAAGUCCUCAUCAUUUUUUGUGAGCUGGAUAAGAGGGACCAGCUUGCGAAGCUAGCAGGCGAAUCCAAUUAAUUUAGUUCGGAAAGUAUAACUAUAAUUACGACCAGGAAUAUUGAUUGCUUAGCAAUCGAUGGUAUCCUAAAGAUUACUAUUUCUAUGAAAUCAACCCAUUGAGUCCUACCCCUGCUCUUCAACUUUCAGCAAGCGUGCCUUUGAAAGUGAAUCGCCUCCACAUCAUUACCAUUAGAGUGGUCACUCCUCUCAAACUUGUUGGAUCAUGUCGUGCUCAUGGUCGAGUAAUGUAAUAAGAUAUACGUUCACAGAUCGGUUUUGUGCUGGUGCUUUAUCACAGGCGAUGUGAUUUUUGGGUCUUAAUUACAGGCAAUGUGAUUUCUGGGUCUUGACUAUAGGUGAUUAAGUUCCUGGGCCUUGUCACCUGGUGAAGCGUGACCAUAGUAUUUUGAUCUGAGCAAUGAGUUUGAUAUCUAUAUCCAUUUAUGAUAUUGAAAUGGCUUGUAAGAAGCCGUAUUGCAUGCAAGCUUAAGUGUGAUUUUCAUGUACGGCAUAAUUAUUGUAAAGUUGCAUAAUUCAUUACUCGAUCCCAUAGAAGUGGUGAUUGUCACUUACUGAGCCAGGAUUUUACUCAUCCCCUUAUAUUUCCAUUUAGGUUUCGAGAAUGGAGGAGGGUGACGAAUUUAUGAAGAACGCAUGAUGGGGCUGGUUUCUUCAUUUUGCUAUUUGAAUCAAUCUUAUUAGACUGAAUUUACAAAAUCCCUAAUAUGGUAAAUUCAUGGUAUUUUGGACCUUAUGGUUUUCCAUCUAAUGCAAGGUUUUGUCCGGUUAGGACCUUUCUUGUGGAAUGAUUCAUUUUGAUUAAGCCCUUCGUCCUUUUUAUUCAUGAAAAAUGGCCAGUCAUUCCUUAAAUUUUAAAUACAGAUUUGGCGUGACACAGAAGCUUCCAUCUUAUGUUGUGAAUUGCUGCAAAAUUGAUCUAUUGUAUCACAUGCAUCUUGUAAGGUCUAUAUAUAUUCAAGCCGUUGUGAGCUUCACAAAGAAGAGAGAAGAAUUAUUUUAAUCGCUGUCCAGAAUUUAAUGACAGCUAACUCUAGAGAGAAUUAGUCCCUCUACUGAAAUCCUAGUUGUUUGUUUCUCAAAUCUUAUUGAUCCCUCUAAAUGUCCAAACUUCCGUCUGAAAUCAUCGUCAAUAACACCCUCCGAUUAAUCAAACUAAUGCCCAAAAGUUGAUCUCUAUAUUUAGUGAACAAAUGAAUAAAAUAUUCAUGUGCGUGCUACAUAUGUCGCUUCUUUGUCGCAAAAUCUGGGAGGAAAUGAACUAAAAGGAUAACUUAGCAAGAAAAGGAUCACAAUAAGUAAUCAUUUGCUUAAACAUUCUCCUUAAAAGUUGAUCUCUAUCGUUGAUUGUCAACUGUCUGAUUGAGCCAAUAACUUUGCCAUGGUUUAAGUCACGGCAAGGUAGGAAUGCCUAGUUAUGUUAGACGCGUUUUAUUUUAUGAUAGGGCGGUGGGUGGACCCUAAAGACAUAUAUGACAGGGAAUUCCAGGAAAAUGAAUAGAACUUGUGUGGAAGUGCCCUUCCUCUUUCCAUAAAGCUGGAGACUUUACUCCUCCACUUUGGAAGACUUGGUUGGCUUUAGUUAAAGUCGUUACUAUUCUUUUUCUUUCGGUGUGAAGGGGGAAAAGCAAGCAAAUGCCGUGUCUAGCUUUCGGAGGGUCAAGCACUCGCGUCAAUGUAAAGCAACUUGAUUACCACCAAAUUUCCUUAGCAGUCUAAAGUCUUCGUCAACUCAGGGAUAAAUUUUACGGAACUAGCGUGCCUGAAGCAUUUGCCAGCAACACUAACACCGAGGUAUAAUAUACACUACGCUUUAUUGGAUGUGAAUUUUAAACCAAUACUUCUAGAUAUGAGGUACUAUCGCCCAAGAAGGAAUAGUGUAAAGCAACCUCAUUUAUUGCCAGCAUAACGUGAUGAAGUUGGACCCCGCCACCUUGGAAGACUUCCAUUGGCUAGACUUACCAAAGUCAUCGCCAUUCUAUUUCCUUUCGGUGCCGAGGAAAAUGCAAACAAAUCCGAUAAACACAGCGAAAGAGCAUCGCAAUUCUCCAGCCUCUGCCGUUUUUCUGAAUCCCACAUUAGAUUCAGAAGGAUCCACAUCUCGCUGCGAUUAAACCCGGUGGAGAUUUGAGCACCUGAAGGAGAAUGAAGAGAAAGAGGGAUUCCCCAGAUGCAGUGACCAUGUCUGCCUGUGUCGAUGAUGGAAAUUCGUCUUUAGGGACUGAAUUCGAGGUGUUUUUGAGUUUCAGAGGCCCGGAUACUCGCCUCAAUUUCACCGAUUGUCUCUAUCACUCCUUAGUCAAAGCUGGGGUUCGUGUUUUCAGAGACGAUGAAGAGAUCCGAAAGGGCAAAAAGAUUGAAGGUGAACUUUUGCAUGCCAUUGAAUCCUCCAAAAUAUACUUGCCCAUCUUCUCUAGGAACUAUGCAUCCAGUAAGUGGUGUCUUCGUGAGCUCACACACAUGCUAGUGUCCUCGAGCAAAGUGAAUGACAAAGUGAUCCUACCCAUUUUUUAUGACGUAAACCCUGAUGAUGUAAAGCUUAAAACUCCAUUGUACCUCAAUGCUCUAAAGAAACACCAGAAGAAGUUCACCCACGAUGAGGUUUGGCAAUGGAGGGAAGCUUUGACCGAGGUUGCAAGAAUCAAGGGAUGGGACAUGAAGGACAAAAGGUAAGAAUAUGACUUUGGAAUCUGCUUUUGUUCUCUCUCUUUUUUUUUCCCCGAGCAAUAAAAAGUGAGAUUAUAAUAAGGAAUGUAAUUUUCUCCCCUUUUUUUUUGUUUAAAUUACUCCCGCCAAUCAUAGUCCUAGUAAUUAUUAUCUUCUGUUCCCGAGUCACUCAUCCAAAUAGAGUAUAGAUCUAAUUUUUCAUUAGUCGAGAUUUCCUUUUACUAAAGAAAGCGAGCUUCCAUUUGGUAAAACCUCACCCAUUUAAAAAUCCGUUAUUUUCAUGUCUACAAUAUUUCUCAACUUGAAAGUUCAUUUGCCAUAUGUUUCACGCUAAGACUCUUGUGUCAAUAUGGCAGCCACGGUGAAAUCAUCAACACUAUUGUUGAUGAGGUUUUGACCAAGCUAAUGAAAAGAAUGCGAAAUCUGCCUGAUCAUUUAGUUGGGAUUCAUGAUCAUGUUGAAGCUAUCAUGGACAUGUUAAACGAAGGUUCUUGUGAUGUUCGUUACCUGGUCAUCCAUGGAAUGGGUGGUAUCGGUAAGACAACUCUCGCAAGUGUUGUCUUUAAUAAAAUCUCCAUUCAAUUUCAAGGUUGUAGCUUCCUUUUGGACAUUCGCGAAUCUACGCAACAGGGUAGAAUUGUUGACUUACAAAAACAGUUGUUAUCAGAGAUUCUCCAAGGUGGAUCUCUAGGGAUCCACAAUUCUGUUGAUGUAGGGAUUAACACAAUUAGAGAAAGAUUUCGUGGUAAAAAAGUUCUCCUUGUUCUUGAUGACGUGGAUAAUAGGGAUCAACUCUCUAAGCUAGCUGGAAAGAGUGAUUGGUUUGGUCCAGGAAGUAGAAUCAUCAUUACAACGAGGGACAUCAACUUUUUGCCAAUCAAAGGGAAGGACAAAAAGAGUAGUUUCCAAGCACAUUCUCAAGAGUUUCAAAUCUAUAAAAUGACAGAAAUGAAUUUUUUCCAUGCUCAUCAACUUUUUAGUAAACAUGCCUUCAGGAUGGAUUUACCACCACAUGACUUUGUUGAUAUCUCAAGGCAAAUUAUGACCAAAGCAGGUGGACUUCCUUUAGCUCUUGAGGUUAUCGGUGCCUCACUUUUUGGCGAGAGCAAAAAGUUUUGGAAAGGCACUUUGCAGAAGUUAGAGUUGGUGCCCAACCAAGAAGUCUUCAACAAAUUAAAGAUCAGUUAUGACAUGUUGGAGCCUCACCGGAGAGAGAUCUUUCUUGAUAUUGCAUGUUUCUUCAUCGGAAAAGAUAGACUCGAUCUGUGCUAUUAUUGGGAAGCUUUCAAAUAUUUUCCAACGGGGGAACUACUUGUCUUGACUCGUAUGUCUUUGAUAAAAAAUUAUGAUAGAUUGCAGAUGCAUGAUCAACUUAGAGAUCUUGGAAGAGAAAUUGUUCAGCGUGAGGACAUCAAUUUUCCAGGGAAGCGUAGUAGGUUGUGGGAGCCCAAGAUUGCUUUUGAUGUGGUUCGGAUGAAAGAGGUAAGCUAUUGUCACCGUACUAUUUUCUUUUGGAAAAAAUCAACCAUGCAUUUUUCAAAGGUUGUGGAGUUAGUUUCUUGCCGGUAUAUAUUUUUGUUUAACUUUUAAUUUGGCAAAGAAAAAAGGCAAAAGGUUUGUAUAAGAAUUCAUGAUGGUAAUUCCAUUACAUAUUGCAUCUAAAAGGUUGCAAUGAAAGUUAUUGGAAGCAAAAAUCUUAGGAAUACAGUUAAAUACAAGGUUGUUCAACAAAAUAUAUGGAAACAUAUUGCGAUCUCCUAAGCUAUCAAAGCUAUUUAAGGCUGAUUUUAUUCCCUUUUUUAAAGUUGGAAAUCAUUAGCAAUAUUACUUUGCGAUGAGAUCCCUUACCUGAAAUUUGGUAAUACAUUUAGAUUUUGUAAUUGAAUGUAACAUGCAAUCUUUUGUAUAUAGUCCGAUAGAGCUUUCAAACAAUAUAUGAGAGACUUUUAUGAGGUUAGUUGAAUAUCUUUAUUAUUAUGAAAGCAAAUCCUAUUUUUACCAUAAUCUUUUAUGUAGAAUCCGCAACGAGUUCUACAACAAUUAAGACUUUCUAGCUCCUGUCUUCAUCUUGUAAUAAAACUCAUAUGAUACCUAAUAAAGAGACACUUUGGAGUUAACCGGACCAAGCAGAUUUUGAUGUGUAGAGUUGCAAUGGGGUUAUAAACUCAAUAGACUUUUUUUUGGAUUCGGUCUGGCCACUUUUUCUAAAUUGCAAAAACAUGGCAGGUUUCUUGUGUUGCAAAAAAAAAAAAAUAUGUGGGUAAUAUUUUCUGUCAGGCGGUUUUGCUCAAAGAUAAUAAAGUUUUUGUUAUCAUUUCACGGUAGGAAUUUGCUUAAAUUGAUGGAAGAGAAAUAUUACUAUGCUUUACACAUUGUAGAGAACUCUUUCCAAUUGUAUGAGCUAGUCGGAUUAACUUGAUUAAUUCUCUGUUAUGGUCAAUUUAAAUAUGUACAAACGAUACAGUAAUGUGUGUUUCAUUAAUGAACAUAAUUAAGUUCCUCAGACUUGUACAAUAUUAUGUUUUUGAUCCAGUUUAAAUGUCUAUGUAUGCUUUUCCUAUCACCAGGGGACAGACAAAGUCAUAGCACUUAGAUUAACAAGACUCUGCAAAGAGCACAGUUUCACAAGUGAAGAAUUUUCAAAGCUGCCUAAUCUAAGAUAUUUGGAAUUAGAGUGCAAGAACUUGGCAGGGGACUUUAAGAAUCUUCUCUCCAAGUUAACAUGGCUCUCUUGGAGUAAUUGCCUGUCAAAACUAAACGCGACGAAUUUGCGUCUCGAGAAAUUAGCCGUGCUCAAGCUUUCGGGAAUUAACAUUACUGAAGAUUGAGCUGGAUGGGGGUCAUGCUUGGUACAAACAUUAUAUUGUGCAGUUUACUUUUUCUCAGAUUUGUUUCACUAACCAAACUUACUAAUUUGCCAUUCUUGACUUGGCUAAUCCUUGGUUUGUUUUUUCAGAUGAGCGAGAACUUGAAAGUUAUAGAAAUUAACUCUAAGUCAGGCUUAAAGAGGACUCCUGACUUCUCGAAAUGUUUGAAUUUGGAGAGAUUGGUUAUUCGACAAAGUACAAACUUGCUAGUGGUUGAUGGCUCUCUCUUUAAACUAGAGCACCUAAAGCACUUGGAAAUCAUCUCUUACGGAUCCUCGAAGAGGGACGAUUGCGACCUUUGUCCAGUGUCUUUUGUAUUCGGUAGUCUAAAAUCACUGUCAAAGCUGCAAAUAGAAGGGAUGCACAUUCGAGAACUUCAUCAUUCCAUUGGAGGAAUGACUCGUCUAACAUAUUUGUCUUUAGAUGAUUGUUCUUUGCUUAGAACACUUCCGGACUCCAUUGGAAAUCUUAAAAUGUUGAGGAUGAUGAGUUUUAGAGGAACUCCAAUAAAGAAGCUACCGAACACAAUAGGAAAAUUAGAAUCUUUGCUUAAGCUAUGUUUGGACCAGACAAAAAUAAAAAAAUUACCUGUUUCUAUUGAGAAUCUUAAAAAGUUGAGGUACAUGGGCCUUAAUGAUACUCCUAUAAAGAAGCUACCGAACCAAAUAGGAGGGCUAGAGUCUUUGGUGGAGCUAUGUUUAGAAGGCACGGAUAUCACAAAAUUACCUGCUUCUAUUGGAAAUCUCAAACGGUUGACGUAUUUAUGUCUAGACAAAUGUGCAAUCAGAGAGCUACCAAAGGCCAUAGGGAUGCUAAAGAAGCUUGUAUCUUUGGAUGCGAGUUUCUGUGAAAAUAUGGAGGAAGCAAUUCCAUGUGAAAUUGGGGAUCUGUCUUUUUUAGAGCACCUAUGUCUGACAAAGAGCAAGAUUAAGAGAUUGCCCACGACUAUGAGUAAGCUUUCUCAUCUCCAAACACUUCUUUUGGAUCAAUGUGAUGAACUUGAACAGUUGCCAGAGCUCCCUGUGAGUUUGAAUGAGUUAAAGAUCUCAUCUAAUUUAUUGUGGACAGCCCUUGACCUAUCAUACCUGACUAACUUAGUUAGUCUUCGUAUAUGGGGCGAUACUCCUAGGUUGUCGGAAUUUAGACAAGGAGUUCCAAAGAUAGAGUGGAUCGAGGGAUUAUCUUAUCUGCAGAGAUUGACAAUUGUCGUUGGAGAUGUCACAUUUCCUCCGAUUAAUUUGGCUACUCUUUCGCGGCUUCAUAUUCUUGAGAUAACUUGUGUUGACACGCGACCUCUAAUGGGGCUUCCAUCCAGUCUUAGACAAUUGACUCUAUAUGAUUUGAAGUCACCUAUGGGAAGGUCACUCUUUUCCAAUUUGACAAAUCUGCUCACUUUGCGUCUUGUUAAUUGUCGGCUGAGGGAAGUCGAAUUUGAUGAUGUGCUUGGACAGCAACUGAAGAAACUCUGUAAUUUGCAUUUGACGAAUGCUGCAAUGCUUGAGAGGCUUUUGGUAUCAAGAUUAGAGGGGCUCCAAGGGUUGAGUAUGGAUGGUUGCCUUGGGUUGAUGGAGAUUCGAGGUCUGGAGAAAUUGGAUCAUUAGAGGAUUACUUUUUUGAAAUGCGAUUCCUUGAAGAGUUGCCUGAUUCACGUCUUCCAGACAUGUGGGAAGAAGGCCAGAUUUCAUGUGAUCGGAUCUACCCCAAACUCAAGCGUUUCUUCAUUAAGCGUUUCUUCAUUAAGCGUUUCUUCUUCUGAGUCUCUUUCUUCACGCCUCUCUCACUCUACUCUCCCUCUCUCUCUCUCUCUCUCUCCGACGAACUCUCUCACUCUACCCUCCCGGACGCGACCUCCCAGUCUCUCUGUGCUUUCCCUCUUUCCGACCGGCGAACCACCGCCAGCAACCGACGAACCACCACACCGGACCGACGAGAGGACCGCGACCUCCCCCUCUCUCUCUGCCCUCCCUCUUUCCGACCGGCGAACCACCGCGAGCAAAUCAGAUAUUUUUGUACAGAUCUCCCAUCGUCGCCUUCAUCUUCUUUUUCCCCCCAUUGCUCCUCGACGAACGCGUCGUUCGUCUCCAGACUUGGGGCUCUCGUGGUUCGACGAGGUCAAGAACAUCCUGAUGAAGGACGACGACGUCCACGUGCUUGCUGAGCCGGGGGCUAAGCGGGCCGUGCCGAAGGGACUCAAGCUUCCCGCGGACCUUCGCUUCCCCGGCCCCUCGCCGCUAGCUUCUCCACGCCUCCUGCAAGAUGCGGCAGCAGGGCCUCAGGUGCUCCGCCAGUUGGCUGAUUUCCUCGGUUUCCAUGGCGCGUGUUAGGAAUUCUCUUUUUUUUUUUUUUGUUUCGUGUGUGGAUGAUUACUAGUUCUGGGAGCAGGAGGCCGUAGGUCAAGAAGGCUUUGCUGGAUAGGACGCCGUCGAUUGUGGUUAAUGGAGAGGGCGAAGAGGACGCUGCUUUGGCGGAGAGUGUGCGUAGCGCUGAUCGGGAAAUUGUGGCUAAUGAUUUUGAGGACGAUGAUUCCGAUGGAGUCGUGAUUGAUGUGGAGAACCAGAAUGCUGAUAGAACAGAAGCUUCCGACAGUACGGUGAUGGAGACAAAUUUGGUAUUUUUCUUGUAGCAUUUCUAAUGCUUUCUAGGGAAUUUUUUUUUUUUUUUUAUAAUCUGUCUGGAUACGCGUAUGCAAUGUGCACAUUGGUUCUACUUCAUGAAUAUCUCACAAAUUAAGAAUUUGAGAGCAUGUUUUCUUCGGGGGAGCUGCAAUUGUUUUACAGCUUCAAGCACAGUGACACUAUUGUUGGUUGAUGUUGUUGAUCCUAUAUAUGGGCUUUACUUUUUGCACUAUAGCAUCAAUGUGGUUGAAUUGCAAUACAUCUACAUUGCUCAAUUGUUAGAUUGUUCUUUCCUUAAAAUUAUGGGCUUAGUUCUCUUGCCCUUCCUUUUUUGUUCUGUUAGGGACUAGAGAGCGAAGGCUCCAUUCGCCUCUGUAAUUUAUUUUCCCGUCCGGUUUACCUAUAGGAAAUAUGCUCUCAUUCCUAGUCUUUUGAAUAUCUGUACAUGUUCUUAUAUAGUGUGAGUUGUUACUUCUAUAGUAGGCCAUCAAUAGUUCUUUAAAGAUAUAUUAUUAAUUCCUUCGAUUUUUAUGGCUUUAGGCACCAUGUUUCGUCGAUGGAGUAACUCUCACCACAAUGAGGAAGAUGACUUGCUGCAGUUCGAAUCUAAUGUAAUUAAGAUUUCAAAAUUACAGCACUUGUCAGGACUGGACAUAUCAUAGAGUGUAUCCCCUUGAUCGAUUGCUCAUAUUUGUUUGAUUUCCAUGGCUGACCAUGUGGUUGACCUAAGUCAGUAGUUUUUCUGGCCAUGAGAAACCAUGAAGUGGCCCUUUUUGCAGAUAAUACUUUAGUGUCAAUACACCCCCUUAUCUGUACCCCUUUCAUAUAUGUGUUUAAUGUCUCAUGAUGCAUUGAUUUUCUAGAGUUGUGGAAUAAUAUUCAAUGUUCCUUCCCAGAAUAUAGGAGAAAUACAGUUACAUUUUAAGUCCAUUUGCAUGUAGGUGAAUGAGCUUAAGAAAGCUAUGGGACCACUCUCUGGGUGAAGUUUGAAGUAUUGUGAUGAUGCAUGCUUGAGGAGAUACUUGGAAGCUUGAAACUGGAAUAUAGAUAAAGCAAAGAAAAUGUUAGAUGAGACGCUGAAAUGGAGAUCAGCUUUUAAGCCUGAGGAAAUCAGAUGGGUAAGAUGGCUAAGUGUCCCAGUGAAUGAAUACAUGCGCGAGUAUCGUGAUAGAUAAUUUAUGCUGAUGGUUGUUGCCUGUUAAACUUCAGUAGACAUCUGAUCCUUGUUACCCUAACUAUUAUGGUUGCUGCUGUCUUUUUGCACGUCGCCUGAUACCAGUUUUAACUGUUGUGUUGCAGAACCCCUGCCGCUGGGUUCCCUGUUUUGGUUCCUAUGCAUCACAUGCCUAUUUACCCUGCCCCCGCCGCUCCUAUUGGCACUGGAAGCAGUGUUGCAGAAAACGCAGGAAAGGGAAAUCCGAAACCUCUAGCAGCUUUGGAUCGUGUGGGGUACAAACCCUUGACAAGAGCAGGAGAUACAAAGCAUCAAGGACGAAAGAUGAAGGCGGGAUUUUUGCUGUCCCGAGUUUUGGCAUAGCUAAUUCUCUUCUUUGCGACUCUCAACUGAUUUCCCACAUCGGGGUUCGCCUUUGUUUCUCGUUCCGUGGUCUAAAAUGGUAUAAGAUACUGGAAUAAUUGGCUAGGAGAUGAGGACUUUCUGAGUAGAUCCAAGCUUUUUAUGUAAAUCCCCCCAGAACCACACCCAUGAUUAGCCCGUAUGAUUAUAGCGGUUGCUUUGCCUAAGUGGGUUCAUGAUUUGGUUCAGCGCCUUCUUGCGUGUCCUUUAAGCGGAAAAAUGUAAGAAAGGGAAAUCCGAAACCUCUUAAGCGUGAUAUGUUGCUGCAUUUUAGCCCUCUCUACCAGCGGUUGCCACCUGCCACUGCCACGGGCAGCGAUGGUGGCAGGCAUCUAAAUUCAGCAAUGGUUUGGUCUCCCGUGGGAUAGGAAGGACUGCCAAGGGUACAUAAAAUCAUUUGAGUUUUUCCUCUUUCUUUGUCCUAGACUAGAACUGUUUUUCCUUUUCUCUGCUCAAAUCGAAUACAAAGUGACCGAUUCCUUUCAAUUUUUCUUUCUUUUUCUUCAAUGAAUAUCUAUUUGAAAAUCAAAUAGGUCUUCUCUUUCGUUUUCUCUUCUUGCGUUUCUCUUCUUAUGUUGUUAUCAUCGAGAGUCCAUUUUUUACCCUUAUCUCUAUCUGAACGAAACAGAGUUGGCAAUCUCAGAUUGAGAUCUCUCCGUUCUAAAAUUGGAUCAAGCUGUGUUUGACCAGAGGGCAGCAUGGAGUUAGAUGGAACAAAAUGAGGGAUUGAAAAUUACAAUCCUCGAACUUCUUUAUAUCAAAUCACUUAUCCGACGACUCAUUUCAUAUAUAAUCAUACUCGAACUCCGACGACUCAUUUCAUAUAUAAUCAUACGUACUACGGAUGCUUUCUAAUAUGAAUUACUGAAAAAUUACAAUAUAAAAUACUAGGAUUAGAAAAGAAAUCAAACAAACAAAAAGAAAACCUAGACCUAAUGACUGCCCCUGAAACUCUAGGACAACAGCCAUGUCCUCCUCGAUGGCGGGCGACACCAACACCACAACGACCCCCAUGGUGGCAGUCGUCUCCGUCGCAAUGGUCACUUAAGACCGCCGCAAUUGAUUCUCCAUCUCACGCGCACCCGUGAGAGAUACAAAGGCGACCACCGCAUACCAUUCAAGUGAGAGAUAGAGAGAUAGCGAGUGAGAGAGAUGGCCACGCAAUAAAUAGCACAAUAGCACAUGGCGAACAAAAAAUUUAACUCAACUAACGAGAGAAUAAUAUAACCAACCAACUCUAAUAUAAGCUCACAUCCACCUGAUGCGAACAUUUAGGGCCCGUUUGUUUGUAUUCUUUUUUUUUUGUUUCUAAACACUUUUUCUGUUUUUUUGUUCUUUUGUUCCCAGGAACAAAAAAGAAACAGAAACAAUUUUGAGAAACACUUAUUUCUUUUUUUCUUUUUUCUCUUAUUUUCUUGUUCUUUUUUCUUUUGGCCGGUCGCCGGCCUCGGCCAUGGCCGGCGACCGGCCGACGAGGGCCGGCGGCCUCGCCCAGCCACGGCGAGGCUCGCCGGCCCCCGGCGAGGCCGAGGCUCGCCGUAGCUGGGCGAGGGUCGGCCUCCCCGUGGCUGGGCGAGCUCGAGCCCGCCCGGACCCGGGGAUGCCCAGCCUCGCCCUGUCCCGGCCGUCGCUGGGAUUCAACUAGCCCGACGGGCCAAAGUAAGUUAAUUUUGCAUCAGAGAGAAGAGCACUAUUUAGGUCAGAUCAGGCNNNNNNNNNNNNNNNNNNNNNNNNNNNNNNNNNNNNNNNNNNNNNNNNNNNNNNNNNNNNNNNNNNNNNNNNNNNNNNNNNNNNNNNNNNNNNNNNNNNNNNNNNNNNNNNNNNNNNNNNNNNNNNNNNNNNNNNNNNNNNNNNNNNNNNNNNNNNNNNNNNNNNNNNNNNNNNNNNNNNNNNNNNNNNNNNNNNNNNNNNNNNNNNNNNNNNNNNNNNNNNNNNNNNNNNNNNNNNNNNNNNNNNNNNNNNNNNNNNNNNNNNNNNNNNNNNNNNNNNNNNNNNNNNNNNNNNNNNNNNNNNNNNNNNNNNNNNNNNNNNNNNNNNNNNNNNNNNNNNNNNNNNNNNNNNNNNNNNNNNNNNNNNNNNNNNNNNNNNNNNNNNNNNNNNNNNNNNNNNNNNNNNNNNNNNNNNNNNNNNNNNNNNNNNNNNNNNNNNNNNNNNNNNNNNNNNNNNNNNNNNNNNNNNNNNNNNNNNNNNNNNNNNNNNNNNNNNNNNNNNNNNNNNNNNNNNNNNNNNNNNNNNNNNNNNNNNNNNNNNNNNNNNNNNNNNNNNNNNNNNNNNNNNNNNNNNNNNNNNNNNNNNNNNNNNNNNNNNNNNNNNNNNNNNNNNNNNNNNNNNNNNNNNNNNNNNNNNNNNNNNNNNNNNNNNNNNNNNNNNNNNNNNNNNNNNNNNNNNNNNNNNNNNNNNNNNNNNNNNNNNNNNNNNNNNNNNNNNNNNNNNNNNNNNNNNNNNNNNNNNNNNNNNNNNNNNNNNNNNNNNNNNNNNNNNNNNNNNNNNNNNNNNNNNNNNNNNNNNNNNNNNNNNNNNNNNNNNNNNNNNNNNNNNNNNNNNNNNNNNNNNNNNNNNNNNNNNNNNNNNNNNNNNNNNNNNNNNNNNNNNNNNNNNNNNNNNNNNNNNNNNNNNNNNNNNNNNNNNNNNNNNNNNNNNNNNNNNNNNNNNNNNNNNNNNNNNNNNNNNNNNNNNNNNNNNNNNNNNNNNNNNNNNNNNNNNNNNNNNNNNNNNNNNNNNNNNNNNNNNNNNNNNNNNNNNNNNNNNNNNNNNNNNNNNNNNNNNNNNNNNNNNNNNNNNNNNNNNNNNNNNNNNNNNNNNNNNNNNNNNNNNNNNNNNNNNNNNNNNNNNNNNNNNNNNNNNNNNNNNNNNNNNNNNNNNNNNNNNNNNNNNNNNNNNNNNNNNNNNNNNNNNNNNNNNNNNNNNNNNNNNNNNNNNNNNNNNNNNNNNNNNNNNNNNNNNNNNNNNNNNNNNNNNNNNNNNNNNNNNNNNNNNNNNNNNNNNNNNNNNNNNNNNNNNNNNNNNNNNNNNNNNNNNNNNNNNNNNNNNNNNNNNNNNNNNNNNNNNNNNNNNNNNNNNNNNNNNNNNNNNNNNNNNNNNNNNNNNNNNNNNNNNNNNNNNNNNNNNNNNNNNNNNNNNNNNNNNNNNNNNNNNNNNNNNNNNNNNNNNNNNNNNNNNNNNNNNNNNNNNNNNNNNNNNNNNNNNNNNNNNNNNNNNNNNNNNNNNNNNNNNNNNNNNNNNNNNNNNNNNNNNNNNNNNNNNNNNNNNNNNNNNNNNNNNNNNNNNNNNNNNNNNNNNNNNNNNNNNNNNNNNNNNNNNNNNNNNNNNNNNNNNNNNNNNNNNNNNNNNNNNNNNNNNNNNNNNNNNNNNNNNNNNNNNNNNNNNNNNNNNNNNNNNNNNNNNNNNNNNNNNNNNNNNNNNNNNNNNNNNNNNNNNNNNNNNNNNNNNNNNNNNNNNNNNNNNNNNNNNNNNNGUUUAGGCAGCCCAUAGUGUAUGGCUUACUAAUCGAGUCUAGCGGUAGACUCGCUAAGACGUGGUCUCAUCGGUUAUUGAAUAACCAUUCCAGGACCUCGAGGAGAAGCUGAGGACGACGGCGAGCCUCGGCCUCGCCGAAUCUGGGCGAGGCGGUGGCCCGGCGAGGCCGCGCCUCGGCCGCCGCUGGGCGAGCUCGGCCUCGCCUUGAUCCGGCGAGGCCGACCGGCCAAAAGAAGAAAAAAAAAUGAAAAAGAAAAAAAGGAAAAAAUAGAAAAAAAUAGAAAAAAUAAAAGAAAUAAAAAAAUUAUCCAAAUUUACCAAACAUGUUUCUGUUUAUUUUUUAUUCCCGGAACAAGUUUACCAAACGCGUUGUUUUGUUCAAAAAUUGUUCCCCGGAACAGAAACAUUUUUUUCUAUUUCUGUUCCCUAGAACAAUUUUUAAACAGAAACACAAACAAACGCACCCUUAAACUCCAGCUUGAAAUGAAUAUUCACAAUACCUCUUCAGCUUUCAAGGCGACUCCGAUUGAAUCGUUGACAUAAGAUAAGGGCACUUCCAUAUUGUAUAUGGACAAAUCCGGAUAAACGAAUGACUCCCCAUUAGAGUACAUCACUUCAAUUGGUUCAACUUCAUACUUCUUCCCACAGUAUGCUGAGAAGAUUGUCACCUAAAGGAAAACACUUGCCCGCAUUAGUCCUCUAUACAGAAGGAUGGGUGUAGAGAGAAGGACAAGCAAUUGAGUAUGCUCACCAUUGUAUUUAGAACUAUCUUAGCCUUUGUUAAGUCCGUUGCAGUACAUUCAAUGAGAACAUUUUUCGUCUUUAAAGUUAUUGCCGAAUGUGCACCAUUGAUAAUUAGCGGCAGAGACAAGACAGUUCUGCAUGGAGUAAAAAAUUUUCCUUUCCAGUGAUAAGAAGCUUAGUCAACUGUAUCAUUUCAGUCAAUGUAGAUGCUCGCUAAUCAAUCAGACUAUACAUCACAAAUAUCUGUCAAAUCGUUGAUUGCAAGACACCCAAAAAGUGGAUGAAGCAUCACUUUGCCCACACUGUUUGGCUAUGACAACUAAAUAGUCACUACAAUUUGUUCACAUUGAGCAUAUUCAAUGGGAACCAAAAUUGUGAAGCCAAUGGCAAUAGUGUAAUCUAUCCGCAACUGGAGUAACCAAAUAUCAUUGAACUUGAAUGAGCUAGAUUAGAACCCCAUGUGUAAAAAAAUUCGAAACCAAUCUUUUUAAAAAGCUGACCCCUGUUCAAACAGGAUAAACAACUUAAUGGUCAACCAUAAUUGGUUGUUGCCUAAUUAAAUACAUUACCAAUAAACAUCAGUCCACAGCUAAUCAAGAAUUUUUGUACUACAUUAUAGCAUCUUUCUAAUUGACAUUAGGCACUUGCUUUCCCAUAUCAAAUUUUGUGACACCGCAUGCAAAAGUUCUUUUUCCUGAUAUGGUACCUAGCAACCGGUGGAGAGAGAGAUGAAAUAAGAAUGGACUGCUAAGUUCAGUGUAAAGGUGUAUAUAGGAAAGACAAUGUUCAAAGAAAAGCAAAGAUGUAUAGAAGACUACACAUUUUCACCUUUUUCCCUGGCUCUCUUAAAAGUAAUGUCAUAGGCAUAAGACUAGGCUCUGGAAGUCUCCAACUGUGCUAAUGUAGAGUCAACAGCUGCUUUUCUAAAAACUUCGCCCUUUUACUAAAAUAAUAUUCCUCCUUUCUCAGUUUUGUUUAGAGAAAGGAACAAAAAGGGUCAAAGAACAUGACCUAAUUUCAUCUUUUUCCUUGAGGGAAUGCCUCAGAGAAUGACCAGCCUUACUUGAGGUGCUUUUGAAGUCGCCACACUGGGUGCCUGCCCAGGCAACUCCAGUGCUUUUGAGAACACUAGUGACACCUAACAGAAUAGUUGAUCUCACUUCAACUCAUAAACGAGACCAAGCACUUAGUGGCUUAACGUGGCAGAAGAUGCUUGAAGGCCUAGAUUAUUUUCUCUUUGCAAAUUGAACCCAUUGCAUCGAUCAACCCCCAAAUAACUCAAGGUUGCAAUAAUAAUGACUUAAGUGGCAAUGGUUGAAUCAAAACUAAGUCAACAUGUCAUUACAUUUAAGUGGUUAUUUAUUAUUUUCCCUUAACAUCAAUAUACACACUUCAUAUUUAUACAUGGAACUCACAUUACAAAGAUGAGUGUAUGAAGAAACCAAGAUACCUCUUUGAAUCAUAGAUAACAGGGAACACAGGCGAGUUCUCUAUUAUGUGCAAGAACUUCUUCAAUUUCAAAUCUGACUGCAACAAAGUAGCGAAAAACAGGUAAAACAACAUGGCAAAAAUGAGGAACUAUUACAUAAUUCUUCAUUUACAGGAAGAUAUCAACUAGCACACUGAAUAAGCAAGUUCCAAGCAUAAGAUAUAUGUAACAAAACAAAUAUAAAGUUAUAAAAAGACCAUUAAAAGGAGCAGCUAUUGAGGACCCACCUUAUAAAAUUCCAUUAGUUCAUCAGCACUGAAGUUCUUCACCUAAUAUCAGAACAGAAACUAAGGCGCGAUCAGCCUACACAUCAAUCACAGUUCGUAGAGAAAACAAAACAAAUAUAUAAAUGAAAGCAAUCUCAUGAACUCAUAAGUGGCAUUGACAUGUUAAGCAUACUUAAUUUGGAAUAAUUCACUAUGCAAAAUAGUAAUUAGAAAUAACACGCUAAUGCAUUGGAAACUACAAUAUUUCCUUUUUAGUUACUUAGUAAGUCUCCUUAGAGCACUGUUAACAAAAGGGCACUUGUUAAGCAUACUUAUUUAAUAUGAUUCACUUUCCAAAGAAAAAAUUACAAAUACCACAAGAACAAUCUGUGCAUCCAAUUGAAAACCAUAAAAAUUUCUUAAUCAACUACUUAAGAAUUGCCCCUAGAGAACAGUUAACAAAAUCCUUACAAAUACAUAGAUCUUCACUACAGAUCAGACUCAUGGCACAUGCAUGAACAGAAAAAUACAAUCUUUAUCAUGAAACUACCUGCUUCAAGGGGAUGAAACUUAUACUGGAAGGCGGCAAAGCCUGAGACCAGAGGAAAAGAAACACGAGUCGGUAAUACGCUGCACUUCUCGUAACAUUUUAUCAUGCUUUGCUCUAAGAAACAUUUAGCCGUAGCAGAUAUAUAACUCGUACAUAUUAAGAAGAAACAUUUAGCUGUAGCAAAUAUAUAACUCAUACAUAUUAAGCUAAACCAACUGUGCAAUUCCUUGUCAUGUCUGUUUUCGUCUAUGCUUUAUCUAGUAGAUGAGCACUCCGGAUAGCAAAACAUAAUACUACGAAUUUUUCGGAUCAAAAUAGAGUAUCUCAGAUAUAUAUAGUAAUACCAUCCUUUGGGACAAGCUCAGAGGAUGACAAAACUUGAACUGGUCAAAGCUUGUCUAGCUAGCUGCAACUCCUCGAAAACAUGUAAUAGAUGCCGAGGCAAAGUGUUGGGUAGAAAGAAGCUUCAAGAGGGAAUCAUUCAGGCAUUUAGAUAUAUAGAGAGAAAAAAAGGAAAGAAUAGGUGAGCACAAGCUUCCAGCCCGGAUAACACUCUAUCAUGACAAGAUCCAUUAUGCCAGCAAUCUGAAAAUCUUCCAUUUAAGUGCUAGUUGGGCCUUAGCUUCAAGCGAGGAUAGUAGGACACAUGCAGAAUUCUUCAUUUUAGAUUCUAGUUUAGGCAAUUAGUUCAAACACACACCUCAUAGCUGAAGGGGCCUUCUAGCGUAUCCAAGUCAUGAGUCCCAAUUGCAACCAGUGUUCUUCGCCUAAAAUAUCGAGAGAAUCCGAGCAUGUCAAUCCAAGCAGAACAUUUUGAGGAUCUAGCAUAAGCACAAGCAUCUGAUAUACUAAGUGGAGGGAUUGGGGGGCUGGGCAUCUAUUACAUGCAAAUAAAAUAUCAAAUUGAAUAUAGAUCUCGAGGAUGAAAACUAGUUCAAGCAACAUAUCUAUCAUCACCACUUCACCAAAUUAUUCAAAACAACUCAGCGGAAUCCUCUCUCUUUACAUCCAAGCAUUUCUCACAAUUUAAAGCCCUCCUAAGGGUAAUAAUAUUUAUGGCCCCUACUGAGCACAUAGAGCAUAAGCAACAGUGAAGCCAUGACUUAUUUAAAAAUAAAUAAAAAUAAAUAAUGCUUCCCUCACAUCUUUAAUUUAUAAAGUAACAUUAUUGUAUCACACGAAAAUGCAUGCUUGCAAAGACAAUUGGCUGCAUGCUGGAAAUUUUUUAAAACCAUUGCUCUGGACAAGCCAUAUAGGGCGUUGCAUCUCAAUGUAAGAUCACGGUCUCUCUUCUUUACCUUUAAGGUUCAAAUGAACACAGUAAAAGCUUCCCAAUAAUGUGUUGUCCUCCCGCCACUCCCUCUCAAACCUAAAAUCUUGAAAUAGAGAAGGAAAACAGGUAUUAUGCUGCAUGUUAAAGAUCCAAAAAUUAAUACCGGCAAAUAUUCUGAUGGAGCUUGUCUUGAAGAUCAAUGAAGCUGUUAUAACUGGCUUCAUCAAAUGUUAUCCCUCUUAAGACAGCAGAAACAACGUAUGGACGGAUUUGUGAGGUCUGCAACACAUAAAUGGUCACUCAAGUAAUAAAUGAUUCCAGCAUAGAUCAAUCUAGACAGAUCAAUCCUCACAUAUCAGUACCUCUGGUUUUACAUGCAUCUUAAGCAUUGAUCCUCUGCUGAUGUUACGAAGACUGUAUUGAGGUGUCUCCUCCUGCUCAUUUAAUACACGUAGGGCCUGAGCAAGCCCUUCGAGGCAAAGCAAGUCAUAUCUGUGCAUUUCCCAGAGGAUACCUUAUUAUUAUAAUAGUAUAGUCAUUUCUACAGUACGUGCACGAAUUUAUCAAGAAGAAUAAUCAUUAAUUACCAAUACAGACUAAAAUGAUGAUAAACCCGUCAUCUCUUUGAAAAACUUUACUUAUAACUAAAUAAUGAAGUUUCUAGAUGCCAUGAUUCAAAAUAAAGCCAACAGCAUUAAGGAGUCAAUAUCGCAACCUGCUGACCAAAUCUAAAAAGGCUUGUUACGUUUAUUGCCGACAAUAAUACCUAUAAAAUUUGGGGAUUGACCCAUCUAGCAUGACAAAAUGUUGAACAUAAACUAAAUUCAAGAUUGACCCCUUUCAGGACCAUUAUCAUGAACCGGGAAUCCCAAGGGUCAGAAUAUCAACCCGCUUCCCCAUACAACUAGAAUUCUUCACAAAGUGGUGAAAAAAUGUCAUUCGAGACUAUUAAAGGAAACUAUUUAAACAUAAGUAAGAAAAGCCUCGAUGCACACUAUAAAUGCUACAUCACAUGGACUACUCAAAAGCUGAGCCUUUUACAGGUGGUAAUGUGUUUAUGAAGUCUCUAAUUACAUGCAAUUGGUCCUUCACAUUGAUCGACCGAAAAGAUAACAAAGAAAAACCUUUGGCAACAUCAUAACAUCAAAGAAAAGAUCGAACCACACAGCAUCUCGAUAGCCAUUACAAGCAACAUGGUCCGCGAAAGACUUUAACCCAUCCGAAGUCGGACACUAGCCUCUUAAACCCCCGAACCAAAAUUCACCCACGACCCGCGAAACAGCUCCAAACCCAUCCGAAACACACAACAUCUAACCGAAUGCCGAAUGAGCUUCGCAGUCACCUGUUCGCCGGAACUUCGAUUUUGUAGAUGACUUCCUCGUCCUCAUCAGUCUCCUCUGGAUUCAGGUGCUUCUCCUUUCUGAUGAUCGCCUUCUCCGUCGUCUGGCCAGCACAAACAAAGAAGCCCAACCCCCUCAGCCUUUAAAAAAAAAACACCCAGGCAAAACCACGGUCUGAUUUGCUCGCGGUGGUUCGCCGGUCGGAAAGAGGGAGAGCAAAGAGAGAGGGAGGUCGCGGUCCUCUCGCCGGUCCGGUGCGGUGGUUCAUCGGUUGCUGGCGGUGGUUCGCCGGUCGGAAAGAGGGAGGGCAUAGAGAGACUGGGAGGUCGCGUCCUAUUCGUUGGAGAGAGAGGGAGGGUAGAGUGAGAGAGGCGUGAAGAAAGAGAAGAAAGAAACCCUCGGUCGUCGGUCAGUCCGAAAUUUUUUCAAAUGGCGCCUGACACGAGGACACGUGUCGUCCUCCUACCGCCUUCUUUUUCUUUUUUUUUUCUUUUGCCUGAUCAAUUUUCUACGUGUCCCUGUUAGAAAUAUUCAGUAUAAAAAAUUCACGCGUGUUCACCUAACGUCUUUUAAAAUCGUGAUUUGUGGAUUAAAUAGUUACGUUAAUGUGGAAAUUAUAAGGUGGUUCAUAAAUGGGAUGAUGACCAUAAAUGUACUAAUGGAUGAAAUAAAGGGUGUUCGCAUUAUUUAAAAAGUGCUUAGAGGGAAGUGUUUGCCAAGACAAAAUUGAUUCGAUUACUUAAAAGGGUAAUGGUAUUUUCACAAUAAUAAUAAUUUUUUCCACAAUCUGCAAACUAGAAAAUUUUCUUUCACAACAAUAAUAACUUCUUCGGCAGCCAUUUUAUGACUUAGUAUGCGACGUGCUUGUAUAAUAGUUGUGGAAAAAGUUAUUAGGGGUGUGGAAACAUCAUUAGCCUUGUGUAAAGGGGAUUAAUUUAGCUAGUCCACCUAUGUGGAGGAGAGAGGAGGGACUUUGAAGGAAGAUGAUUACGAAUACCGAAAGGAAGUCAUAAAGCUAAAAUCCAUUAACAUAAACUCAUUUCUUAUGUAUCAUACACACACUAACCAAUGUGUACAUCCAAAGCUACCACUUCUUGAAACAGUGUAGUUGGAGUGGCGUCGUUUGGAAUGAACAAACCGUUCUAAUUCUGGAGGAAAUGUCAAUGAAAGAAUAAAUUUCGCAAGAGAAAUGAUACAUUGCAAAUUACUGACUUCUUUAUUAUCUUCAAGCUUUUCUUCAGCUUUGACAUGCAUAUUUAAAGUACAAUAUAUUACCGAAUUGGCUUGUUUCCUCAAUGUUGCAUUGUCAAUGAACAUGACCGUUGACAUCUUCCUCGAUUUUUCUCAUGGUUUCAAGUUCCACUUCUGGAUCUUUGACCUUCAAGACAAUCUUCAUGAAUUUAGUUGCUUCAUCCAAAACAAUGACAAGUGAAGGAACACGAGUAUAUGGCCGCAGUCAGAAAAGUCAACGCGCAAUUAGGUGAUGACAGCCUCUUAGCCAUGUAAUGGAAAAGUAUUUUGUUUCCACCGAUCUAAAGAGUAUAAUAUGUCAAUGUCCCCAGAUGGGGAUAUCACAACCACAACGACCCAUAAUAGAUUAAGCAUCCAUGUAAAAGCUCACUCAAAUUUUCAAGGGCUAAACAUGUGGUGUAUUCAUUAAAUAGAUCCAUACUGCCUUUCAUCCUUUGGGUACAUCUGAUUAGUUCUGCAGACACUAUCAAAAUGACUAGUGGCAUACGUUCAAACUACAGGGUGAAGUUCGGAGUUACCAGCUGGGGAAAGAAAUACCAGUAAUUUACUGCAUCGAAGCUGAAAUUCUGGAUGGCACAAAUCACAGCUCUUAUCUCAAAAUACAAAAUGGUGAAGAGGAAGCAAACAUUUCUCUUGAUCGGAAAUGAUGAGUAGAUACAAGACUUGACAUUUUCUCCAAGAGCAAAGAACAUAUUUUUUUGUUAAGAAUAGUCUUACCACAAUCUCUCGAUUCAAUCUGGCUGUGAGAUCUUUAAUGUCUGUUUUUGCUGUAGAUAAACUUUGAUGCGCAGUUGUAAGAACUCUGUUCAACUUAUGCCGCUCUUCUGAUGGAAGAGGGAAAGCUAAGACCCUUGGAAAACUGCAACCUUGCUGUGGCAGGAUGUUGCACGUUAGGAAAUCGGGAUUGUACAUAGUGUUGUUUGCAAUAGGGGUCCUCUGCCACUCAUCAUGCUGAUUACAUACCUCUGAUGCAUACUUCAAGCCAGGAAAACCUUUCUAUGUCCAAAAUGAACUUUCUAUUCAAGAGUCAAUACUCCAAACUUGCUUCCGGAUAGGUCAGCUCAUGUUCAGAUUUGUCAAUGCCAAGAUCAGCAGGAUCACUAUGCCCAAAUCUUGGUUAUCCAAGUUUCAGAUAUCUCAUAGGAUGAAUUAUUCCCCUGAUCUGACAAUGCAGAGACUUGGAGGAUUAUUGAAAACAUGAGCUAUAGGUUGUGGUGUUAGCAGUCGAGCUGCACCAGUGGCAAUCGAAUUUGAAUCUGAGUGCUGUAAAUGUACCUCAUCAAAGUCCGCAAAAUAUAGGAAAACAUAUAUCGGUACCGUACCUUAUGUACCCUUAUGUCCGUCAUGCAACAAUCUCGGUUCAAGUGAGGAGAAAUAAUGAACUGAUGAGGUUUAAUCAAAUGAGCACCUCCAUAACCUCACAGCAGCUUCAAGCUCAAGAAAGUUUGCUACCAUAGCCAAUCGUGUUAGACCGGAAUCAUGUAAGAGUUUUCCCAUCCAAUUCUCCAGACCUCUGCAGUGAACGAAAAGUUUGAACGUGUGGAAUUAUGAAUGCUGGGGCACACUAAAGCAGAGAAAAGGGGCGGGGGGGAUGAAGAGAUAGCAUACCGCUCCCAGAAGUAUCCUGCCUUCAAUCUCAGAAUUUUCUUAGGAGUUGGAGGCAGCAUUUUCACGGGAAAUGCUGUCACAGAAUUUUCUUAGGAGAUGCCAUCCCUUCUGGCAAUUGUAUGCCAACAUGAACCCCGUAACACUGUUCUACAGCAAUGUCAAAACAGAAUCUGAUUUGUGCUACCGAUAAGCGAAGGCGGUGAAUUACUGUAACAAGAUAUUGGUCAGAGAAUAUUCAGCUUCCAGAGUACACAUACACCUACACAACUAGUUAAGCAGACACAAAUUCUGUCACUAUGUACGGCAGAGAAAACCGAAAGAAAAGGAAAAUGACAGACCACCAGCUUGAAAUACGAGGCAACAGAGUGAGAUCACUAAACGUAAUGCAGGAACUUCUCGAUCAAGAUCGACAGCACGCAGUAAAGAAAAUAUUGACUAUGGUCAAACUAAAAUUGGCAAUGGUUUAUAACACGUGGAAAUUACAGAAUUUCCCGAUUCUAUUGGCAAUUUGAAAAGACUCACAAUGGAUCUGAAUGGGAGUCAGUUGAGACAACUGCCAAACUCGAUUGGAGGACUAGAAUCCCUACUUGAGUUGGAUUUACAUGAAGCAAAUAUUUCGGGAUUACCGGAUUCGAAUAGAAAUCUUGAACUGUUGUAGUAUAUGAAGAUUGAGAAUAAUAUAAGAGAGCUAACAAACAUUUUGAACCCUCAAAGUAGGCAAUCCAAAACUGAAAAAUUUGGAAAACGGAGUCGUGAGCGGGGACAGUAACUUCAGACUACUCAUAUGGCUCACUUCUGCAUUGGAUUUUGACGCUGUUAUCACAGUUGUACUGGGCACAACACAUACAACGUUAUGUGAAUUUUCGAGAAUUUUUGUAAUUAUUGCAAUUUUCAGUAAUUUCUGGAAGAAUAUAGCAUACUCGGAAUCUUGUUCCUCUCAAUAGAUGGAAAAAUAAUUCCAUCUACAUGCUUAUGUUAUUUUUUGUAGAAAAAUAUUAGGUUUUAAAUUUGGUGUACGAAGUAUUUUAAAUGAAAAUACAUGUGUACAGAGAAAUUUCUAAUAUCAAAUUAAAUUCUCAAAAAUCAUGUUCUACACGUGUCAAAAUGCCUCCACUGCUCUGAAUAUUUAUUAUUCCAUUACUUAUGAAAAAAAAUUACCGAAAGUGAGCCUUGGAGAUUUCGGCUCUAGUUUAGAAAAUUCAAUUUUAGGACUAUUUCACAAAGAAAAAUUGUUUUCUGAUAUACUGGGAAAUUAUAUGGCAAUAUACUAACUUGUAAAUAUUUUUGAGUUAUUUGAUAUGCUUCGGGCCACGAACCUAAGACCGAACCUCGGAGGUUUUUUAUCGUAUUUUUGCCAAAACGGGCCUUUUCGCCCAAGGCAGUCUAGUUGUUGUAUUAAAUUAGUAUAUUCUAAUAAUGGGCCUUAAAUUAUGUUUAGGUACAAUUUGAAUUUGGGAGUUAUCGAGGAAAGUGGCAUUCAUGACUUAUGUGUUCUGUAAAAACCGAUUAUCAUGUUUUCAUUGUCACCCAAACUUAGAUGUGUUCAUUCACAGAUCGGUUCUAUUUUAAAAUUUAAUCAUGGUAGAUGUGAUUUUCGGGACUUACUCACAGCCGAUGAGUUUUUCGGGAUUUAACCAUGCCCAAUACGAUUUACAGGCCAUUCAUCCGGUGAAACGUGCUCGUAGGAUUUCUAAUAUGAUCAACUGAGAAUGAUUUUUGCUUGCUAUAUUAUAUGUUGUGCUAUGAAUCAUGCAACCAUGGCAAAAGAAUGUGUGGAAUAUUCACAUUAUUUGAGAAUGCAUGUUGGAGUUACGGCUAGGAUGCACAUAGAUGUACAAAUUUAUAAUAUUGCAUUGUCCAUGGCUUGAUCCUAUGAAAUGUGGUGACCGUUACAUAUUGAGCCAUCGUUUUGUUCAAACCCCUUUGCUCACCAUUUCAAGUUUCGAGAGAGGAGGACAGUGACGAGUUUACCAAUAUGGCGGGGGGUGGCCUAGAAUUUACUUUGCGAUUCGAAGAGAAGUUUAUUAUAUUAGCAGUGACUGGAGGCGGCGUGCCACGUUUGUGGAAAUAUUUCAAUGAAUUUCUCCUUUUUGGCUCUUGGCACGACUACGUGAAAUGAAUUAUAUGCUCAAACUCAACUAUAACUUGGCCUUUAGAACUUCAUUUCGAUUACUGCUGAAGGUAGGGUUGUUAUAACAUUUAAAAUUAUGCACGUAAGAUGGAUCAAUUCGUACUAUUUAAAUAUGAUGGGGAAAAACAAUUCAAUUGCUCUCCCACCAAAACAUAUGGCGAGAUUGACAUCAACACAUGCCAAAACUUGAUUGAACUCCAUGACGACCACAAAAAAAUGUUAUCCAUCUUCUCCUUUUUCUUUUUAAUCGUUAUUUAAGUCAGCAAUAAUAAAUUUCUAGCAUUAGCAAGAUUCUCAUAUCAUGUGCUAAAAGUUACGGAUUUCUUUCUUGUGCCGGUAAAUUCGUGGUAACGUUUAGAGGGAUCUUUAGUGUUGAUCGCUCAUCUCUAUUAAUUUAAUUAUCAAAAAGAAAAAAAAAACCAUAAGUGCAUUAUGAUUGCUUGAGCUUUGCUAGCAAAAGUGAUAUGCUCACAUUAGAUUGAAGUGAUAAGACCUCAGUCUAGACUUUAGGUUUCGGACAAUCGCCUCCAAUGCCUUUUAAUUUUACUACAUUUCUAGAUUGAUCCAUAGCCUCCAGUCAACUCGCGAGAAUAUACAAAGCAACUUGCUUCAAGUCGCGUAAAAAAUAAAAUUUAAAAGUCUCUAAACAUAUAAUAUACACAAGAAAAUCCCAUAAGCCUCUUGAGAAAAAGAAACACAAAUUUAGCCUUAUGAGAUUGUAAUCAAUUGGGAUAUCUAUUACAUCGAUUGGCCAUGAUAUCGAUGGGCCGAAAUAGCGAACGGAAGCCCGGCACUACUGUUGUAUCGCAACUAAAGGGAAAGAAGCAAAAGACCCAGUACUAUAUCUCCCACUUCGGCAAGAGGUCCCGUGGCAGUUUCGAGCAGUCCUUCCUUGUUCACGCUAGCCACGCUGCCGAUGUUUACGUAAAAGACCGAUCUGCUAGCUUGUCUGUUGAGCCAUGAAAUGCACCCGGUAUCUUCCUUCAGUAAUGAGCUGGAUGAAGAAGGGGCCAACUUCUGAAAAGGGCCAACAGCAAAUAUCGGUGCAACGCAUAUAUUCUCCAAUCUUCGGUAGCAUUUCUUCUUCGAGGAAAUGCAUUGUGUUCGCGAUGGUCGCGCAAGAAUUUCUCGUCGCCCUUGUCGUGGCAGCCCAGAGAUCUAGGGUGGUGUCUGAGGGAUUCUCCCCAUGGUAAUGGGAAGGUCAUUGAGUGACAGCAACUUGUUCUGAUUUUCGAUAAUUAGAUAUCUCAUGUAACGUCUUCCUAGUUGCCUUGCGAACCGUUUAGAUGGACUUCUCAAUUCAAACUUGCCUUGGAAAGUUAUAUUGCCUUGCUUGUUGGCUAGGGGAAAUGCGGCAAAAGCCAAAAUAGAAGCAGCUGCACUGGCGUGUUCGAGGGCCGCUCAGGUGAAGCUGGGAAGCCGGUUACGAUGGAGAUCGACUUCGAUUCAAUUCAAAAGAAGGUUUUAUUUAGGAAUCAUGCAAACUUAAUUUUUACGACAAAUCCGUAUCUUGGUUUACGAAAUUUAGAACUGAUGAAGCGACUAAAUUACCCGUUCCAUUUCCCUCCAAUUUCUCUAAUCAGGCCUUUUUUCCCCUGAAACAAAAUUGGCCACAAAUUGCAGAAAAUAAAAUGCAAAUAGCAAAUUUCUUAAUUAUUUUUCAAAUUAAUAUCUAAACUUUAGUUUGGUUCAAGAAUUAUUAAACGUACAAUGAUAAUAUCACUGCUUUGGCAAAACCUGCAUUUGUCAAGUACCGUAUAAUGUUCUUCCUUCAUUUGCCGGGAUAGCAGAAUCCGAUACAAGUUUUAGGUGACAUAGCACCUUACAAUUCUCAUAUCUGUAGUUAAAUACAUCGCAUGCCCAUCAGACAAGACUCGAAAGUCCUACAAAAGAAUGUAAGGCACUCUCCAAAUCAACCUCAGCUCACAAAAUUUGCCUCGUUAAAAUUGCAAGCCAUAACUUGCAGUUCAUGAUAAUUGAACAUUCUUAGAGCCCUCACAAAAAAUUUCCGGAAUCUGAUUUUCAGAUGAGAAGGAAUUCAGAGAGCGAGAGAGUACGGAAGCAGAAAGCGAACAAGCCAAGCAAAGCGCCGGAGCAGAGAGCGAAGAAGCAAGACACAAUGAGAACGAACGCCGAGCGAGCAAGCACGCAUCGGAGAGAACAAAGACGAGGGAACCUGAAAUUUUGAACUUACAAGAGGAAGGGAGAGAGAAGGCAUCAGUCUUCAUCCUUCGGAUGGAGAAAAAGCAGGAGAGAGAGGGAAAUGACUCUCCGCACCGGGUCUGGCGCGGCAACUAAUGCGUGCAAGCCUAUUAUCGUUUUUUCUUUUCUUCUUGGUCAAAUGCAGGCCUAUUAUCGGGGGAAAACCUUUUAACUAAGAAAGAGGUAAUUCAUAUUUUAUGUGUGAAAAGAGCAGUAGGAAGUAGGAACCAUUCGUUGACGUGGACGUGUUGUGGCCGACCGAUCUCAUAUUUCAAUGAGGUAUUAUUGCACAAGAACGAACGGUGUAAAGCAACCUUUUUUUAUUGCCAGCAUAACGUGAUCAAGUUGGAUUCCGCCCCUUUGGAGGAGGCUAAGACUGUCCAAAGUCGUCGCCAUUCUUUUUCCUUUCCGUGCCGAGUAAAAAGCAAACGAAUCCGAGAAAGACAGCGUAAGAGAAUUGCAAUUCUCCUGCCUCUGGUGCUUUGCUGAUUCCUCUUGAGGAAUCUCAGAUCAGAUUUAGAAAGGACUCCACAUCCCGCUGUGAUCAGAUCCGGUGUAGAUUUUGAGCUCCUGAAGAAGGAUGAAGAGAAAGAGGGACUCUUCAGAUACGAUGACGACGUUUGCUUGUGCUGAUGAUGGCAAUUUAUUGUCGGUGGCCGAAUUUUAGGUGUUUUUGAGUUUUAGAGGCCCUGAUACCCGCCUCAACUUCACCGAUUGCCUCUAUCACUCCUUGGUCGGAGCUGGGAUUCGUGUCUUCAGAGACGAUGAAGAGAUCCGAAAGGGCGAAAAGAUUGCAGGCAAACUUCUGCAUGCCAUUGAAUCCUCCAAAAUAUACUUGCCCAUUUUCUCUAGGACCUACGCGACUAGUAAGUGGUGUCUUCGCGAGCUCACAUACAUACUAGAGUGCUCAAGCAAAGCGAAUGACAAAGUGAUUCUACCCAUAUUCUAUGACGUGAAUCCCGAUGAUGUAAAGCUCAAAACUCGAUUGUACCUUGAUGUUCUGAAGAAGCAUGAGAAGGAGUUUGGCCUCGAUGAGAUUCGGCGAUGGAAGGAAGCUUUGACCGAGGUCGCAAGAAUCAAGGGUUGGGGCAUGAAGGACAAAGGGUAAGAAUAUGACUUUGGAAUAUGCUUUUGUUCAUUUAUUUUCUUGAGCAAUAAAAAAAGUGAGAUUAUAAUAAGGAAUAGAAUUUUCUCACAUUUGUUUUCUGUUUUAAUUACUUCCACCAAUCACAGUAUAUUGGUUUAUCCAAUUUCUUUCCUUUUCCCCCGGCAAUUAUUAUCUUCUGUUCCCGAACCACUCGUCCAAAUAUAGUAUAGAUCUAAUUUUUUAUUAGUCAAGAUUUCCUUUCAGUAAAGAAAGUUAGCUUCCAUUUGAUUAAACCUCGCCCAUUUAAAAAUCCGCUUGAUUCCGUGUCUAGAAUAUUGCUCAACUUGAGAGUUCUUUUGCCCUAUGUUUCAUGCUAAGACUUGUAUGUCAAUAUUGUAGGCAGGGUGAAAUCAUCAACACUAUUGUUGAUGAGGUUUUGACCAAGCUGAUGAAAAGAAUGAGAAAUCUGCCUAAUCAUUUAGUUGGGAUUCAUGAUCGUGUUGAAGCUAUCGUGGACAUGUUAAAUGAAGGUUCUCGUGAUGUUUGCUACCUAGUCAUCCAUGGAAUGGGCGGUGUCGGUAAGACAACUCUCGCAAGUGCUGUCUUUAAUCAAAUCUCCAAUCAAUUUCAAGGUUGUAGCUUCCUUUUAGACAUCCGUGAAUCUACGCAACAGGGUAGAAUUAUUGACUUACAAAAACAGUUGUUAUCAGAAAUUCUCCAAGGCAGAUCUAUAGGGAUCCACAAUUCUGUUGAUGUAGGGAUUAACACAAUUAGAGAAAGGUUUCGUGAUAAGAAAGUUCUCCUUGUUCUCGAUGAUGUGGAUAAGAGAGAUCAACUCUCUAAGCUAGCUGGAAAGAGUGAUUGGUUUGGUCCAGGAAGCAGAAUCAUCAUUACAACAAGGGAUAUCAACUUUUUGCCAAUCGAAGAGGAGGACAAAGCAGAAUCAUCAUUCCAAGCACAUUUUCAAGAGUUUACAAUCUAUAAAAUGACAGAAAUUGAUUCUUUCCACGCUCUUCAGCUUUUUAGUAAACAUGCCUUCAGGAUGGAUUUCCCACCACAGGACUUGGUUGAUAGCUCAAGGAAAAUUACUACGAAGACAAGUGGACUUCCUUUAGCUCUCGAGGUUAUUGGUUCCUCACUUUAUUGCAAGAGCAAAAAAUUUUGGAAAGACACUUUGAAGAAGUUAGAUUUGGUGCCCAACCCGGAAGUCCUCGAUAAAUUAAAAAUUAGUUAUGACAUGUUACAACCUCAUCAAAGAGAGAUCUUUCUUGAUAUCGCAUGUUUCUUCAUUGGUAAAGAUAGACUCCACCCAUACUAUAUGUGGAAAGCUUCCAACUAUUUUCCAAGGAGUGAACUACUUGUCCUUACCCGUAUGUCUUUGAUAAAGAUAACAAAAGAUGAUACAUUGUGGAUGCAUGAUCAACUUAAAGAUCUUGGAAGAGAAGUUGUUCGGCGUGAAGAUGUCAAUUUUCCAAAGAAGCAUAGCAGGUUGUGGGAGCCUAGGAUUGCCUUUGAUGUGGUUCGGAUGAAAGAGGUAAGUUAUUGUCACCUUACCAUUUUCUUUAGGAAAAAUCAACUAUGCAUUUUUCAAAGGUUGUGGAGUUAGUUUCUUGCUGGUAUAUAUAUAUAUUGUUUAACUUUUACUUUGACAAAAAAGAAAAAGAAAAAGAAAAAGAAAAAGGUUUGUAUAAGAAUUCAUGAUGGUAAUUCCAUUACAAAUCAUAUCUAAAAGGUUACAACGUGAAAGUUACUAAUAGCAAACACUUUGGGAAUACAUUAAAUACAAGGUUGUUCAGCAAAUUAUAUUAAACCAGAUCCACAUUGAGACUUCCAAGGCUAUCAAAGCUUUUCAAGCCUGAUUUCAUUCAUUUUUGCUAAGUUGGAAAUCAUUAGCAAGUUUAGCAAUGUUACUCUGGAAUGAGUCCUCUUACUUGAAAUUUGGUAAUAGAUUAAGUGAAUAAUUGUAAUAUGCAAUCUUUUGUGAAUUGUCCGGUAGAGCUUUCAAACAUCAUACUAGAGACUUUAUGAGUGGAUUGAAUAUCUUUACUAUUAUGAAAGCAAAUCCUUUUAAAACAUUAUCCUUAUUUUGUAGAAUACACAAUCAGGAUUUGAUCCAUAUAAUUGCAAUGGGGUUAUAAACUCAAGAGACUUUUAUGAAUUCGGUCUGGCACUCAAUGAUAGGGAAAAUUAUUUAAAAAUUCUAAACCUAUUGCAUUUUUGUCAACUCAAUACUAAACAUUUCAAUUUUGCAAAUUGAGUGCUAAACAUUUUCACGUUUUGUCAAUUGAGUUCACCGCACUAAUUUUGGCCGAAAAUUGCUGAUGUGGACAUUGGUCGUUUUAUGUGCUAUGGCCAACGCACACAUGAACAAUUUUAAAUAAUAUAUUAAUUUUUUUUUUUUCUUUUUUUUUUACCCUAGGUCGGCAACCCUUGCCUGGUUUGGUGAAGAAGUUGGUUAGCAAGGGCCUCCAUCCCAUUGCCCAGACCAGGCAAGGGUUGGCCAACAAUCUCACUAGCCUUAGUUUAAGAAGAAAAAAGUAUAAAAAAAAAAUUGUAAAAAAAAAUUGAAAAAAAAUAUUAUUGAAAAUUGUACACAUCAACGUUAGCCGUGUCAAAUUGACAGUUGUCAUCCACAUUAGUGAUUCCUAGGAAAAAUUGGCCAAAUAUACUAAAUUGGCAUAACAUAAAAAGAUUUAGAACUUAAUUGGCAAAAAUCCAAUAGGUUUAGAACAUUUUGGACAAUUUUUCCCUAAGUAGUAAUAAAGUUCUUUAUUAUCAUCUUGCGACAAAAAAGUUUGCUUCAACUGAUGGAUUAGAAACAUUAUUAAGCUUUAUACAAGAUAAAUCAUUCUUUUCAACUACAAGAAUCACUUUUAUAUUCUUUUCUCAAUUUAGAUUUGUACGAAGCACUAAUGUGUGUUUCAUUACUAAACAUAAAUAAGCUCCUUAGACUUGUGCAGCACCAUGUUUGUCAUCCAAUUCGAAUGUUCAUGUAGGCUUUUUCCUGUCACCAGGGGACAGACAAAGUUGUAGCACUAAAAUUAACAGGACUCUCUGAAGAUUACAAUUUCACAAGUGAAGAACUUUCAAAAUUGCCCAAUCUAAGAUUCUUGGAUUUAGAGGGUGGGAACUUGGUAGGGGACUUUAAGAAUCUUCUCUCCAAGUUAACAUGGCUCUCUUGGCAUCGUUGUCCUUUGGAAUUAAAUGUGACGAAUUUGAGUCUCGAGAAGUUAGCUGUGCUCGAGCUUUCAAGUGAUGACAUUACUGAAGAUUGGACCGGAUGGGGGUCAUGUCUGGUACGAACAUCACGCCAUGUAGUUUACUUUCAUUUCUCUUGCUAACCAAACUUACCAAUUUCCCAUUCUUGACUUGGCUGAUUCUUGCCUUUUUUUUGUUAGGUGAGCGAGAACUUAAAAGUUAUGGAGAUCGGGUAUUGUCCAAACUUAAAAAGGACUCCCAACUUCUCGAAAUGCUCAAAUUUGAAGAGAUUGGUCAUUAAAGAGUGCACAAACUCACUAGUGGUUGAUAUCUCUCUCUCUAAACUAGAGCACCUAAAACACUUGGAAAUCAACACUUGGUAUGACUCACAUAAUGACGGUUCUGACCUUUUUCCACUACUGUUGGUAUUUAGUGGUCUAAAAUCCCUGUCAAUGCUAGAAAUAGUAGGGAUGCAACUUCAAAAACUUCAUCAUUCCAUUGGAGAGAUGAAGCGUUUGGAAUAUUUGUCUUUAGAUGAAUGUCAUUUUCUUAAAACACUUCCAGAUUCCAUCCAAGAUCUUAAAAUGUUGAGAAGGAUGAGUCUUUGUAACACUUCGAUAACGGAGCUACCGAACAUGAUAGGAGGAUUAGAAUCUUUGCUUGAGCUAGAUUUGAGCAGAACUGAAGUCACAAAAUUGCCUAUUUCUAUUGGGAAUCUUAAAAAGUUGAGGAAGAUGAGUCUUUAUCAGACUGAUAUAAAGGAGCUACCGAACCAAAUAGGAGGGCUAGAGUCUUUACUUGAGCUAGAUUUAAGGGACACAUAUAUCACAGAAUUGCCUAUUUCUAUUGGGAAUCUUAAAAAGUUGAGGAAGAUGAGUCUUUGUUGGACCGAUAUAAAGAAGCUACCAAACCAAAUAGGAGGGCUAGAGUCUUUGCUUGAGCUAGAUUUGAGCGAAUCAAAAAUCAUAGAAUUGCCUGUUUCUAUUGGGAAUCUUAAAAAGUUGAGGAAGAUGAGUCUUCAUCAAACCAAUAUAAAGAAGAUACCGGACCAAAUAGGAGAGAUAGAGUCUUUGCUUGAGCUAGAUUUAAGCGGGACGGAUAUCAUAGAAUUACCUACUUCUAUUGGAAAUCUCAAACAGUUGAAGAUUCUUCGUCUAGACGAAUGUGCCAUUAGAGAGCUACCAAAGGUCAUAGGGAUGCUAGAGAAUCUGAAAGCUUUACAUGCGAAUUUCUGUGGAAAUAUGAAGGGAGAAAUUCCAAGUGAAAUUGGGGGUCUAUCCUUUUGUACAAAGCUAGAGAUGACAAAGAGCAAGAUAAGGAGAUUGUCCACGACUAUUAAUAAGCUUUCUCAUCUGCAACAACUUCAUUUGGAUCAGUGUAAUGAACUUGAACAAUUGCCAGAUCUCCCUGUGAAUUUGAAGGAGUUAAAGUUCUCAUCUCAUUUAUUGUGGACAGCCCAUGACCUUUCAUGUCUAACUAACUUAGUCCAUCUUCAUAUACGGGGCGACACUCCUAGGUUGUUGGAAUUUAGACAAGGAGUUCCAAAGAUAGAGUGGAUUGAGAGGCUAAAUUAUUUAGAGAGCUUGACACUUGUCACUGGAGAUAUCACUUUUCCUCCGAUUAAUUUGGCUACUCUUUCACGGCUUCAGAUUCUUGAGAUAACAUGUGUUGACCCACAAUCUCUAAUGGGGCUUCCAUCCACUCUUGAAAAAUUGACUCUACAUGAUGUGAAGUCACCCAUGGGAAGGUCACUCUUUUCCAACUCGACCAAUUUGACCAGUUUGUACCUUCUUAAUUGUCGUAUGAGGGAAGUUGAAUUUGAUGAUUUGCUUGGACGGCAAUUGAAGGAACUCCAUAGUUUGGAGUUAAAGGAUAGUGCAAUGCUUGAGAGGCUUUUGGUAUCGAGAUUAGAGGGGCUCCAAGUGUUGAGUAUGAGGGGUUGCCCUGGGCUAAUAGAGACUCGAGGUCUAGAGAAAUUGGAAUCACUAGUCUCAUUGACUUUUGAUGGAUGCGGUUCCUUAAAAGAGUUGCCUGAUUUAUCAAAAUUAAAGAAGCUGUGGCAUUUGAUUGUCCCAGAUCAACUUCAAGAAAAGUUGCCUUGUCCACAUCAUCCAGACACGUGGGACCACCAGAAUUCAGUUAUAAGUCGUUGCCUCUUGGGAAAGAUAAUAGAAUACCGAUAUCAACAACCAACUCGAGAAAGAAAGAAUUUUCUCAGCUCCUCUUACGGUCGGUAAAAGUUCCUUUGAGUUCUUCGGUUUCUUCUUCCUAUAUAUUUUCUUUUUCUGAUUUUUUUUCUGAGCAAUUUUCUACUUGUCCCCGUUAGAAAUAUUCAGUUUAAAGCACGCAUACAUGUUCACCUUAAGUUUAAAAUCAUGAUUUGUGGAUGAUGACAGUAGAAGUGCUAAUGGAUAAAAUAAUGGGUGUUCACGUUGUUUAAAAAGUGCUUAGAGGGACUUUGUGUUAGCAAAGACAAAAUUGAUUUAAUUACUUAAAAGGGUAUGAUAUUUUCACAAUAAUAAUAAUAAUAAUAAUAAUAAUAAUAAUAAUAAUAAUAAUAAUAAUAAUAAUAAUAUCUUCCGCAAUCUAAGAACCAGAAAAUCACGGUGAUUUUCUUUGUUUUCGUGUAAUUUUGUCCGAUUGUUAUUAUGAUCAUUAAUUUGAUGGGAAAAGUACUAAAAAAGUCCCAAUUUUUUUGUAUUUGUGCCAAUUUUGUCAUAAACCUUUUUUUUAUACCAAUUAAAUCAUAAACAUUUUUACGUUGUGCCAAUUCAGUCCUUUUCGGCCAAUUUUGGCCGGAUUUUGCUGACUGGACGCUAGCCGAUUGACAUAGCUUGAUUGGCGCUGACGUGGACAACUUUUAAUAAUAUUCUAAUAUUCUAAUAUUUUUAUUUUUAUUUUUUUCCUUUUUUUAUUUUCUUUUUCUUUUUUCCUUCUCCUCCUUCUUCCUGUCCGGCGACGGCCAGCGAGGUCGAGGUUGACCUCACCGGCCACCUUGCCAGUGGCCGUGAGGGCGAGCCUCGCCCGCCCGAGCGCAAGGCCACCCUCAAGGCCUAGGCAAUGAGGCUCGCCCUCGUCGGAUUUGGCAAGGGUUGAGUCUCGCCCAUAGCCGGUGAGGGCGAGCCCUGCCCACCCAACGCGAGCUUGCCCACCAGCCCGGCGCAAGGCCACCCAAGCCUCGAGGGUGGCCUCGUGCCGGGCUAGUGGGGCUCGCCCUCACCGGCCAUGGGCGAGGCUCGACCCUCACCAGAUCCAGUGAGGGCGGGCCUCGCCCGCCCGGCAACCUCGACCUCACUGGCCGUCACCUCUAGCUAGUCACUGGACAGGAAAAAGGAGGAGAAGGAAAAUUAAAAUAAAAAAUAUAUUAAAAUAUUAAAAUAUUAAAAUAUUAUUAAAAGUUGUCCACAUCAGCCGGCCGACGUCCAGUCAGUAAAAUCCAGCUAAAAUUAGCCGGAAAUGACUGAAUUGGCACAACGUAAAAAAUGUUUAAAAUUUAAUUGGUACCAAAAAAAUAUUUAGGACUAAAUUGGCACAAAUGCAAAAGGUUCAGGACUUUUUUAGCACUUUUCCCUUAAUUUGACUAUUCGUCUUAUGCAGAAUGAUUUUCAUGUAAUUUGGGGUAUCGAUGGAGCUAGAAUUGAUUAUUAUGGUUUCAGCAAAUGAGCCGAUUUGCUCGAGGCUGGAGUUGGGGGCUUGGUGCAUCGUAGAUAAAUUUCCGUAUGGUUGAAUCUCGUAUGACCACCUUGUAGCUAUUUUAUGCCCAUAAAUUUGCCAAAAAUACUCUGUAAAAGCAUACAAUGAAUUUGUUUCUCACAUAUAUCGACAUUGAUUUUUUCUUUUUUUCCAAAUGUCAUGUAAAUCGUAUUCCUUUUUUCCGAAAACAUAAAGACUGGUUCAUAUAGUGGGAACCUGGACUAUAUAUGUUUUCUUUGAACUUGUAGGUAACUAAAUUAGCUCCGGCUGGAGCUAAUAAAUGAUGCCCCGAUGAUGUAAUUCGGAUUCGAUCGCCAAUGGACGGUCUAAUUUGGCAUUAUACUGAAAAUUUGUUAGAAUGGAUUAUUGAAAUCGUUAUGGAUGAUUUUUUGGUCAUAUGAAGUAGUCGAAAGUUCAAUGUGACUUGGUAUAAUGCAUCGAAAUCAUGGUUAUUGUCUUGAUUUUGAUGCACUAACGUCUGAUGGCUAUUAUAAUUAUUAAUUUGGCUAUUCGUCUUAUAAAGAAUAAUUUCCAAGUAAUUUGGGGAUCAAUGCAAGUACAGCUGUUUUAUCAUGGUUUCAGCAAAUUAGCCACUGUGCUUGAGAUUGGAGUUGGGGCUUAGUGCAUCAUAGAUCAAUUCCCCAAAUCACUGAAGUUCUAACUUUCUUUGUGUUGUUGAUAAAUCUGAGGAUAUCUGUUGUGUAUAAUCUUAUGCAUGCCGUUCGAAACUGAAAGCACUACAGAGUGCAAAGAAACUAUUCUUGCACUUUCUAGUUCUGCUCACGGAUAUCAUAUAUGCCUUAAUCGAUUAGUUCAUGGCCAUAUUUCAGGAUGCACAAGCUCCACAGGGAUUGCUGGAGAACGAGCUCAGUUUCAUUGAAUAGAAGUAAGCAAGUCAUUUCUCUUCUUGCAUCCGCAACUCAUAUAUUGAUACUCAUGGAAAUCGUCAUCGAUGAUGUUAAUCAAGGAUUUGGGCUUGGUUUAAUCAGAAUUCAAAGACCUAAAACAACCCAGGCUGCAUAUGCUAAGAAAUUGUCUGAGGUUCUACAAAUAUACAACAGAAGGAAGAUGAUUACAAUCCCAAAAGGAAGUCAUAAACCUGAAAUCCAUUAGCAAAAUCUCAUUUCUUAUGCAUCAUCAUAUACACACUUAUAAGUGUGUACAUGCAAAACUACCACUUCUUGAAACGGUGGUGUCAUGGAGUGUCGCCGUUUGAUAUGAACAAACCAUUCUAAUUCUGGAAGAAAUGUCAAUAAAAGAAUAAAUUUUGCGAGAGAAAUGAUACUGUGCUAAUUACCAAAUUCAUCAUCUUCAUCCUUUUCUUUGGCUUUGACAUGCAUGUUUAAAGUACCAUGGAUUGCCGAAUUGGCUUGUUUCCUCAAUUUUGCAUUGUCAAUGAACAAGACUGUCAGCAUCUUCUGCAAUAUUUCUCAUGGUUUCAAGUUCUCCACUUCAAGAUAUUUGACCUUCAAGACACAAUCCUCAUGAAUUUAGUUGCAUUAUUAAAACACUGACGCAUGAACGAACACAGGUAUAUAGCAGCAGUCAGAAAAGUCAAUGCGCAACAGGUAACGGUAGCCUCUUAACCAUGUAACAGUCUGAAGAUGGGGCUAUCACAACCCGAACGACCCAUAAUAGAUUAAGCAUCCCAUAUAAAAGCUCAACAACACAGAAAAAAUAACAGAUUGGAACACCGUAAGAUUUCAAAGGCUAAAUGUAUUCAUCAAAUAUAUCCAUACAGACUUUCAUCCUUGGAGGACAUCAGAUUUGUCCUGCUGAUACUAUCAAAAUGACUUCUGGCAUAUGUUCAAACUGCAGGGAGAAGUUUGGAGUGACCAGCUGGGGAAAGAGAUACCAGUAAUUUACUGCGUAGAAGCUGAUCACAACUCUUAUCUCGAAAUACAAAAUGGUGGAGUGGCAACAAACGUUUCCCUUGAUGAGAGAUGAUGGGUACAUACAAGACUUGGCAUAUUCUCCAAGAGCAAAGAAGAUACUUUGGUUGUUAAGAAUUGUCUUACAGCAGUCUCUUAAUUCAAUCCAGCUAUGAGAUCUUCUAUGUCUGUUUUUGCUGUAGAUAAACUUUGUUGCGCUGUUGUGAGAACUCUGUUCAACUCAUGCCACUCUUCUGAUGGAAAAGGGACAACUGACACCCUUGGAAAACUGUAACCUUGUGCUGCACGUCGGGAAAUUUGGGAUGAUACAUAGUGUUGUUUGCAAUGGGAUAAAAUGCAGCUACUUCGCUCGCUUUUCUGGAGCUUAAUGGGGUGCAUAACAACUCAAAAUUUCUGUUUCAGAAAUAGUUUUUCUGUUCCAGACCUGUUUCUGGAAGAGAAAUCCGUUUGAUAAACCUAUUCAGUUUUUCUAUUUCUGGAUUAGAUUUCUAUUCCAGAAAUAGAUUUAGAAGAUAAAUCAGAAGCUAAAAUUUUCUACUUCUGAUUUCUGGAAGAGAAAUCAGAAAUAAUUUCUUUCACUAAACCCUAAUUUCAGUGAGUCCUCCCUCAUCUCCUCUACGUCUCUGCCUCCUCCUCCUCCUCCGCCUCUCCUCAUUUUAUUAAAAAUAAAAAUAAAUAAAAAUAAAAGAUUCAUUUUAUUCAUUUAAAAAUAAAAAUAAAAUUAUUAAAAUAAAUAAAUUAUUUUUAUUUAUCAUUUUAUUUUUAGUUCAUUAAAAAUAAAUUUAUUAAAAAUAAAUUUAAUAAAUUUACUUUUAUUUGCCUCGAGUGUUUUGCCAAAUAAAUUUUUUAUUUUUUUAUUUUUAUUCAUUUUAAAAUAAAUUUAUUCGUAAAAUAAAAUAAAAUAGAAUAAAUAAAAUAAAUUUGUUUUUAUUUUUAUAUUUUAUUUUUUUAUGAUUUAUUUUAUUUUAUUUUAUUCAUUAUUUUUUUGUUACUAAAUCAUUUUUAUUUUUAUUUUUUAUAUUAAAGGUCGUUGGUCGUCGCCGCCACCGUCCGAAAGGAAGAAAUUUUGUGUCGUUAUCAAACGGUUAUUUUUGCUUAGAAACUCUUCUAGAAAUAGAAAUAGAAAAAUCUAUUUCUGUUCCAUAAACUAUUUCUGAAACAUAAUGGUUGUCAUGCGCGCCCUGCUGCCAAUAAUUUCUGAUGGUGGUCAUUGAGCAUGAACCAUGUGACUUUCUGUUUCAGAAGGGAAGUCCUUGUAAUACUGAUCUUUGACCAUGGCAGCAUUAUCAUAAGGGGCUUUCUGCCACUCAAAAUGUUGUUUACACCUCAGUUGCGUAUGUUGAGCGAGGAAAAUCCUUCUAUUUUUUCCAAAAUGAAAUUUUAUUAAUGAGUGUCUACAUCAAACUUGCUUCCGGAUAGGUCAACUCAUAUUCAGAAUUGUCAAUGCCAAGAUCAGCAGAAUCCUCAUGCCCAAGUCUUGUUGAUCCUAGUUCACAUAUCUCAUAAGAUGAAUAACUGCCCUGAUCUGACAACAUGGAUGGACUUGCAACACUAUUGAUUACAUCAGCUACAGGUUGUGUCAGCAGUGGAACUGCACCGGUGGCAAUCGAAUUUGCAUUUGAGCUGUGCUAAUGUAACUCACCAAAUUCUGCAAAAUUUAGGAAAACAUACAACCGUACCAUUACCCAAACGUCUGUCCUGCAACAGUCUUGGUUAAAAAAAAAGUGAAAUAAAGAACUGAUGAGGAUUUAUCAGAUGAGAACCUACAUGAUCUCGCUGCAGCUUCAAGCUCAAGAAAGUUUGCUACCAUAGCAGAUCGUGUUAGAUCAAUAUCAGGUAAGAGUUUUUCCAUCCAAUCCUCCAUGGAACACCUCUGUAGUGAAUGCUGGGGCACACUAAAUAAGAGAGCGAGAGAGAGAGAGAGAGAGAGAGAUAGCAUACCUCUUCCAAAAGUAUCCUACUUUUCAAUCUCAGAAUUUUCUUUGGAGGAGUUGGAGGUAACAUUUCAGGGCAAAUUCCUGUUUAAGCUGCAAAAACAUGGAGAACGGCAUCCAGUUGCUGGGAUUAUUUACACGAAUGAAUAGCCAUCUCACUGUCGAAGAGGAUUUAGGAGCUUAUGAAUCAACAUCUCACGGUAAAUGCACAUCUAGAGUAGAAAAAAGCCCAAGCAAUGAUACACUAUGUAAUCACGAGACAAACAGAACACUCACCCACUUUGAGACUUCAAAAAAUGACAAUCUUUCACAAUAAUCCUCGUGUUGUGAGCCCUUCUGGCCAUUGUAUGCCCCCUUGAACCCUGUAAAACUGUUCUACAUGAAUGUUAAUAUAGGAAAUGACUUUUGUGAUACCUCUACUUCAACUAAAGGUGGCAAAUCGCUGUAUCAAGAUUUUCAUCCACCGGAUAUGGAAGUUUCUGCACAACUAGUUAUCCAGAUACAAAUCCUGUCACUUUGUACAGCAGAGAAAAUGUAAAGAAUAGGAAAAUAACAGAUCCUCAGCAAGAAAUAUGAGGUAACAGAGUGACAGCACUAACAAGAUCGACAGUACACACACUCAAGACCCCAACAUAAUGCAAGAACUACUGUAUCAAGAUCAACAACACGCAGUAAAUAAAUAAAAUAAAAUCUGAGUGUGGCCUAACUAACAAUUGGCAAUGGUUCUAUAUAUCCAUAAAAGUCUAUGGUGUUUGUUUUAGGGGACUAGAAUUGCUAAUUGCAAUGGAACUAUCUGAUACCGUAAUUACAUCGGAGGUAACGGAUCUCCAUGGGAGUCGGACAAGAGAGCUACCAAACUCUGUUCAAGGACUUGACUCAUUCCUAAAAUUGGAUUUGAGUGAAACAUGCAUUAUUACGUUCUGUGGAUUUUCUGGAAAUUUUUGAAUUAUUGCUAUUUCCAGUAAUUCCUGGAAAAAAUAUUGUAUACUCCGGAAUCUUGUUGCUCUCAGUAGAUACCAAAUUAUAAGUUUAUGUUUUUUUUUUUUUUCUGGGAAAAAUAUUAGGUUAUAAUUUUGGCGUAUAAGUAUUUUGAAUGAACAUACGUGUGUACAUCGAAAUGUAUGAAACUAAAUUAAAUUCUGCAAUAUUAAGGUUUACACGUGUCAAAAUGUUUUACUCAUCUAAACUUGUUUUUUUUUUUUUUUGGUUCUGGAAGAACCGGCUUGUAGCUAACCGCGCCGUAAACCCCCAAGUGACACGUAAGUAAGCAGAAGGACCCACUAUCCCUGGAGCCACACUUCAUACACCUAGCGCCUCCCCUGGGUUUCGAACCCUUCACCUCUGGGCUAAAGAUCAGCAGAGCCUUAUCCAGCGGAGCCACUGCGGCCGGUGGUGACCUUUGUUAUUCCCUUACUCAUAAAAGAAAUUGUUGGAAACUAUGUUUUGGAGAUUUCGGUACUCUAAGAUUUGGAGAGUUCAAAUUUAGGACUUAACACAUGAGAAAAAUUAUUUUCUGAUAUCCUGGGAAAUUAUAUGGUAACAUACUAACUAAUAAAUAUCAUUGAGCUAUUUGAUAUGUGUCGGGCCAACGAACCUAAGACCAAACCCCGGAUGACAUUUUUGAAAUUUUACCAAAACUGCCUUUUUCGCCCAAGACUGUCUAGUCCUUAUUAUAAGCCAAUAAUUUAUGAUAAUGACUCCGCAUCGUUUGACUUCGUGAUUAAAGGAGGUAAGGGACUUUUAUCACUCUAUGUUUUGUAAACAUUGCAUGGCAUUUUUUUAAAAAAGUCCAAAUAAGAGUUUGAAUUAUUAUCAUUUUCUCAAAUAAGGAUUUAAAGUGGAUUUUAUUUCAAAUAAGGAUCCGAAGUGGAACAUAUUUUAAAUAAAAGCCUGAAUGGUCAUAUCAGUCUAAAAAAAAAGCCUAACCUCUCCGACUAAAGGACAUUUUUGUCUUUUACAUUUUAAAAUUUUUAUAUCUUUUUUUUCUGUUCUUUUAUUUAUUUUUUCUUUUUCCUUCUUCCCUCUGCCAUCCAUGGCACAUGUCACCAAACUAGGGCCCCUAUCACCUGGGCUGACAAGGGUUACCCUCACCCACCCAGCCUAGGCGAGAGUGAGGGUUGCCCUCACUAGAUCAGGCGAUGGGUGACCAAGCGAGGGCAUUCCUUGCCAGAUCCGAUGAGGGGUCACCCUUGUAACGCCCUCGCCCUUGCCCGCCUAGGCAAGGGCUGCCCUUAUCCAACGCUGAUGAGGGUAGCCCUUGCUUGAGGCCUCUGACCUCCACUGACCAUUGAUGAGGCACAACGAUGUCAGAGGAAGGAAGAGGAAAAAGGAAAAAAAAAAAAAAAAGGAAAGAAAAACAAUAAAAAAAUAUACUUAUAAUUUUUUUUACUAAAAUACCCAUUCUCUGAUGGCUAGAAUAGUUAUCAGCCUACCAAAAGUCUUUAUUUAAUAUGAUUUAGCCCCUUCGGGCCUUAUUUGAGAAAAUAUCCACUUUAGGCCAUUAUUUUAGAAAAUUAUGGCAUUUCAAGCCCUUAUUUGAAAUUUUCCAUUUUCCUUUAUUGUGAAUGAAAUUUAUAUGUAUUCAUUCACCGCAUAGAUUUUAAGAUAUAGAGAAUUUGUUUUGUAGCAUGCUAUCUGCGAAAAAUUGGAUCAAGCGUUUGAUCAUUUUGGCAUCACGUGAAUGUUGUUCGGAAAAGUAUUGAAGCUGAAAUAUAAUCUAUGUUAAUGUGCCAGCAUAUUCGAUUGUGAUUUAGUUUUUGUGCUCAUCAUCAAACCUAGAAAUGAGGAAUACUAGUUCAAGACAUCUUGACGCAUGGACGUCCUUGACUGCAUGAAAUUACGGAGGAUAGAUUCUUAUUUCAAAGUACACGAUCACUGAAGAUCAACAUAGGGUCGUUCGCAGGUUUGAUAACGGUAAAUGGAAUCACCCGUUGUUCCAUUAUGUUCUGUCCGCAAAUCGACUUCUAGUCGUCCUUAGAAUCGGCCUGCCUAUCUACAGGAUCUUCCUCAUGCAAGUCUCAUGGUCAAGUCGUUUUCCUAGGUCGAAUCCUUUAGUCAUACGAGUUCUGUCCUCAUUAGCAUUUCCCCUCAAGGUCAGUAUCUCAGGAGUGAUCAAUUCCGAGUGAGAUCAAACACACGAAAUUUACAUUCAUUCAUCCCUUAUAAGGCUCGAAUUUCAAGAUGUCACAGACUCUCCAUGAUGUGAAGUCACCCAUGGGAAAGAACUUGACAAAUCUGACCAGUUUGUGCCUUCUUAAUUGUCGGCACAGGGAAAUCGAAUUUGAUGAUGUGCUUGGACAGCAACUGAGAGGCUCCGUUUUUUGAAAUUGAACAAUACUACAAUGCUUGAGAUGCUUUUGGUAUCGAGAUUAGAGGGGCUUGUAGGGUUGAUUAUGAGUGGUUGCACUGGGCUGAUGGAGACUCAAGAUCUAGAGAAAUUGGAAUCAUUAAUGGUAUUGGCUUUUCAAGGAUGCAAUUCCUCAAAAUAGUUGCCUGAUUUAUCAAAAUUAAAGAAGCUGGAUCGAUUGGUUGUCCCAAAUCAUCUUCUGGAAAAGUUGUUUUAUCCACGUCUUCCAGACACGUGGGAAGGCUAGAAUUCAUAUUCAGUACAUUCGCUCUCCCAAAUUGGAAAACUUUACAUCAAGAAAUAGAGUGAAGGAUGUCAACAACCAAUUCUAGAAAGAAAAGAAUUAUCUCAUCUCCUCUUACAGUCGGUAAAAAUUCCUUUGGUUUCUUCUUCCUCUAUAUAUAUAUUUUUUUUCCUGAGCAAUUUUCUACUCGUCCUUGUUAGAAAUAUUUAGUUUAAAACAUGCACGCUGUUCACCUUAAGUCUUUUAAAAUCAUGACUUGUGGAUUAAAUAGUUACGUUAUUGUGGGAAUUAUAAGGCGGUUCAUAAAUGGGAUGAUGACUGUAGAAGUACUAAUGGAUGAAAUAAUGGGUGUUCGCAUUGCUUAAAAAGUGCUUAGAGGGACUUUGAUUUUGCCAAGACAAAAUUGAUUCGAUUACUUAAAGAGAUAACGGUGUUUUCACAAUAAUAAUAAUUUCUUCCACAAUCUAAGAUCUAGAAAAUUUUAGUUCUGCUCUCAGUUAUCAUAAAUGCCUUUAUCGAUUUGUUCAUGGUCAUAUUUCAGGUAAUACAGGCCCAUCGCAGAUCAUUUGAGAACGAUGAAGUAAGCAAGCAAGUCAUUUCGAUGAAGCAAGUUAUCUCUCUUCUUGCAUCUUCAGCACAAAUAUAUUGAAACUUACGGAAAUCAUCAUCGAUGUGAAUCAAGGAAUUGUACUUGGUUUAGUCGGAAUUCAAAGACCUCAAAGAACACGGGCUACAUGCGCUAAGAAAUUGUCUGAGGUUCUACAAAUAUACAAUAGAAGGAAGAUGAUUGCAAUCCCAAAAGGAAGUCAUAAAGCUAAAAUGAAUUAACAAAAGCUCAUUUCCUCCGUAUUAUAUACACUCUUACAAGUGUGUACAUUUAAAACUGCCACUUCUUGACAUGUUAAAGUCAUGGAGUGUCGCUGUUUUACAUUAACAAAAACUUCUAAUUCUGGAGGAAAUGUCAAUCAAAGAGUAAAUUUCGCAAGAGAAAUGAUACAUUGCAAAUUACGACUUCUUCAUCAUCUUCAACGUUUUCUUUGGCUUUGUCAUUCAUUCAUAUUUAAAGCACAACAGAUUACUGAAUUGGCUUGUUUCCUUAAUGCUGCAUUGUCAAUGAACAAGACCGUCAGCAUCUUCCUCAAUAUUUCUCGUGGUUUCAAGUUCCACUUCAAGAUGUUUGACCUUCAAGACACAAAUCUUCAUGAAUUUAGUUUCACCAUCCAAAUCAAUGACCCGUAAACGAACACGAGUAUAUGGCAGCAGUCAGAAAAGUCAACGCACAACUAGGUAAUGGCAGCCUCUUAACUAUGUAACGGUCUCAAGAUGCUGUUGGCACAACCCGAACGACCUGUAAUAGAUUAAGCAUCCAUAUAAAAGCUCAACGACACAGAAAAUAUAACAAAUUGGAACACCGUAAGAUUUCAAGGGCUAAACAGGCAAUGUACUCAUCAAAUAUAUCCAUACUGCCUUUAAUCCUUUGAGUACAUCUGAUUAGUCCUGCUGAUACCACCAAAAUGACUACUGGCAUAUGUUCAAACUGCAGGGAGAAGUUGGGAUGACCAGCUGGGGAAAGAAAUACCAGUAAUUUACUGCAUAGAAGCUGAAAUUCUGGAUGGCCCAGAUCACAACUCUUAUCUCAAAACACAAAAUGGUGGAGAGGCAGCAAACAUUUAUCUUGAUCGGAGAUGAUGUGUAGAUACAAGACUUGACAUAUUCUCAAGAGCAAAGAACAAACUUUGGUUGUUAAGAAUUGUCUUACUUGUCUGUUUUUGCUGUAGAUAAACUUUGUUGCGCAGUCCUAAGAACUCUGUUCAACUCAUGCCACUUUUCUGAUGGAAGAGGGACAGCUAAGACCCUUGGAAAACUGUAACCAUGCAGUGCACUUCAGGAAAUUUGGGACCAUAAAUAGUGCUAUUUGCAAUUGGAUUUAAGGCAGCUCCUUCACUCGCUUUUCCAGAGCUUAAGUGGCUGCCAACAAUUUUUGACGAUUGCCAUUGAGCAUGAACCAUGUGACUUUCUGUUUCAGAAGGAAAGUCCUUGUCAUACCGAUCUUUGACCAUCGUAGCAUUAUCAUAAGGGGCUCCUCUGCCACUCACAAUGCUGUUUACACUCUAUUGUGUACUUUGAGCAAUGAAAAUCUAUGUUGUCAAACUUGCUUCCAGAUAGGUCAACUCAUAUUCAGAAUUGUCAGUGCCAAGAUCAGCAGAAUCCCUAUACCCAAGUCUUGUUGAUCCAAGUUCAUAUAUCUCAUAAGAUGAGUAAUGGCCUUGAUCUGACAACACAGAUGGACUUGCAACACUAUUGAAAACAUCAGCUACAGGUUGUGGUGUUAGCAGUGGAACUGCACUAGUGGCAAUUGAAUUUGCAUCUAAGCUCUGCAAAUGUACCUUAUCAAAAUCUGCAAAAUAUAGGAAAACAUUUAUCAGUACCAUUACCCUUAUGUCUGUCCUGCAACAAUCUCGGUUCAAGUGAAGAGAAAGAAAGAACUAAAGAAGAGAGAGAGAGAGAGAUAGCAUACCUCUUCCAAACGUAUCCUGCUUUUCAAUCUCAGAAUUUUCUUUGGAGGAGUUGGAAGCAACAUUUUCAGGGGAAAUUCCUUUGUAAGCUGCAAAAACAUGGAGAACAGUAUCCAGUUACCGGAAUAAUUUACUCAAAUGAAUAACCAUCUCACUGUCGAAGAGGAUUUAGGAGCUUAUGAAUUACCGUCUCACGGUAAAUGCACAUCUUGAGUAGAAAAAGGCCCAAGCGAUGAUACACUAUGCAAUCGUGAGACAAACAGAACAGUUACCUGCAUUGAGACUUCAAGAAAUGACAAAAUCUUUCACAAUAUUCCUCGUGUUAUGAUCCCUUCAUGCCAUUGUAUGCCCACUUGAACCCUGUAAAACUGUUCUUCAUGAAUGUUAAAGUAUAAAAUGACUUUUGUGAUAUCUAUACUACAACUAAAGGUGGCAAAUCGCUGUAUCAAGAUUUUCGUUUUCCCAGAUAUGGAAGUUUCUACACAACUUGUUAUCCAGAUACAAGCCCUGUCACUUUGUACAGCUGGGAAAACGUAAAGAAUAAGAAAAUAACAGAUCGUCAGCAUGAAAUACGAGGCAGCAGAGUGACAGCACUAUCAAGAUCGACAAAACGGACACUCAAGACCCCAGCAUAAUGCAAGAACUACUAUAUCAAGAUCAACAACACGCAGUAAAUAAAAUAAAAAACUCGACUGUGGCCAAACUACCGAUCGGCAAUGGUUCUACAUCAUAUCCAUAAAAGUCUAUGGUGUUUGUUUUAGGGGACUAGAAUUGCUAAUUGCAAUGGAACUAUCUGAUACUGAAAUUACGUCGGAGGUAACGGAGAUCCAUGGGAGUCGGACAAGAGAGCUACCAAACUCGGUUUGAGGACUUGAGUCAUUGCUCAAAUUGGAUUUGAGUGAAACAUGCAUUAUUACGUUUUGUGGAUUUUCUAGAAAUUUUCGAAUUAUUGCUAUUUCCAGUAAUUCCUGGAAAAAUAUUGUAUACUCGGAAUCUUGUUGCUCUCAAUAGAUACCAAAUUAUACAUUUACUUUUUUUUUUUUGGAAAAAAUAUCAAAAAAAUCCUAAACAUAUUGCAAUUGCACUAAUUUAGUCCUAAAUUUAUUUUUUUGGCCAAUUGAAUCCUAAAUCUUUUCUAAUUGUGCCAGUUCAAUCCUUUUGGCCAAAAUUGGCCGGCUGGCACUGACCAAAAUUUUUGUAAUAAUAUUUUAUUUUUUUGAGUUAUUUUAUUAAUUUGUUUUUAUCUUUUUCUGUUCUUUUUUUUUUCCUUCUCCCUCCUCCUUCCUCCUUCUUCUAGCCAAAUUUGAUGAGGGCUCGCCUCGCCGUCAUUGGGUCUGGCAAGGUGAUUCCGAGCCAAAUCUAGUGGGAUUGGCCUCGCCGAUGGCUAGGUCUUGUGGGGCGAGCCUCGCCAUCACUAGGCGAGGACUUGCCAUGCCAAUCGAGGGCAAGCUCACCUAGCAAGGCUAGCCCUCACUAGAUCCAGCGAAGAGGGUCUUGUCGUCCUUGGUCUGGCGAGGCGAGUCCCCGUCGAAUUUGGUGAGGGGGCCUCGCCUAGCUGUCUCAGUUCGUUUAUAACCAGCCCUCCCCUCUAGCCGAUCCCAGGAGCCAAAGGAAGGACGGAGGAGGGGGGAGGAGGAAGAAGAAGGGAGGAGGAAAAAAAAAAGGAAAAAAAAGUUAAAAUAUAAUUAAAAUAUUCAAAAAAAUAAAAUAUUACUUAAAAAUGUUGUCGGCGCCGAUUGGCAGCCACAUCAAUGACGAUUGGCUAAUUUUGGCCAAAAAUGACUAAAUUGGUAUAAGUACAAAAGGUUUAUAUAAUUAACUAAAUAAAUAAGUUUAUAACUGAAUUGACAUAAUUGCAAUAAGUUUAUGACUUUUUUGGUAAUUUUCCUGAAAAAUAUCAUGUUAUAAUUUUGGCACAUGAAGUAUUUUGAAUGAACAUACAUGUGUACAUCGAAAUGUAUGAAACUAAAUUAAAUUCUGCAAUAUUAAGUUUUACACAUGUCAAAAUGUUUUUACUUAUCUAGACGCUUGUUAUUCCAUUAAUCAUAAAAGAAAUUGAUGAAAACUAAGUUUUGGAGAUUUCGGUACUCUAAGAAUUUGGAAAAUUCAAAUUUAGGACUAACUCACGAGAAAAAUUAUUUUCUGAUAUCCUGGGAAAUUAUAUGGUAACAUACUAACUUGUAAAUAUUAUUGAGCUUUUUGACAUGUGUCGGGCCAACGAACCUAAGACCAAACCCCGGAUGACAUUUUUGAAAUUUUACCAAAACUGCCUUUUUCGCCCAAGACUGUUUAGUUCUUAUUAUAAGUUAAUAAUUUAUGAUAAUGACUCCGUAUAGUUUGACUUCAUGAUUAAUGGAGUUAAGUGAGUUUUAUCGCUCCAUGUUUUGUAAACAUUGCAUUACACUUUAAAAAAAAAAUCAAAUAAGGGUCUAAAUCGCUCUCAUUUUCUCAAAUAAGUACAUAAUAUAAACAUUAUGUCAAAUAAGGGCCUGAAGUAGAACUUGUUUUAAAUAAGAGCCUAAAGUGGCUAUAUCAAUCUCAAAAAAAGGCGUAAUCUCUUUGACUGAAGGGCAUUUUCGUCUUUUAUAUUUUAAAGAUUUUUAUCUUUGUUUCUUUUCUUUUUCUUUUUUCAUUUUCCCUCUUCCCUCUGUUAUCUAUGGCAGAUGUCGCCAACCUCAAGUAGGGGCUGCCCUCGCCUAGGCUAGCGAGGGUUAUCCUCACCCACCUAACCCAAGUGAGGGUGAGGAUUGCCCUCACUAGAUUAGGCGAUGGGUGACCAAGUGAGGAUAUUCCACACCAAAUCUGAUGAGGGGUCACCCUUGCCUGAGGCCUCUGACCUCCAUUGACCAUUGAUGAGGCACAACGAUGUUGGAGGAAGGAAGAGGAAAAAGGAAAAAAAGGAAAACAAUAAAAAAAAAUAUACUUAUAUUUUUUUUUACUAAAAUACCCCUUCUUUGAAACCAAAAUAUAAUCUAUGUUAAUGUUCUAGCAUAUUCGAUUGUGAUUUUAGUUUUUGUGCUCAUCAUCAAACCUAGAAAUGAGGAACACUAGUUCUAUUUCGGGGCUUAAUCACAACUAAUGUGAAUUUCAAAGCUUAAUCACAGUUGAUGUGUUUUUCGGAGCUGGCCUAUAUGAUUUUCGGGCCAUGUCACUAGGCGAAGCAUAACCAUAGGAUUUUUUAAAUGACCUAAUUGAGAAUGAUAUUUGCUUGCUGUUUUGACUCAUUGGGUUACGGAAAAAAAAUUAAGGAAUAUCCACGUUAUUUGAAAAUGCACGUUGGAAUCACAGUCUUGAUAUUGCAUUGUCCGAUGUUUGAUCCCAUAGAACGAGGUAAUUGUCGCCAUUUCAGGUUUCGAGAGAAGGGGGGAAAUGACGAGUUUACAAAGAGGGCAAGGGGUGGCUAAGGAUUUAUUUUGCUAUUUCAAAGAGAAGUUUAUUAGACUACAAGACAGAAGAAUUCCAUGUUUGGUACAUUUAUAUAGUCUCAACGGGGAAAAUUGUCAAGACCUACCAUUGCACCUCACCUUUUUGCCAGGGAACUAAUUUCGACCAGAAUGCUGGAAAAAAAGAAAAUACAGAACACAAGCAUGGACCUUGUGCUCGAUCGUCACAUUGGGAAUGGUCGGGGAUUUAAUGCCAUUCAUGGCGCAUCGACAUGAUCAUGCGUGCUUGAGAAAGUGAGAGAGGAGUUAGCCGAUGAAUCGUAGCCGUUGAGGGGGCUUUGGAGACAAAGGCCGAGCGAGGUGGAGGCAAAGGGGCUCUUGGGGGAGGCGGAGGCGAUGGGGGCAUGCUGGAGAAAAAGAGAGAAUCUCUGUGUUCUUUGAAAGGGAGAGAGAGGGAAUGGAAUUUGAAAGGGAAAGAGGGGGAAUAAAAUUUGAAAAAAAAGGGAAGAUAGAGGACACAGCUGUCUAAGGGAGAAAGUGGGACCCAUGGGGGACAUGAGGCGCCACGUCUCGUUCGUUGAAUGGGACGGUCCAUGUUUACGCUACAUUUUUCUCGCUUUCGUAUACCGUGAUAAAGGUAGACCUCGCCACUUUGGAGGACUUUAAUUAUCAAAGCGGUCGGCGUUCUUUUCCCUUUCGGUGCCAAGAAAAAAGCAAACCAAUCUGAGAAAAAUACAGCGAAAGCGCAUUGCAGUCCUCCUUCCUCUUCUGUGGCGCUUUGCUAAUUCCUCUUCAGGAAUCCCAGAUCAGAUUCAGAGAGAAGGAUUCCACAUCUCGCUGUGAUUGUGAUAUAUUCCGGUGAAGAUCUUGAGUUCCUGAAGGAGGAUGAAGAGGAAGAGGGACUCACGGGACAAAGUGACCACGUCGGCUUGUGGUGAUGAUGGUGAUUUGCAGUUGGGGGCCGAAUUCGAGGUGUUCUUGAAUUUCAGAGGUCCCGACACCCGCCUCAACUUCACGGAUUGUCUCUAUCACUCCUUGGUUGGAGCUGGGAUUCGCGUUUUUCGAGACAACGAAGAGAUCCGAAAGGGAGAAAAGAUUGGAGGUGAGCUUCUCCGUGCCAUCGAAUCGUCCAAAAUAUACGUGCCCAUCUUCUCUAGGAACUAUGCAUCCAGUGCAUGGUGUCUUCGUGAGCUCACGCACAUGGUGGAGUGCUCAAGCAAAGCGAGUGACAAAUUGAUCCUACCCAUUUUCUAUGAUGUGAAUCCCGACGACGUGAAACUUAAAACUCGAUUAUACCUCCACGAUUUGGAGAAGCAUGAGAAGAAGUUCAUGCGUGAUGAAGUUCUAGGAUGGAAGGGGGCUUUGACCGAGGUCGCAAGAGUUAAGGGAUGGGGCAUGAAGGACAAGGGGUAAGAGUGUGAGUUUUGAAUCUGUUUUUGGUUUUUUUUUUUUUCGCCUGGCAAUAAAAAGUGAGAUGAUUAUAAGGGGCAGAAUUUUCUUUCAUGUUUUUUUUUUCUGUUUUAAUUACUCCAAUCAAGCACAAUAUAUUGGUUAAUCCAUUUUUCUUUCUUCUUUUUCCUUUGUAAUUGUUAUCUUCUUUUCCUGAACCACCCAUCCAAAUUUAGUAUUGAUCUAAUUCUUUCAUCAAUUGAGAUUUCCAUCUACUAAAUAAAGUGAACUUUUAUUUGGUAAAACCUCACAUAUUUGAAAAUUCAAGUAGUUUUAUGUCUACAAUAUUUCUCAUUUUGAGAGUUUAUUUGCCAUAUGUUUUGCGCUAAGACUCUUAUAUCAAUAUGGCAGCCAUGGUGAAAUCAUUAACACUAUUGUUGAUGAGAUUUUGACCAAAUUGAUGAAAAGAAGGAGCAAUCUGCCCGAUCAUUUAGUUGGGAUUGAUGAUCAUGUUAAAGCUAUCAUGGACAUGUUAAAUGAAGGUUCUCAUGAUGUUCGCUACCUGGUCAUUCAUGGAAUGGGCGGUAUCGGUAAGACAACUCUCGCAAGUGCUGUCUUUAAUAAAAUCUCCAAUCAAUUUCAAGGUUGUAGCUUCCUUUCGGACAUUCGUGAAUCCAUGCAACAUGGUAGAAUGGUUGAGUUACAAAAACAGUUGUUAUCAGAAAUUCUCCAAGGCAGAUCUCUAGAUAUCCACAAUUCUGUUGAUGUAGGGAUUAAAAUAAUUAGAGAAAGGUUUCAUGAUAAGAAAGUUCUUCUUGUUCUCGAUGAUGUGGAUAAGUGGGACCAACUCUCUAAACUAGCAGGAAAGAGCAAUUGGUUUGGUCCAGGAAGCAAAAUCAUCAUUACAACAAGGGACAUCAACUUUUGCCAAUCAAAGAGGAGGACAAAGAGAGUAGUUUCCAAGCACAUUCUCAAGAAUUUAAAAUCUAUGAAAUGAUAGAAAUGGAUCCUUUCCAUGCUCUUCGGCUUUUUAGUAAACAUGCCUUCAGGAUGGAUUGGCCACCACAUGACUAUGAUGAUAUCUCACACGAAAUUAUUAGAAAGACAGGCGGACUUCCAUUAGCUCUGGAGGUUAUUGGUUCCUCACUUUACUGCAAAAGCAAAAAGUUUUGGAAAGACACAUUGAAGAAGUUAGAUUUUGUGCCCAAGCAAGAAGUCUUCAAUAAAUUAAAGAUUAGUUAUGACAUGUUAGAGCAUCAUCAAAGAGAGAUCUUCCUUGAUAUUGCAUGCUUCUUCAUUGGAAGAGGAAGAAUCAACCCGUACUAUAUGUGGAAAGCUUCAAAAUAUUUCCCAAAAAGUGAACUGUUUGUACUUACUCAAAUGUCUUUGAUAAAGAUAGAUGAAAAUGAUAUACUACGGAUGCAUGAUCAACUUAGAGAUUUUGGAAGAGAAAUUGUUCAACGUGAAGACAAUAAUUUUCCAGGGAAGCGUAGCAGGUUAUGGGAGCCAAAGAUUGCCUUUGACAUGUUUCGGAUGAAAGAGGUAAGCGAUUGUCACCUUACUAUUUUCUUCAGGAAAAAAUUGACCAUGCAUUUAUUAACGGUUGUGGAGUUAGUUUCUUGCUGGUAUAUUUUUUUUGUUUAAUUUUUCUUUUGGCAAAGAAAAUAAGAAAAAGGCGUGGGUAAAAAUUCAUGAUGUUAAUUCCACUACACAUCAUAUCUAAAAGGCGUUGAUAAGUUACAUUUAAAUACAAAAGUUUUUCCACAAAUUAUAUGCAGUCUUUUGUGGAUAGUCUGGUUGUGCUUUCAUACAAUAGACAAGAGACUUCUAUGAGGUUUGUUGACUAUUUAUACUAUUUUGAAAGCAAAUCCUUUUUGUACGCUGAUCUUUUAUUCCGUAAAAUCCUCAACGAAUCCUAAAACAAGUAGAACUUUCUAGCUCCCAUCUUCGUCUUGUAAUAAAACUCAUAUGAAACCUAAUAAAGAGAUGCUCUGUUGAAGUAAAGUCGACUUCCACAUGGACCAUACCAAGUAGGUUUCGAUCCAUAGAGAUGCUUUGGAUUAGAAAUAUUAUUAUGCUUUAUAUAGUGUAAAGAACUCUUUUCAAUUGUAUGAACUAGUUAGAUCAACUUGAUUAACUCUUUGUCAUGGUCAAUUUAGAUAUGUACGAACAAAGCAAUAAUGAGUGUUUCAUUACUGACCAUAAUCAAGCUCCUCAAACUUGUCAUCCAAUAUAAAUGAUCAUGUAUGCUUUUCUUAUUAUCAGGGAACGGACAAAGUCAUAGCACUCAGAUUAACAAGACUCUCCGAAGAGCAUAGGUUUGUGAGUGAAGAAUUUUCAAAGAUGCCCAAUCUAAGAUACUUGGAAUUAGAGGGUGGAAACUUGGUAGGGGACUUUAAUAAUCUUCUCUCCAAAUUAACAUGGCUCUCUUGGAGUUGUUGCCCUUUGGAACUAAACGCGACGAAUUUAUGUCUCGAGAAAUUAGCCGUUCUCAAGGUUUCCGGGACUAACAUUACUGAAGAUUGGGCCGGAUGGGCGCCAUGCUUGGUACAACAUCAUAUCGUGCAGUUAACUUUUUAUGGCAUUUGUCUUGCUAACCAAACUUACAAAUUUGCCAUUCUUGACUUGCUGAUUCUUGGUUUGCUUUUUUAGGUGAGCAAGAACUUGAAAGUUAUAGAAAUCAAUUCUUGCACAAGCUUAAAAAGCACUCCCGACUUCUCAAAAUGCUUGAAUUUGAAGAGAUUGGCUAUUUCAUUGUGUUCAAACUUGCUAGUGGUUGAUGACUCUCUAUCUAAACUAGAGCACCUGAAGCACUUGAAAAUCAUCUCUUUGAAUACCCUGAAGUGGGAUGGUUGCAACCUUUUUCCACUAUCUUUUGUAUUUGAUAGUCUAAAAUCCUUGUCAAAGCUAGAAAUAAAUGGGACGCAACUUCGAAAACUUCAUCAUUCAAUUGGAGAGAUGAUGCGUAUGGAGUAUUUGUCUUUAGAUAAUUGUUCUUUGCUUAGAACACUUCCAGACUCCAUCGGAGAUCUUACAUUGUUGAGGAGGAUGAGUCUUUCUAAAACUCCGAUAAAGAAGCUACCGAAUUCAAUAGGAGGAUUAGAGUCUUUGCUUGAGCUAUAUUUGAGUGACACAAAAAUCAGAAAAAUACCUGCUUCUAUUGAGAGUCUUAAAAAGUUGAGGAAGAUAAGUCUUUCUGGAACUCCAAUAGAGAAGCUACCAAACUCAAUAGGAGGAUUAGAGUCUUUGCUUGAGCUAUGUAUUUAUGACACAAAAACAAGAGAAUUACCUGCUUCUAUUGGGAACCUCAAAAAAUUGAGGAAUAUGAGUAUCUAUAGGACUCCUCUAAAGUCUUUACCGAACCAAACAGGAGGACUAGAGUCUUUGCUUGAGCUAUAUAUUGAUGACACAAAAAUAAGAGAAUUACCUGCUUCUAUUGGGAACCUCAAAAAAUUGAGGAAGAUGAGUAUCCAAUGGACUCCUCUAAAGAAGUUACCGAACCAAAUAGGAGGGCUAGAGUCUUUGCUUGAGCUAAAUCUGAGAGAAACAUGUAUCACAAAAUUACCUGUUUCUAUUAAAAAUCUCAAAUGGUUGGAGAUUUUAUGUUUAGACUAUAGUGCAAUUAGAAAGCUACCAAAUGCCGCAUGGAUGCUAGAGAAUCUUAAAGCUUUGCAUGCAAGUUUUUGCAAAAAUCUAAAGGGCGAGAUUCCACGUGAAAUUGGGGGUCUAUCCUUUUUUAUGACACUAGAGCUAUCGGGAAGCAAGAUUACGAGAUUGCCUACAACUAUGAAUAAGCUUUCUAAUCUCCAACGACUUCAUUUGGAUCGGUGUGAUGAGCUUGAACAGUUACCAAAGCUCCCCGUGAAUUUGAAGGAGUUAAAGUUCUCAUCUCAUUUAUUAUGGACAACCCUUGACCUCUCAUACCUAGGUAAUUUAGUCGGUCUUCAUAUACAGGGCAGCACUCCUAGGUUGUCAGAAUAUGGACAACGAGCUCCAAAUAUAGAGUGGAUUGAGAGGCUAUCUCAUUUGGAGAGAUUGACACUUGUUGCUAGAGAUGCCACAUUUCCUCUAAUUAAUUUGGCUACUGUUUUUCGACUUCAAAUUCUUGAGAUGACUUGUGUGGACCCACGAUCUGUGGUGGGGCUUCCACCCAGUCUUCGAGGAUUGACUCUACAUGAUGUGAAGUCACCCGUGGGAAGGUCACUCUUUUUAAACUUGACAAAUCUGUCCAGUUUAUGCCUUAGUAAUUGUCAGGUGAGGGAAGUCAAUUUGGAUGAUUUGCUUGGACAGCAACCGGAGAAACUCCAUCGUUUGGAUUUGAAGGAUAGUGCAAUGCUCGAAAGACUUCUAAUUUCGAGAUUACGGGGGCUCCAAGAGUUGAGUGUGACCGGUUGCCCUGGGCUAAUGGAGACUCAAGGUCUGGAGAAAUCGAAGUCAUUAAAGAAAUUGUCUAUUCACGGAUGCAGUUCCUUAGAAUGGUUGCCUGAUUCAUCAAAAUUUAAGAAGCGGCAGAGAUUAUAUUGCCCACAUUGUCCACCGGAACAGAUGCCCGAUCUAGACAUUGCAGAGUCGUGUCCCUUGGUCAUUGGAGGACGCCGCAUUGCUUAUUCCUUUUCUAGCUUUUACAAAGUUCAGCUCUGUCAUAAGCAUUUGCGUGAUGACUCAUCACUGAUGAGUGAGCCUUAGAUUAGUUGUUUGCUCCUAUUUUUGAAUGCAAAUCAAUGCAGAAUGGAAGUUCUAACAGUGGCGGCGGAGCAUUGAGUCAAUUCAUGAGCCAUGAUUGUAACAUUUCAUGCAAGCAUCAGCGAUGAGCAACCCUCUAUACCUCACGAAGAAAUCCUGCCUGGAGAUUAUUUUGCUGUUCAACAUUGAGGGUAAGUAAUUUAUAACUGCUUGAUGCAAUCAGACAUAUCAGAAGUAAAGCAAUACUUCUUAGCUAUAACUUAGCAAUUUUGAACAAUGUCGUAUCUAAACCUGUUGAAAAGUAUUAUGUUGUUUUGACAGGCCUGAUGAUUGUGGGUUUUUGAGUGGAUUGAUCUUGAUCUGACAAUACAGGAGAAAUAAGUGAUUUGCCAACUGAUGAAUGAUAAUGAGACAUUGAAGGAGAUGGUGCAAAAUGUGGAGAAUCAAUUGAAUUAUGGCUUACAGAAUGAAAUCAUGAGAUGCAAGCGAAGAAGAAGACGUAUGUUAGAUAUACUUGUAUUGAUAGGAGCUUUGAUAGGAGGUUGCAACAUCGCUUGCCGUGAGGUUUAUUUUCUGAGAAUUUUUUUAAUUAUAUAUAUUUGGCAGCUGUUUGUUCACUUGAAUCGUAUUAGUCAGCCAUUUUAGAGUUGGCGUUGUGGGAGGGGGAAAGAUGGGCUGUUUUUGUUAACGUUAUUCUGGAAAUACAAAUUGUUUAGCUCAUGUUCCUGGGAACAUGCUGUCAAUGAACAUGACCGCCAGCAUCUUCCUCAGCUUUUCUCAUGGUUUCAAGUUCCACUUCAAGUUAUUUGACCUUCAGGACACAAUCUUCAAGAAUUUAGUUGCAUCAUCUAAAACAAUGACACAUGAACGAACACGAGUACAGCAGUCAGAAAAGUCUACGCACCACCAGGUAAUGACAGCCUCUUAACCAUGUAAUGGUCUAAAGAUGGUAAAAUUACAACCAGAACGAUCCAUAAUUGAUUGGAACACAGAAAAUACAACAGAUUGGAACACCACAGGCUUUCAAGGGCCAAACAUGUGAUGUAUCAUCAAAUAGAUCCUUACCGCCUUUCAUCCAUUGAGUACAUCUCAUUAGUCAUGCAGAUACUAUCAAAAUGACUUCUGGCAGGUAGAAUUUCAGAGCUACCAGCUGGGGAAGGAAAUGCCGAUAAUUUACUGCCUAGGAGCUAAAAUUCUGGAGGGCACAAAUCACGACUGUUGUCUCAGUUUACAAAAUGGUGCUCAGGCAGCAAUCGUUUCCCCUGAAUGGAGAUGAUGAGUAGAUACAAGAAUCGACAAAAUUCUCCAAGAGAAGAAAACAUAAUUUUGUUGUUAAGUAUUGUCUCACAGCAUUCUCUUGAUUCAAUCUGGCUAUGGGUUCUUCCAUGUCUGUUUUUGCUGUAAAUAACCUUUGUCGCACAAAGGUAAGAACACUGCUCACCUUAAGCCGCUUUGCUGAUGGAAGGGAACAGCUAAGUCCCUUGGAAAACUGUAACCUUGCGAGGGCAGGAUUUUGCAUGUCAGGA
rnacentral:lncRNA from 1 species